rnacentral:lncRNA from 1 species
UUGCUGUCUCAUAAGAGAAAUAGUCAUACAUAGUUGGUUAGGCCUCCAGUCCAUUAACUUAAUAAUGAAUUUUAUGAAAAUUGAUUAUCUCAUUGGAAUUACAUAGAUAUUGGAAAACAUUACUCCAGCCCCACCAUCCCAACCAUUUACUUAGUUCAUCAGUAAAAGCUGGAUUUUCCAUUUGUUCUUGAGAUUCAAAUUAAGGCAGCAAGUUGCUCAUUCAAUAUUAUCUAUGUAAUCCUGUAAAAGUGAAGGGCGUUUAGAUGUGGAAAAACCUUACUCCUGCCGCAACACCUCAAACAGAUUGUGAUCAGACAAGACUUAGUUCAUCAUUAGCGGUAGUUGGAGCUUCCAUUUGUUCUAGAGAUUCAAAGGCAGCAAGCUGCUUCCUCAGUGCUACUAAUUCUUCCCCGGCAUUGCAUAUGUAGCCUGAGGCUUGUCUGCCAGACAAAGUUGCUCCUUCCAUACUAUCUAUGUAAUCCUGUGAGAGUGAAACCAUUUAGAAGACAUAUCUCUUUUUUUUUUUCAAUAUUUGGAAUGAAACAAUUAUAUACAGUUACCUGUUUUGUAUAUGAGCUGGCGAGGAAGAAGUUCUUCACUGGUAUCUUUUGAUCAGGUCUGAAGGGGUCUUUACCAGGUCCCUCACCUCACAAAGAUUGCCGGAUUUUGACGACAGAUAACCAAAUAACUUCUAAACCUUGGGAUGAUGGAAAUAGAGCUCAAACCUAAUAAAAGGAACCGUGAAUGGAUAGUAUGGACUCAUGUAUAUUAUCCAGAAAGUUGCAUGACCUUUUUUGGUACUCAGGUCACUAAAAAAUGUGAGAUAAACAUCUAGGAUAAGAAAAGCAAAAAAGCAUAACCUAAUACGUAUUAUAUGAAUUGAAGGUGUCACUGAACGCUACCAACCUGCUUUGCCACUCUCCUUCUGAUUUCAUCAUUUGGUAAGGGCAUAUAAGGAUCUCCAGGCGUCAAAAUGCAUCUGAAAUAUAAUAUGGCUAUAGUAAGUAACACAGAAUACAAAGACACUUAGCAAAAGGAAGUCAAUCAGAUUCCAUGCACAAAAAAUAACUAAUAAUGACGAGGAUAAGAAAUUUUUCUUGCUGGAGCAACGAACCUUGCCCUUCUCUGUAGUAGUCUUCUGGUGAAGUGAGUGCUAGAUCUGCAAAGCAAGAUAAAUCUGCAUCUGGAGUAUAUGAAAGGUUAUCUAACCCCACAGCUUGCCUCAAUUGUCUACAUGUUCAAAACAAGGAUCUGUUAAAAAAUGGAAAUUUCUUCAAUGCAUUAGUAAAGGGAAGUGAAGUGAAAGCUGAUUUCUUAGGCCUUCACAGAGCAUCAUGUGUUUGAAUUCCGGUAACCUCACAAAAAAUUAGAGCAUCACCUUGACCGUUCUAGGUCUUGCAACUCAGUAACCCAACCAUUGCAUCUAAGCUGCACUGUGACAACAGGAACUCCAACUAGCUCAUAAAUAUUGUUGAAAAUUUUCAUUUCCCUCCACGAUGAUGGAGGCAAACUUUUAAUUCCAGGGACAUCACAUGCAGCCAUUAAAUAAGAAGUUGAAUAAAGAAAAAUCGUUCAACUAAAUGAUUCAGGAGUUAAAAAAAAAAAUGUAGAAGUAGAAAUAAAUAACGAAGAUUUAACCAUAAACCUGCAACAUAUGCAUCAGCUUGCACAACCUUCUUGUCAGUGGCCUGAAAUAGAAUGAGAAAUUGAAAGACAGUAAGCAUUAAAGAAUAAACUCAAAGAAGCUGCUUCUAACAGAUGAUAUAAACAGUAAAUUUACAAAUGUCAGAUCAUUGCAUUAGCUCUAUGCCUCCAUCAGAGGGAAUAUUAAUAGAUGCAUAAAAAAAUAAUUAGAGCCACAUGUUAAACAAUUUACCUUAGAAGUAGCAAGUGCUUUGACAAAUUUUUCCCCGUUAGCAGAUUUAUCAUAAAGUAUCUCUCUGCAUCCCCACCUAAGAUGGAACCUGUUCUCACAAGAACAGAUCCCAAGGUUGGGAAAAUCAGUUCAUCAUAGGAGAAAACAAAGAAGAUUAACAAAUCACUACAAUGGUGUGAACCCGUAAAUACAAACGUACCUGCCCCCUUUAUCUGUGAUAUAUUUUCUUAUGGGCCCACUCAAAUAAACAUCCGGAGAACCCUUGAGCAUCAGCAAUAGGGAAGCCUCGGUCUUAGUCGCAAACAGUGCAAAUAUAGUGAGCAUACAACGAGCACUGAUGUUAUCACAAUCAAUAAACCCAAGGGCAUACGCAACAGGAUCCCACAUUCUUUGGAACCCUUGGACAAAAACCAAUCAGAGAAGCUUAUCUGUAAGAAGAAAUGAAGUUUUAGGUAAAAUGACAAUCUGUAAGAACAGGGAUUGAAAUUCAACAAACAAGAAAAUAUGAUGUCAUUCUUACACUAUCCAAAUCUCAUAUGUCCUUCAAGGCUCCAUCAGGAUCAACAAGUGCCUUUACAACAGCACUCAGAGCAAGAGCAAGAGCAUUUCUUGCUUUAUCAUAAGUCUGCACUUGAGCAAUUUAUGAGGCAAAGUACAUCAAAAGAGAAUCCAAAAGAGGCAAGAAGCUUCAACAUGAAAAAAGGAGUACUGCCUCAUCAUACUGCUUUGCAAUCACAGUGCAAAAGAUAACAUCAACAAAAUCAAAUUCUAGCAUAAAUCCAUAUGCACUACCUUAAGCUGAUUUGUAGACAAAAGACCCGUUUGGGGCAGCUGCGCGGUUGCAGCGCAGCUGUCCCAAACGGGUCCAAUCAGAAACCCAAAAUCAAGUUCUGGAGUUGAAAAUCAAAAUCAUGAACCAAAUCAGAGUUAUUAUUGAAUUAGACAAUCCAUAAACCAAUAGAAGGUAAAACAAAAAGGAAUAAAAAUUCUUCUAAAUUCUUUCACCAUCAACAAAAUCAGUAAAACACAUACUAAUUCAAAAUGACAUAAAGUUUGUGAAUUGAAAUAAUGCCAACUCCUAAGAAAAAUUAUGACUGCUGAUAUUUUUUCCGAAAUGCUGAUAAAAGCUUCUGCUAUUUACUUUGAAAAAAUAGAGGUUAGAAGCCAAUUUACUUGAAAUUUUGAGUUUAGGCAAGAGGAUGAAUGGCAAAAGUGAAACAAUUUAGGGAAAAAUGUACUUCAGAGGCCAAUGAAAGCAUUCAGAAGAUUGAAAUCUAAAUAAGCAAAACCCCGUGGCCUUGAUCCAACAAAUCCACUGCUGUUGACAUGCCUGCAAGCCCAGCUCCAAUAAUAGCCACUUUCAGCUUUGGUCCUCUAUAAUGUUCCGGUUCUGGUAGAAACAAACCCUUGGGAGCUGCCAAGUAUACCAUCCAAUUAUCCACAGCGAUAAUGGAAAUAUAUAUGUGUUUAAAGGUACUAAAUUCCUAAACAUGAAAUGUAUCCAAAGAGAGACACAAAGCAGAAUUGUGAAACCCAAUAAAUUUUAAGAAUACAAAAUACUCGGUCUGUUCCUCAAUUCCUUUAAUAAAAUUUCCACUAGAGGCUCCGGAAGCCACUCAAUAACACUCCAAAGCCAGAUUUUAAACGUUCUCUUUAUCUUUAACUACAAUCCACAAACAAUUCUGCCACAAAUUCAAUUCAAAAUUGUUCAAGUGCACCGCCACUUCUCCAUCAAUUCCCUCAAAAAUUCAUAAUUGGCAAACACUACAAACCAAAAAGAGCUUCCAGCAAUAAACGCAUAAAAAUCCACCAAGCAACAUAAAACAAAAUACCCAGAAACCAGAAAAGCCAAAAGAUCAAUGCUUGGCAAACAAGCCAAUCAAAUAAAACAAAAAGAAGAGAAAUUUACCAUUAACGCUCAUAUCAGAAACAUUAGUGUCCAAAGAAGCCCGUACACGGAAUCUUGGAUCCUUCACUUGAACCCGAGACCAUGUAACGCCAGUAACUGAAGUUGCAGGAAACAGAACUGAAGAACCCAUAUUGCAAAUCCUGAGCUGAAAUCAAAGAAAUUCAAUUGGAACUCAAUUCAGCUCAACCGAGCGGAGCUCUCUUUUGCUUCAAUAACAAAGUGUUUUUCUUUCAUAUCAACAAAGAUUUGUCAACAUCAACAAAAUUUAACUAAGAAACUAAAAAUAAUGCGGUAUCUUUGAGUUUAAGAAUCUAACAAAGAUUUGUCGACAUCAGGGAACUGUUUCGGAGAGGUUGGCCAAGUGCAUUUUUGUUUUUUUCUUGUUUUGCCCUUUUCAUUAAUGCACAACAUUAGUCCACGUGAAGAGCACAAAAUGCUGGUGGCUUUGUCACUAACGAUAAUGGAUGGAGUGUCCAAAGCAACCAACUAAAUUUUAAAGAGAGGGAAUGAUAAGUAAUAUCUUAAUGGGGUGAUUAAUUAAUUUAUUAUCAAGCAAUUGUAUUUAUUUAUUUAAAAGAUAUCCUUAUCUUUGUACAAGGUUUGAGGAAAGACGACGAUGUUGUGUUGUCACAUAUUUUUACGUUUCUCCAUAAUUCACUGCAACAUCAACUGGGCCACCACCUCUUGCCUCUCCCGGUUCCCCUCAAUUUUCUUAUUCAAUGUCCACCGUUGAUUGUACAUUUAUUGAAAUUCUGUGGUUAUUGUUUUUUUGCAUACAUUUAAUUCCACACGGUCUAUGAAUAGAGCAGGUGCAUCGUAGUUGUGGCCUUAACUGUUAUUGGUAACUCAAUAGCUAAUUCUAAUGUUUCAUCAAGCAGUUUAGAGAUAACCUCUCUCGCUGAACUCCCCGGAGUAACGCAAUCCAGUUUUCCAGUGCAAUCAUCAGACAGUUGAACAGCUUCUGAAUUCCCUUUGCUUUUCUUGUUUUCUUUUCCAUGUAAAGGGAGCUCAGGCUUCAAUAUAUCUGGGGAUUGAGUACUAAUGAUAAAGACAACAUACGAUAGAGGACACAAAUUGUUAUUAAAGAAUGACGCACUUUUCAACUGAGUACAGUAAAGCAAGAAUGGGUAAUUAGUUUUACCUGCAACGUGAAAAUCUAGACUCCCGACGGUAACCGAUCUUUGGUGAAGCAAAUAAAGAAGAAGGCGAAGUAAAAUUCACUGAGUUGAAUGAGCAAUCAUUACGUAUGGACUUGAUUUGUUCAAUGGGUGAAAGACUGCUGAUAUAAUUAAAGACUGGAGAAUCCUGCACGUUGACAAGCAUCAUUUUUAAUAUAACAUAGAGUCUUAAAAACCUAGUCAGUGGCAAAUGAUCACGACAAGCAAACUGAAGUACAAACAGCAGAGCUCAACAAAUCAUUAAGAGAAAAUAAGACCAUUAACCAAGCAGAUAAAAGAAACGCAAAAUAACCCAUCUCAAAUCACCGCAUGCACAAUUUAAGGGGGUUGUGACAUGGGUUUAAGCAUGAUUUAACAAGUGCCACCAGUGAAUUCUCAGAGAUUGAAUUUUCAUACACAUGCAAAUUUCCAAGUCCAACGAAUUGUUGUCUUUCUGAAGAUAUUAACGUUGCAUAGCAUGCUAUAAAUAAAUCAUAUUAUUAGGGCCUUUCUUUGCUGUACACAACAUAUGUACAGAGGAACAAAUCCAUGAGCUGAAAUCAUCAUAUUCCAAAAUAUUCUACCCAAUCAACACUACAAAACCCUAACGCUAAACAGAAUUGGAGCAAUGUACGAAAGCUAUUUGUCACACAAAGCACUGGUACCUCAGAACCCAAUUUUCAAAAAAGCAACAAAAAUGAAAAAUAGCAAGUGCCCAGAUGCAAAAUCAGGAAAAAAAUGCUCAAAUCCAAACUACAACCCCAUAAGCUGAGAUUGACCUCAAACUUGGAAACGGAAGCGACAGUGAUCUGUUUCUUGUCUGAAGUGUCCAUUUCUCUCGCUCCGCCACAAAGCCUCUUCACUCUGAAGCUGAAACUCACCACGCACUUGCAAAACGAAAGCAUUUGAUUGAUUGAGAGGCGGGAAGGCGGGAAAACGAGAGAAAUUUGCUUUUGUUUUUUCUUCGUUUGGUCAUACAUCUGCAGGCCCCAGGUUGACAAGCGUUAUUACUACUACUUGCAUUAUUUGAAGGACGCGUGUCAUGCAACGAUGAUGGAAAAAGUGGUGCAAAACUUCAAUGGUCACGAAAUGACGAUAAAACAAAAAUAUAUGGUUAAUUUUUCACUUAACAUUGGAAUAUCAUAUAAUUUUAUGGUCAUUUUCUCGCUGUUACGCCACAUUCUUUUGAUAAAAUAAUAUGGUUAAACUUUUCUAUAAUCAUGAUAUUAGAACCCAAUUAACUUUAUUUCUAUAAAGUGGUUAUAGCUUAAUAAAGGUAAAAUUGUAAAAAAUAUUAUUUUGACUUAAUUAUCUUUAGUGCAAGUGAUAUAAAAAAUAAAUAUAUGAUAAUUAAUUAAUAAAUUAUGUCAAAUAUAAUAUAUGGACAAUGAUAAAAAAGAUAGACAUAAUUUCAAAAAACUAAUAUAUAUGUUUUUGUAGUGCUGGGAUUAUACAAAGUUAUCUUAAAAGUGUAAAGAGUAAAGUAUUAGAUUGGAUUGAAUUAUAUAUAGUGCUGACUUAUGUUUGGUAUGAUAUUGUAUUAGAUUAUGUUAAAUUAAAUUUACAUGAAAUUAAAUAGUAUUUACAUUAAUAUUUGAAUUUAAAUAUCAACUAUUUAUAGAUAUUUAACAAUAAAUAUUAUAAUUAAUUAAAAACAGCACUAAUAAGGGGUGUGUGUGUGUGUGUGUAUUCAUUUAGUUAUUGGGUAGUCAUAAUUAUAAUAAAGAAAUAUAAACUAUUUAAAUUAUAGGUUAUUUCAAAGAGUAAUGAGAGAUAUCAUUUCAUUAAAUAAAAUAAAUAAAACUAUUCAAAUAAUAAAUUAAUUAAUAAAUUUUAAGUAAAUCAUGAAUAAAAAAGAAAUUACUUAAUUAAAAACAAUAAAUAAAUAAAUAAUUUUUAAGUUAUAAAUAAAAUUGUGUAAUAAAUUAUGGAAGAUAUUAUAAAUACACAAAUAUUUUUUUCACAUUAUCUAGUCCCAACUAAACCCACAUAAAAAUUAGAAUUAGCAAUCCCAUGAAUUUAGGAUUAAAAUUUGAAUUUAGUCCAUUAAUCCAAUCCAAGUGAGCAUGCCAAACAUAGUAUUAAUAUUUUAUCCCAAUAAUAAGUCCAAUCCUACACUAAAUCCUACCUCCCAAACAUAACCUUAAGAAUCUAUUGACAUGUGUCAUUAAUGAAAUUAAAUGGCUAAAAUUUUGUUUUAAUUAAUUUUUACCUAAAUAGACAUCAAAACUCAUGUGUGACUCUUGUUAAUCUUUUUCUUACAAUUUCUUUUCCUCUUAAUUCUUUAUAUUUUGACACCGAUUUCUAGCAAAUUAUUAAAAAAAAGAAAAGGAGCACAAAUUGGAGAAAAGUGAUUGACAACAAGGUUUGCAUCUUAAUUUCAAAAUUUUCCUUUCUUUGUUGUUGUUUUUUUUUUUUUUGGGUUCUAUAAUUGUUGUUUUCACUCUCACUUACAAUUCAAUGAACUAAAUUAGUAUUGCUACUUAUAAACUGCUAUUACCGGGCAUAUAAUUUUAUUGCUACAAUUUUACUGCUGUUUAGCUAUUUUUCUGAGUUUUUAGUUGUUGUUCUAUUGUCUCUUUGGGGUUUGCAACUGAUGUUUGCUGUUUUUCUAUGAAACAAUUAAAUUCUUUUGCUGCUACAUUUUUUGUUGUUCUAUUAUGGCCGGGACGUAUGUGAAAGGGAAAGAAUCUACCCAAAAAAAAAAAUGACAAAGAGUCACAUGUGAGUUUAGAUGUAUUUUUAAGUAAAAAUUAAUUAAAACAAAAUCUUGGCCCAUUAAAUAACUUAAUAUAAUCAAUUUGUUCUUAAUAACUUAAUAUUAUUUAAUCUAUAGAAGCAAGAUCCUCGAAGACAAAACCUAUAAAUAAUUUAAUAUAAUGAAUUGAUUCUUAAUCUACUCCAAAUUGAGACUACAAUUUUUUACUUAAAAAUUGGCUAGCUAACUUUACCUUGAUGGGCUGACUAUCGCCCAUACAUAUUUCUUCAAAUUUAUUAAUAUUUUUGUGCAUAGCAAUUAGGGUUACGUGACAACGAAUUCUCCUUUUAGUAUAUAAAAAGUAUACUCACAAGUAGUGUAGUGUUCCCCUCCUAAAGGGCAUAGCUCACUGACUUUUAGUCUCUUUCUUCAGUUGACGACUCCAGUUAGACUCUUCAAUGAGAUUAAAGAUUGAAUAUAUCAAAAAUAUUAGCAAUAUUUGUGCUUAUAUUUAACAAAACUAGAGUAAUAUAUUGAUUAAUCUACAUAAUUUUAGGCGGGUUCUUAGGUAAUGUUACAAUUACAUAGAUUAUUUUCACAGUAUAAGCCAAAUCUUAAGAAUUAAUUACUUGAAUAAAAGGAAUAAAGGAUGAUCGAUAAAAGUAAAACAAAGAAAAUAAAUUAUGCCGUUAAAUUGGGAUAUUUGGCUGCCUUAAUCGCUAGAGAUGCUUCUCCAAAACCCGCGUGUAAACAAAACACAUAUUUUUAACAUAACAAUAGCCCAAGCACAUAAACAAGAGUGAAAGCCGAGGAAUCAAUUUCAUUACUGUUCACUAGUAUUUUCAAUUUCAUUAUUUCAUUAACUGUCAUUGAUAAAAAAAAAAAAAAAAACUCAAUUUGAGAUGUUAUACAUUACUUUUCAUUACUUCCCAUUUCAAACAUAUUUAUCAUAUAUAGUCUUAGUAGCUUGUAACCCUUUCUGGUAAGGGUAAAAUAUUUCUUACCCCUUUGAUUUCUGAGAUUGUCCUCACAAUAAUGAUGCUGGCCCCAAUUUCUAAAACUACUAUCUCUAUGAGUAAAUUCCUUAUAAAUUUUCUUUUAAUUGAAAAUAUUUAAACAAUUGAAGAUAAAUUAAUUUAUUUUUUUAUUCGAAUGAAAAUUCAAUUAAACACUUAAAUAAGCUAUUCCUUUAACAAUUCUUUUCACACCCAUCAUGUUUCGUAAUUUAUAUUUAUAUUUAUAUUUUAAAAUUUAAUUGAAAAUACUUUUUGAGAAACUUUUAAGAAUUAAGAAUCAUGGAGAAAAAAAUGAUUUAAUAUGAAGAAAAUAGUUUAAAAUCUUAAGAUUUGUAUGUUUUAUAAAUAAAAACUUGAAAAAAUACUCUUUCCGAGAAAAGAUUUAAUCAGAAAAUGAUUAAUUUUUAAUUUAUGAAUUAAUAUUUUAUAAAUUAAACUAGGGGUAUUUUAAGGAAUAUAAUUAAAAAAGAGUGUCAUAAGGAUAUUUAGGGGUGUUAGAAGCCAUACUCAUUUACAUAAGCCAUGGGAGUUAGGGUAUUGGGUUUCUUUUUGUUUUGUAUGAAUUGGGAAAAAUACAGAGACAGACAAAGGGAACAGUCAUUACAAAGCUGUGAAGCGUGUGGGAGAUACCCAUUUGUAGCUUAAACUCCUAGGGUAUUGUUUCUGUCUUUCUCUUUCUCACUUUCUCAUGCAGCAGAUGUACAUAUCAUGAAAUAGCCAUACAUAGUUGGUUAGGCCUCCAGUCCAUUAACUUAAUAAUGAAUUUUAUGAAAAUUGAUUAUCUCAUUGGAAUUACAUGGAUAUUGGAAAGCAUUACUCCAGCCCCACCAUCCCAACAAUUUACUAAGUUCAUCAGUAAAAGCUGGAUUUUCCAUUUGUUCUUGAGAUUCAAAUUAAGGCAGCAGAUUGCUCAUCCCAUACUAUCCAUGUAAUCUUGUAAAAGUGAAGGGCGUUUAGAUGUGGAAAAACCUUACUCCUGCCGCAACGCCUCAAACAGAUUGUGAUCAGACAAGACUUAGGUCAUCAUUAGUAGUAGUUGGAACUUCCAUUUGUUCUUGAGAUUCAAAGGCAGCAAGCUGCUUCCUCAGUGCUACUAAUUCUUCCCUGGCAUUGCAUAUGUACGCUGAGGCUUGUCUACCAGACAAACUUGCUCCUUCCAUGAUAUCUAUGUAAUCCUGUGAGAGUGAAACCAUUUAGGACACAUAUCUCUUUUUUUCUAUUGAUCGUGACAUAUUUGGAAUGAAACAAUUAUAAACAGUGACCUGUUUUGUAUAUGAGCCAGCAAGGAACAAGUUCUUCACUUGUGUCUUUUGAUCAGGUCUGAAGGGGUCUUUACCAGGUCCCUCAUGGUACAAAGACUGCCCGAUUUUGACAACAGAUGACCAAAUAACUUCUAAACCUUGGGACAAUGGAAAUAGAGCUAAAACCUGAUAAAAGGAACCGUGAAUGGAUAAUAUGAACAGAUGUAUAUCAUCCAGAAAGUUGCAUGACCUUUUGCAGGGCUCAAAGUCACUAAAAAAUGUGAGAUAUACAUCUAGGAUAAGAAAAACGAAAAAGCGUAACCUAAUAUGUAUUAUAUGAAUUGAAGGUGUCACUGAACACUACCAACCUGCUUUGCCACUCUCCUAAUGAUUUCAUCAUUUGGUAAGGGCAUGUAAGGAUCGCCGGGCGUUAAAACGCAUCUGAAAGAUAAUUCAGUUAUAGUAAGCAACACAGAAUACAAAGACACUUGGCAAAAGGAAGUCAACCAGAUUCCAUGACACAAAAUGAAACUAAUAAUGGCGAAACUUCUCUGUAGUAGUCUUCUGGUGAAGUGAGUGCCAGAUCUGCAAAGCAAGAGAAAUCAGCAUGUGGAGUAUACAAAAGAUCAUCUAAUCCCAGAGCUUGCCUCAAUUGCCUACAUGUUCAAAACAAGGAUCCGUUAAAAAAUGGAAAUUUGUUCAAUGCAUUAGCAAAGGGAAGUGAAGUGAAAGCUGAUUUCUUAGGCCUUUAAAGAGCUUCUUUUGAUUGAAUUCCUGUAACCUCACAAAAGAUUAGAGCAUCACCUUGACCGUUCUAGGUCUUGCAACUCAGUAACCCAACCAUUGUAUCUAAGCUGCACUGUCACAACAGGCACUCCAACUAGCUCAUAAAUAUUGUUGAAAAACUUCAUUUCCCUCCACGAUGAUGGAAGUAAUCGUUUAAUUCCAGGGACAUCACAUGCUGCCAUUAAAUAGGAAGUUGAAUAAAGGUAAAACAUUCACCUAAAUGAUUCAGGAGAACAAAAAAGCACAAGUAGGAAUAAAUAAGGAGGAUUUAACCACAAACCUGUAACAUAUGCUUCAGCUUGCACAACCUUCUUGUCAGUGGCCUGAAACAGAACCAGAACCUCUAAGACCAUAAGCAUUAAAUAAUAAACGCAAAGUAGCUGCUUCUAACAGAUGAUAUAAACAACUGAUUUACAAAUGUCUGGUCAUUGCAUUACCUCCAUCAGAGGGAUUAUCAAUAGACGAGUAAAAAAAUAAAUAACUAAACUAGCUUUUGCCGCCUAAUUAGAACCAUGUGAGAAACAAUUACCUUAGACAUGGCAAGUCCUUUGACAUAUGUUUCUCCAUUAGCAGAUUUAUCAUAAAGUAUCUCUCUGCAUCCCCACCUAAGAUGGAACCUGUUCUAGCAAAAACAGACCCCAAGGUUAGGAAAAUCAGUAGGAGAAAACAAACAAGAUUAACAAAUCACUGCAAUGAUGUGAACCUGUAAAUAGAAAUUUACCUGCCCCCUUUAUCUGUGAUAUGUUUUCGUAUGGGCGCACUCAAAUAAGCGUCUGGAGAACCCUUGAGCAUCCGCAAUAGGGCAUAAGCAACAGGAUCCCACAUUCUCUGAAUACUCGUCCGUGUCCCACCUUUGGACAAAAACCAAUCAGAGAAGCUUAUCUGUAAGAAGAAAUGAAGUUUUAGGUAAGAUAACAAUUUGUAGGAACAAGGAUUGAUAUUAAAACAAACUAGAAAAUAAGAUGUCAUUCUUACACUAUCCAAAUCUCCUACGUCCUUCAAGGCUCCAUCAGGAUCAACGAGUGCCCUUACAACAGGACUCAGAGCAAGAGCAAGAGCAUUUCUUGCUUUAUCGUAAGUCUGCACUUGAGCAAUACAUGAGGCAAAGUACAUCAAAAAAGAAUCCAAAAGAGGCAAGAAGCUUCAACAUGAAAGAAGAAAUACUGUCUUAUCAUACCGCUAACUAAUCAGAGUGCAAAAGAUUACAUCAACAUAAUCAAAAUGGAACAUAAAUCCAUAUGCACUACCUUAAGCUAAUUUGUAGACAAAAAUGCGCGAAUCCCAUGUAAGGGAGCUCCGACUGGAAACCGGAAAUCAUGUUCUGGAGUUAAAAAUCAAAAUCAUGAACUUAAUCAGAGUUAUUAUUGGACUAGACAAUCCACAAACCAAUUUCAGAGUGUCCAACCACCAAACAUAACUAUCAGUAGUCUUAAGUGAUCAAGAAAUAACCAUACCACCAAUUUCACCACCCUUAUUCACAAAUGUAUGAGUAUGAUCCUUCAUGAGUAAAUUUUUUUGUGUCCGCACUGACCUGUAGACAUCCAUGAAAAACUAUCAGAUUAUAAACACAGGGUCAAUUUAAAGAGGAGCUAUGAUUCUGAUCCAUCAUGAUAUUUGAAGAACAUUUUCAUAUUUUCCUACAACGAGUAAACUAUAACCAGUUAUCAUCACUAUAGAUGGCAUGGUCAAGAGAAAUUAUAGUUCUUGUUUCAAGAAUCUCAAAUCAUAAUUCCUUUGCAUGGCUAGUGUGCUUUUAUAAUCAUUCAAACACACUUAUCCACAACUAAGCAAGCUUUACCUUUUUCAUCAAUCGGAACAGAUUAUUGUAGCAUCCAAAGAAAAUGUGCAGGCCCAUUUCAAUAUGGUUUCCAUGUUUAUCAAUAAAUGAACCCACUUUACCACCAAUGAAAGACCUUGACUCAUAUAUAUCCACCUGGAAGGGGGGGGAAUCUUCUAAUUUCUUUCACCAUCAACAAAAUCAGUAAAACACAUACUAAUUCAAAAUGAAAUAAACUUUGUGAAUUGAAAUAAUGCCUGCUCUAAAGAAAAUGAUAACUGCUAUUCAUUUUUCCGAACUGCUGAUAAAAGCUUCUGCUAUUUACUUUGAAAAAAUUGAGUAACUUCAAAUUUUCAGUUUAGGCAAGAGGAUGAAUGGUAAAAGUGAGACAUUUUAGGGGAAAAGAAAAUACUUGAGAGGCCAAUGAAACAUUGAAAGAUUGAAAUCUAAAUGAGCAAAACCUCAUGGCCUUGAUCCAACAAUUCCCCUGCUGUUGACAUGCCUGCAAGCCCAGCUCCAAUAAUAGCCACUUUCAGCUUUGGUCCUCUAUAAUGUGCCGGUUCUGGUGGAAACAAACACUUGGGAGCUGCCAAGUAUACCAUUCAAUUAUCCACAGGGAUAUUGGAAAAACAUACAUGUUUGAAAGUACUAAACAUCAAAUGUCUCCCGAAAAAAAUACAAAGCACAAUUGCAUAAGCAUUUCAUUUCCCAAUAAAUUUCAAGAAUACAAAAUACUUGGUCUGUUCUUGAGUUCCUUCAAGAAAAUUUCCACUAGAGAGCACGCAAGCCACUCAAUAACACUCCAAAGUCAGAUUUUAAACGUUAUCUUGAUCUAUAAGUACAAUCCAUGAACCAUUCUGCCACAAAUUCAAUUAAAAAUUAUUCAAGUAAAAUGCCAAAUUCUCCAUCAAUAGCCUCAAAAAUUCAUAACUAGCAAACACUACAGAACAAAAAGAGCUCCCAGCAAUAAACACAUAAAAAUCCCACCAAGCAACAUAAAUCAAAAUACCCAGAAACCAGAAAACCCAAAAGAUCAAUACUUGGUAAACAAACAAAUCAAAUCAAAUAAAACAAAAAGAAGAGAAAUUUACCAUUAACACUCAUAUCAGAAACGUAAGUAUCCAAAGAAGCCCGUACACAGAAUCUUGGAACCUUCACUUGAACCCGAGACCAACAAACACCAGUAACUGAAGUUGCAGGAAAAAGAAGUGAAGAACCCAUAUUGAAAUAAAAGAAUCCAAACCCAAAGUCCCACAUCUAAAUAUGAUGGAUCCACUCCAUGCGGCAAUAUGAAAUUUAAGCUCUCUUUUCUUAUGUCACCCAAGGCAUUGGCAGGAUGGCCAAACACCUGAGUUCAAGUCUACAAUAGAGAAUCGAAAUUUUCCUUUGUAAAUGUUCAUAAGUAUUUACCACAGAUAUUCAAGUUAUUCUUGAUAGAUCCCCUACUAUAUAUGCUAUAAUAUUUCUCUUCUUUUAAUUUAAAAGUAAAUCAUUCAUAAUAUCGGACUUGUAAAGAAAUAAAAUUUUCGGUAAUUAACUGACAAAACAAAAAAAGAUGGAUUAUGCGAAAGAAGUUAAUAUGGAGUAAGUCGAGCACUUGACAAUCAAAGUAAUUUACUCGAGGUUGAGUAAGGAUAGUACGAUACUUUCUCAAGUUUUCUGAGGACAUUCACGUGACAUUGGACUAUUGAUUAUAGUUAGAGAGAAGUCCAAGGAUGUAAGUGAUGAUGAUAGAUUCACAAUUCUUUUGAAGAAAAUAUUUUAUAUAAACUUAAUUAUAUGGUAUAAAAUGAUUGGCCUUAAUAAAAUUAAAAAAUAAUACACGCCUGGGUCAUGUAAUAUUUUCAACCAACUAAUUUACAUGCAAAAUUAAACUUUAUGAGUACAUUUAUUUGCUAGCAGAAACUCUGCCAAAUUUUCCGAAAUGUGAAAGUGAACACUUUUAACAACGUCACAAAAUGCAUGUGAUAAUGAAACAAUGUGCCAUCCUUAAACUAAUAUUAUUAGAAACUAUAAGUGAAAGUUUUCAGAAAACAUAUGAUAAAUUUUUCUCGGAAUUUGUUUUCUCCUUUGUUUUGAUUUAUGUGAGAGAUAGUUGUAAAGCGUAAAAUUUUAAAAUCCGUAACAAAACAAAAACUUACAUGGGUUGGGCGCACCAUGUGCAUACCAAAUUAGAAUAAUUGACGAAUCGUAAUAAAAAAUUUAUAUAUAAUAAUUGAAUGAGAUCCAUGGUUCACAAUUGCAAAUUAAAGGUUGGUUUUAUAAUAAAAAUCUUUUUUUGCAUACCAAGUUAGAAAAGAUUAUAAGUAAAUUAAGAUUUUCAAAAUUUGACUAGUAUUAUAUUACGUACGUCAAUAUAAUAUAAAUUUGUUAUAUAUAUAUAUAUUUUACUCUGCAACCAAUGCUUUCAAAAACUUUUUACUUGUAUGUUUGAACAACUUUUAUCGCUUUCUAUUUAUAUACGAUCUCAUUUAUGUUUACAUAAAUUUUCAUAUGUACCCAAAUUAAGCAUUAAAUACACACACUUUGGUAAGACACAUUUCUAGUAUCAGACAAUGAUAUUAUAUUGAAUGUAAUGCUUCAAUGAAUUUUAUUACUAUAUACUAAAAUACUCAACGAUAUUCAUUAAAAAAAAAAAAGAAAUUGCAUGAUUAGAAUGAUUAAAGUUCAUUUAAUGACGAGUUUCAUCAUUGACUGUGUCGAAACACAACAGCAAUCCACAAUACACUCAACACGAGAGGCGCACACAAGCAUGCAUGAAUCUUCCACCAUUAAACCUGAAAUCAUAAAAUGAAAGAAACAAGGUGAGUGUUGUUUUACGGUCUGAAAGCCGAUUCGAAAUAAUAAUAAUAAUAGACCUUUGUUAAUAGUUACUACUAGUGGUCACUGCCUUGUCCAUCUUCCUUCUCUGUAUCAUCGUCCACUUCCAAGCCGCUGUCAUCUGACCAAACCCCAGCAACCAUCGCGGGAAAAAUCACCUAUUUGGAGUGAGAGGGAAAAAGCUGAUUGUUGAGAAAUAUAUGUAUCUUUUGUAUGGUUGUGUUAAGGUCACCCAUGCAAGCAGAACGUGCUUCAGUCCCCCAUGCUUUACUCCCCCACUGCACUUCGUGUAAUUUGGGUGUACUUAAAUUUCCUUCAGAGAAAAUCUUCAUAUCGAGGCAAUCACCCACCACUAAUCUUUCCAAAGAUGGGAACUUGAAAGCACAAUUGCCAGAGCAGAAGCUUGUCAAACUUUUUAAGUCUAAAAGCUUCAACUCCUUCAAUUCUCUGAAAGUAAUAACCUCAUCUUUUGCUACAACAUCAUCCACCAGUACUAUUUCUGUUAUCUUAUCGCAUGAUUCUAUCUCCAUAUAUCUAAGUCGCACCAGAGUCUUUGCAAUUGAGGAUGUUAAUACGAUUUUCAAUCCUUUGCAACACGAUACCACCAGAUUUGUAAGAUUCUGAAAGGACGUCGACGAUGGCACUAGAUUGACCAAACGGUCACACCCCUUUACACGUAGAAAAACCAAGUUGUUCGUAACAGAGGACUCCUCUAUCAAAAUGUGCUCCAGUUGAUAUUUUGCUUCUCUUAUUUCUACCCUCAUCCCAUUUUCAACCUGCUCUUUCGGCAACCAAGCACCAUGUCCUCCUAUUUCGAGGACUUUCAUUGUGUGAAGUCUCUGGAGGAAGUCACCAAGUGAUAAAAUUGUCCGCUCAUCAACCAACUCCACGUAAAGAUAUUUUAGUUUGCAAAGCAAGUCUUCAGAAAAUAGAUAUUUAUUUGUUACCACGUGCUUUGCAUCAACUUUCAACUUUUCCAAAUUAGGGAAUACCUGGGAGAUUGAUCAGAGCCCAAAAAAAAAAAAAAAAAAAAAAAAAAUACAAGAUGAAUCAGUUGAUGAGAAUUAUAAGUUACCACUAAUUUAUACCAUAUAUUUUAUUCAAUAAAUCUUUACCUUUAAAAAAAAUAGUAAUAAUAAUACGCCUAGCUAACAUCUAGAAUAAUUAUGAAUGAAUACUAUACACUAAUCUAUAAGAGAGUUCCGUUGCUGACAAUUUGACUUUUAGUAAGAAACCAAGCGAUAAAGGCAAAGGCAAUAUAACUCUUAAGCUUUAUGAUAUAAACUUUCACAGUACAUACAUAAGAAUUGAAAAUUUGAUUAUAAAAUUCUUGUACGUACCCUUUCCGUCAAGAUAUUAGUAGUUCUUUUGCAUCUCGCCAUGAAUUCAGGACAUCCAGAUAUCUCUAAUUCUUUCAAGGAUGGAAAUUCAAGAUUAUCAAGAUCUCCAGUACAGAAGCUUGUGAACUUUUCAAGAUCAGACAUCCUCAGAUAUUGCAACUGAGGAAACGUUACAAUAUUAUUCUUCAUUUCUUCCUGGUUGUCCACGACUAUUAACUCUUCCAAGACGCGACAUCUGACUAUCUGAAUGCGUUGGAGUCGAACCAAGCUACUAACAGUAGCAGAUGAAAAUAGACAACUUAAAUUCUCACAGACAGACAAGGUCAAGUGCGUUAAAUUCUGAAUACCACAAGACAUGACUGUAACUUGGCUCGGCCAAAUCCUCUCAACAUUUAUUGAAUCCAACGUCAACUUCUCUAACUCUGGUAACCGAUCCUGCUCGAUCAAAAAAUUAACUUGUUAAUUGCAAGUAAACGAUCAUUGAUUAUAAAAUUCUUGUACGUACCCUUUCCGUCAAGAUAUUAGUAGUUCUUUUGUAUCUCGCCAUGAAUUCAGCACAUCCAGAUAUCACUAAUUCUUUCAAGGAUGGAAAUUCAAGAAUAUCAAGAUCUCCAGUGCAGAAGCUUGUGAACUUUUCAAGAUCAGCCAUCAUCAGAUAUCGCAACUGAGGAAACAUUACAAUAUUAUUCUUCAUUUCUUCUUCGUUGUCCACGACUAUUAACUCUUCCAAGACAGGACAUUCGACUAUCUUAAUGUGUUGGAGUCGAACCAAGCUACUAACAGUAGAAGAUGAAAAUAGACAUCUUAAAUUCUCACAGACACACAAGGUCAAGUGUGUUAAAUUCUGAAUACCACAAGACAUGACUGUAACUUGGUUUUGCCAAAUCCUCUCAACAUUUAUUGACUCCAACGUCAACUCCUCUAACUCUGGUAACCGAACCUGCUCGAUCAAAAAAUUAACUCAUUAAUUACAAGCAACAAUGAUUUCUGUUGAUGGACAAAUCAAUAAAAUUACUCUUUCUCUGGUUAUAGUUCUUUUCAGUUUUUCAUACAAACAACCGUUAAUCAAGUUUUCCAAAUUAUUCCUUACUAAAUGUAUAGAUUUAGACGGCGGCUAAUAUAGUUCAUAUUGUAAAUAUUCUUUGAUUGUAACGAAUUUUGUAAUAUUAAAUUUUGGUUGAUUCGCAAUAGGACCUACUAUCCAGCGCGAGCAGUUCUCGGGGAUUUAACUACUGGCACCUCGAUUAUAUAAAAAUUUAGAAUAUUUUCAAAGGAAAUCAAAUAAUUCCCCCUUGCAAAUAGUAAUUAUCAUCAAUUGCCGGGGGUUCACAUAUAAUUCUAAGAAAUUAGGCGAGAAGAGUCUCAUCAACAAUCAAUCAGCAAAUAUCACGUUUGGCAGAUCAUCAUGAUUUCCUCAGAUGCUAGAGAAUCAACGUGAUUUCUGCUCAUGCAGGAGUGGACACAUUAUCUUAGAGCAUCCCUCACUGAGAUCUUUUAAAAAAUUUAUAUUAUAAAGUGAACAACAUAUUUAGUAUAGAUUUAGACGGCGGCUAAUAUAAUUUAUAUGUAUUCUAAUGACGUAUAUUAAAGAAAAUGACUAACCAUAAUUUCAAUCAACUUAUUAGUCUAUAUAUAUAUAUAUAUAUAUAUAUAUAUAUAUAUAUAUAAAAGUGACUACAACAUAUUUAGUAUUCCAUGACAUGAUGUUUAUAAUAAUAAUUAUUAUUAAUUCACUUUUUGUGUCAAGAACCUUUUCUUUCUCUAAGAAUGAAUUUCUUACACCCUACUAUACUACGGAUGAAAAAUUUAGAAUCAUUGUGAAAUAUGAUUAUUAAUCACUCUUUGCCAUAUUUGCUACCAAACAAGAAUGCAACAAAGAAAAAAAAAAUUAUAGAGAAUUAAUAAGACCAUUGACUUAUCAAUAACUGACCUUCUCAGCGAAAAGUGUAUUAGAAAUUUGGACAUUGUCCUCCAAAAUGAUUUCAUGUGACCGCAAAUCAUUAGCUGAUUCCUCCUGUCUCUGCUAACAUUGCAGGUGUAUUGAUUUUAGAGUGUAAGCUUAAUUGUGAGCACAACCUUAAUGCAUAGAUACAAGAUCUUUAAAAAUUAGUACAAUAAACUUAGCACUAAAUCUGAAUUUGAUAUUUUGGAUUCCAUGAUUAAGAUUUUUUUAAAAUGAAAAUUUAAUAGAGUUAAUUUAAAAAUAAAAAUUAAAUAUGAAAAAUUAGAGUUGCAAUUAUGGAUUUAAUUUUGAUAAAUAAUGAAUGUUCUCUUAAUAUUUUUUUUUUAAAGGUAAAAGAGCGUACAAAGCCCAAAUUCAUUUUUUUAGUCCCUUACUCUCCCAUAAUUCAAACUUGGGUGGUUGUAGGAGGACUGAAAAUAUAUAAGACAGUUAACUUCACUUUUUUUUUUUUCUUUUUUUUUUUUGAGAGAAAAGAGAAGAAGGAUAUUACAAAGCAUGAAGCUCGUGCAAUAUAAGGGCAAUGAUGGUUUUUUCUUUAAAUUAAAAUAGUAAGAUUUUGAAGCUAAAAGAUUAAAAUAUUAAUUAAAUUGCAAACAUUAAAGAUUUUUUUUUUUCAAAUGGUUGCUUUGAAAAUGAGAAUAAUAUAAUAUUUGAAGACUUUUCAAAAUUAAUUACUGUGAUAGAUGCACUAGAAGUUUCUAGCUCUAGUCUAAUGUAUAAAUUGACAAAACGAUAUUAGAAUCCCAGGUGAAAAGAACCCUCUCACACCAAUUAUUUAAAUUAGGAAUGAUCAUACCUCUGACUCUGCCGAACUGAGGGCGGGGUCUAAACCCACCAUAAAGAGACGCUUGAGAUGGGAAGAGCCCACUUUGACUAAUUCAUUACGAAAAUAAUCGACAUCUUGCUCUUGCAAUCCCCAUAACUCAAGGUCUUCAAUUCUCUGCAGUUGCACGAUCAGCGAAUCCUUCAAGCAAAUCUUGUUAUUUAGCUCGACUCUGAAUUCACGACACGGAAUGCUGGUGAUCCCCCAAUACUCAAGAUCUCCAAUGCGUAUGCUGUACCUUUCCAGCUUCUCCAAGAACAGGCCUCUGGGCAGAGUGCUGACGUCAUGGGUGUCUAAUUCCAAAGAGGUCAAGUUGGGCAAAUGCUUCAACUCCUCAAGGCUUGCAUUCUUAACCCCUUCCACCUCCACCUCCCAAGCAGCAAAGCUUCUAUGACUUAUAUAUAGUUCUUCUAAAUGGGAUAAUUUUGACAGUAUAUUUGGUGGAAUAACUUUUAGACACCAACAAUCCCUCAAAUCAAGCAACUUUAGCCAAGUCAAUUCACCUACUUCUACCGGCAACUUCUCAAUAUAAGAACUUCUUAAGCAAAGGAUUUCUAGUUUCUUCAAGUCUCCUACAACACUUAUAUCACGCAAGCUGCAGUCACACAAACUCAGUGUUCGAAGGUUUGACAGGAGACCAAGUGAUGAAGGCAGUGACCGUAGAUUCAUGCCAGUCAAGUUGACAACUCUGACCUGCAUCAUCCUCUCGAAAAAGUUGUUUGGAAUUGUUAAUGAUGAAAAUUCCCAACGAUCAGCACGUAUAAAAAGAAGUUCGAGCUGAGGACAUUCCAGUACUUCAGGAAGCAAAUUAUUCUUGAUAUGAUGUAAGACGAUUGAAGUGCAAUGCUUUAUUGCACUUCCGUCUAACCAUUCCCUGCAACCAUCAACCUGCUCAUUUGUAGCAGUAAACACAUUUCGUUCAGUAGAUGCAAUUAAUAUGGCGACAUCGCGAACUACAUCAUGCAUAGAAAGCAACUCUUUCUUCUGGCUUAUAUGGUCAAGCAACAAACAAGAAUCUUUGAGCUGGUGUACCAAUGUAUGUACUCGAUUUCGUGCUGCUUCCAUCUUAUUCACACCUUGAAAUAAAGUCAAUCCCAUACCAAACAUUAACAGUUCGUCAAUAGAUGCUAUGGCUGUAUAUCCUAUUAGCAAAAAGAUGUUCUUCAGCUCCUCCCCUACCAAUUUGUCGUAACUCCACUUUAUGGCUUCAUAUGCAUCUGGCUGUACAUCCUUAAAAUUCGAUGAAGAAGGCCUUCCUAGUUUUUCCAAUGCAUCCUUCCAUUCCUGUAUGCUCUUGUUCCUUAAUGCCCUUGCAACCGUCACAAUGGAAAGUGGUAGACCUGCACAUCCCUUUGCCACACCCCUUGCUACCGAUUGGAAUUCACUGCCUUCAAAAUAAUCACCUGCCAUCUUCUUGAAUAGAUUCCAAGCUUCUUCUUCGUUUAAAACACCAAUUGAGAAAUUUGGUCGAGAAUCCAUCUUCCUAGACAAUACAUCUAGACUUCUGGCCGUCAGCAAUACUUUACAACCUUUAUGACCAUCUCCAUGAGGAAUUCCGACAACCCGCAAAUCAAGAUUUUCCCAAAUGUUGUCUAAAAUUAUCAGGAUCUUCUUCUCUGCUUCUAUACGUUUAAAUAAGCUGUUUGCCCUUCCUGAUUCACUUUCCUCAUGAAACUUCAGGCCUAAUUUAUCUGCUAUUUCUCCUUGAAUCUCUCGUAUGUUUUUAUUAUGGGAUACCUCAUCUCCUUGAAUCUUUCGUAUGUUUUGAUUACGGGAUACCUCAACAAGAACUACCUGAUAAAAGAGUUCACUCUUGACUUUCCUAGCAACUUCUUCCGCCAGCUUCGUCUUUCCGAUUCCGCCCAUUCCAUAAAUCCCAAGCAUGUUGACAUUGGGAUUUUUUAAUGCAUCCAUUAUGUCAUUCAGAAUGGGCGCUCUUGAUACAAAGGCCUCGUAGUCUUUGUUAGGGAUAAGCCGAAUAUCCUCUGCAGCAGUACGGUAGGAAAUUCUAUCAAAUCUUCUAGCGUCCCGGACUUUGACAAUAGCCUCUUUCAACGUCACUGCUUCCUUGCUAAGUCGACGGCGGGUCUUCAAAUUAGGACACAACCCCUUGAAACAACGCUUAUUUGCUGCGGCUUCAACUUCUGUAAAUUUAUCUGCCUCUUCAAUGACUUUGUUGGCCCCUUCAAGCCAACUCCUAACGUUCUCUUCAAUUUCUUCCCCGUUUCGUUCAGCCUCAUCAACCUGGUGCUUUGUACUCACCCUCUGAGACUUCAGAUUGUCAACUUCAGUCUUGAGAUUCUGUAAGUUGCUCGUGUACUUACUCUCACGCAAAUAGCUAAUGCGGCGAUAUGCGGGAGGAACCAAGCACUUCACAACUUCUACAACAAUAGUAAGAAUGAAUUCAGCCAUCUUCAGUCCUUUGUCCUUGUCUCUCUAUCUCUCUUUUUCUGAAUUUUUGAAAAACAAUUGACUACUUAGGAAGCACACUGAGUGAUUGAACACAAGUGACCACAACAAGAUGGAACAAAAUAAAAAGGAAAAAAAAUACAAAGAGUGGAAGGAGAAUAAAACAGAGACAGCGGCACAGCUGGACACAACUAGAUAGAGAACAGAGCAAAACCAAAUAACAAGACUUAAGAUUACAACAAACAGAGGCCAAGUAUUAUUGUUGAGAUCAGAAGAUGGAAAAUUCAAAAGAGUUGAUGGCAGAUGCUGAAUAACAAAACAACAAUGAACGCAAUAAGCAGAAGCAAAGUGUGUUUGAAUGCAAAGAAAGACUGAUGUUGAAAAUUGAUGUCAAUAGCGAAGGAAUAAUUGAACUUUCGCUGAAUUAUUGUUUGUGGCCUUCUUUUACUUUUUAUUUGUGGGUCAUGUCUUUUGGAACUAAUCAUCUUAGGUUAUGCCUUAUAGCUUUAAGGCCGGUAAACCGGUGUCCGUUGGAUUAGCAUAUAGAAAUCCAACGGUGGAUAUAUAUACUUGGAGAAUAAAAUUCAAGAGCUAAGGGAGUGCUGGGCUGCAGUUUCUUAAGGAGAUUUAUAUAUCCUCCUCAAAAAUAAAUGUUUUAAGGUAGAUAUUUAGACUAUUUCAUCAUAAAAUAAAUGUAAUUAGUUUUCAAUAAAUAUCUUAUAUAAAUAUUUAUUUAUUUUUUUAAUUACUAAUGACCUUUGAAUAUACAUAUAUACAUAUCCCUAGUUCAAAAAAUAAAUUGUGAUUAUUUGUUCAUGUAUGCGAUUACUUGUGAUGGGAAAUAAAAUAGAUAUGGUAUAUUUUGAAGUUAAAUUAAAAAAAAAAAAAACAGAGCUUUUACCAUUACUUGCCUUAUCAUCUUUUAAAUUAGAGUUAUUAUUCUUUUAUUUUUCAAGUUGCCAACUCAUCCGCAUUUUUUUUUUAUUGAAUUUGAAGAUCAAUGAUUAUAAAUGUGUGUAAAAAUUUUAAGUCAAAACUUUAAAUAAUCUUUAAGUUAUUGGGAAAUAAUAACUUAGUAUAACAAAUAUUAUAUCCUAUACUUUAUUGCUACAAAAUUACGAAACCUUAUAUUAUAUUAUGUUUCCAUAUUUCUCCUUUAUAGUGAAGACUCAUACUUCUUCUCUAUUAAAUGCUAAAGUAUUGGCUUAAAUUUUUUAACCAGCACAGUAGACCCUUAAGCUAUAUAUACUAUAAUGUCCCUCUUCUCUCAUAGAUUAAACCAAUCUGAUCUCGGAGUGAGUUGAUACCAUGACUUUGCAUAAUUCGUGAUCAAAGGAGUAUCAUUACUAACUAAUAUAGGCUCCAUCAAUAGGCAUGAUAAUAAUUUUUUUUAUAUACAAACACUGUUUUUCAAAAUAUUAUAUCUUAAGACUUAACUAAAUAUUUUGUAACUAUGUAGAUAUAGUUUGUUUGAUCUCUUUUAAAUAGUGGAGAUUACAAACAAACAUAUGCAAAUUAGUAGUGAUGUUGAGUUUAGAAGAUUGAAGUUAAGAAAAUUAAGGGUUUCUUGAUCUAGAGAAAUUUCAAAUGAGUGAAGUGUCCUUGAAAUCGGAAGACGAAAAUAAGGAAAGGGUAAGGGUGUAUUUUCAAAGUGAUUCUAUUACGAGAUUUUGAAGUAGGGGUGGGCAAGUCGGGUUUUGGUUCGGGUUGUUCAAGUUUCGAUUUGGAUUUCAACCCAAUCGGGUUUGAGAAUUGAAUCCAAUCGGGUUGAAAACGCCAACCCAAACUAAACCGAACCGAAUUUAAUUCAGCUUGGGUUCAUAAUUCGGAUUGGUAAUUCAGGUUAAAAUUUCGGUUCGGGUUAAUUUGGGUUAGAAUAAUUCCAUCUAAAAUUUUGGGUUAGUUCGGUUUAAAACAAAUUGAAACAAUUUAAUCCAAAAAUUAUACCAACAACCACUUAAAAUCCAAAAAUCUCAAUUCCAAACAUCCUUAACAACAAAUAUCAACUACAAACUAUCCUUGAUAACAUUUCAACAAUAACAAUAACAAUAAUAACAACAACAACAACAAUAAUAAUAAUAAUAACAACAACUAUGAAUCAGCAAUUCAGCAUAUUGCCAUAUUCUAAAUUUAAAAAAACACACAAAUUAUGUAAUUAAUUAAUUAACAAUCUCCAAUUUAAUUUAUAAUAACAACAAAAAUCCUCUCCAAUUUAAUUAAUAACAAUCUCGAAUUGUUCAAUUACCAGUCAACAACAACAAACCCACUCCAAAUAAUUGAACAAUUGUUAAUUAAUUAAUUAAAAAUAUCUAAUUUAAUUAAUAACAACACCCAAGAGCAAGUCAGCAAUAAACCCACUCAAAAAUCCAAAUAUCAGUAUAAAUUAAGUGUCAAACCUUGAUCGGUGGGAAGCUACAGCGUCGGCAAAUUGUGACCGUGUGGGGCUGAGUGAGACCGUCAACCGAGGGUGUGAGAAGGGAGGAGGGAGCAGGGAGGUAACGAGGUGUGUGUGAGUUUAUAUAUAUAUAUAUAUAUAUAAUUUUUAAAACCUAAAACUUAAAAAAAAAAUUUAACCCAAUCCAAACCGCCCACCUCAUAUUACUUCCGUUAAGAGAUGGAUCCCACACUCUUGAGCCUUUGUCGUCCCAGUCAACUAUAAAAACAAAUCAUUAUUGAGUGUGAAUAGACUUAUUGAUCACCCAAUUUUCAAACUUAUCAUCCUUAUUGUAUCUGCAUUCCCUUUUGAAAAUUUUUUAAAAAAGUACAAAUAAUGAAACAAAGUUUUGUUCCUUCAACAGUUGAUAGAGUUACGCGGCUUGGACUUGCAAGUGCUGUCGGCAUUUUCAAACUUGUAAGACCCUUCAACUUGCUUUCCAAGAUAGCUAUAAUUAAUAAUGACAACAGUCUCCCUCAUAGCGACUAGUGAGCAACUGAAAUUAACGGCAUCUUCUCUCGCAUUUUUAAAAAAAUUGAAUUAUAUAACCCACCAAAACUAUAAAGAAUUGUUAGUUUUUCUUCAUUAAAAUUAAUAUAUUGCUCCUCAUAUUGAAAAAUCAAAAUUCAGAAUAAGAAUGAUUGAUACUGUUUAUUUACUAAAAUGAAAAUAAAAUAUAUGAAGCCUACAUAUUUUUGAAAUUAAAAAACAAGAACUUGAUUUUCCUUGGGGAGUGUUGGAAAUCAAGUUCUUGUUAUUUAAACUCUCAAUUGUAUCUCACCGAAAUUUCAUAAUUCUACUUUUGUCUUCAAUUAAAAUAUUAUUAUAGUUAUUAUUCUUAUUUUUGUAGUUGUUGUUGUUGAUUAUGAUAAAUGGUCAGGCAAAUGAUUCAUUUACUUAUUUUUUUCCUUUUAAAUUUUUGUUAUUAAGAAGAUUUUUGGAUAUUUAGCGUGAAGGUCUCAACUGAUCGCUAAUUUCACAGCAACUUCCUUUUUUUUUUUUUCCCUCAAUUGUUUUGAAAAAAUAUCAAGACUCAUUCAGCAAAAUAUCCGAGGCCAAAGCGCCAAAAGAUGGGACAGCCACAUGCACUUCUAAUUACAAAAUCUAAAGUUAGGGUGUCCAUAACUUACAUUUAAUAUAAUUUAUAAUUAGGUAAAAUUCAUUCAUUGACCCAGUAAUUUUAUUAUCCUAUUACUUAUAUUUUUAUAUUAAAAAAUUAGUAAGUAGGAAAAUUCUUAAAAGAUAAUGAAGAAGGAAAAGAAAAAGAAAAAGUGUAAAUGAACUGUAUUCACAUAAGUUUCAAACAUGUGAUUCAAUCUGAAUUGGCUUUUUUCAAAAGUAAAUACAAAGGAAAAUAAAAAGAAAAAAGCAAUUAAACGAGACUAAAAUCUGUGGCCUGUGUCAUUCAUAUCUUUUGACAUUUCUUUUAUAGCGGUAUAAAGGGUAGAUAUUUUGAAGUGAAAAGCAAAGCCUUUACCAUUACUUGCCUUAUCAUCUUUUAAAUUAGAGUUAUUAUCCUUUUAUUUUUAAGUAGCCAAAUUAGAGUUAUCAUCCUUUUAUUUUUAAGUAGCCAACUCAUCCGCAUUAUCUAUUAUUGAAUCUAAAGAUAAAUGAUUAUAAAUUUCUCUGAAGAUUUUAAGUCCAAACUAUAAAUUAAAAUAAUCUUAUUGAUUAAGUUAUUGUAUAAUAAUAACCUUAGCAUGACAAAUAUUAAUUCUUCUCUAGUAAAUGCUAAAGUAUUGGCUUAAGUUUUUUAACCAGCACAGUAAAUCCUUAAAGCUAUAUAUGCUAUAAUGUCCCUCUUCCCUUACAAAUUAAACCAAUUUGAAUUUAGAGUGAGUGAGUACCAUGAGUUUGCAUCAUUUGAUAUCAAAGGAGCAUCAUUACUAACUAAUACAGGCUCGAUCGAAUUCAUCAUACGAAGCAUAUUAUCGGCUGUAGGUAUGGAAAUAAAUUUUGUAUCCACAAACACUAUUUUUCAAAAUAUUUAAGACUUAACUUAUCAUUUUUUAACCAUAUAUGCAUAGGUUGUUUGACCUAUUUUAAAUAAUGGAGAUUACAACAAAUGAACAGAUGUGGAUUAGUAGUGUUGUUGAGUUCAGAAGAUUGAAGUUAAGAAAAAGGUUUCUUGAUCCAGAGAAAAUUCAAAAGAGCGAAGUGUCUUCGAGAUCAGAAAACGAAAUAAGGAAAGGGUAAGGUUAUACUUUCAAAAUGAAUUUGUUGAGAGAUCUUUGAAGAUUAUUUUCAUUAACAAUUAGAUCCCACACUUGAGUCUUUGUCGUCUCAGUCAGUCAGUUAUAAAGACAAAUUAAUUUUGAGUAUGAAAGGACUUUCAAACUUGUGACCCUUCAAGCUUUCUAUGACAGCUAUAAUGAAUAAUUACAACAGUGCUACCUAAUAGUGAGCAACUUGUUUGAUGAAAUUAACAACUUCUUUUCUCUCAUGUAUUUUUAAAAAAUUGAAUUAUCAAAGCUUUUAUUUCAAAAUUAGUGCUAUAGUUCAUUAAUUUUGAAAAAUUUUCUUUUUUCUUUCCACACAACAGAUUGAUUUGCCCUCCAAAAACUGUAUUAGAUUGUUUAAUAUUGUAACUUCAAAAAACUUAUAAUAAAUUUUUAAAGAGAUAAAUAGGGAAUGUCAGUCUCCCAUCUACUCAAAAUUAAUAUAUAUCAUUAACUCUUGAUUAUUUUUAUAACAACUAAUAACUUUCUGGGCAGCAUAAUUUUACAGUAUCAUCCUUGUUUGUAAGUAUAUUUUUAUUCACAUUUAUUAUAAAUUAAUUAAGUCAUAUCAAUGAAAAUUGAAAUAGAAAUUGAAGUACUAAAAAAAAUGUUUUGGUGUGAAUAAAAAAUUGAAAAUAAAAAUAUUUUUAUUAUAUUUUUUAUUUUUAAAUGGUUUUCUUAUAAUAAAUAUAUAUUUUAUAUUCUCAAAUUGAAUUAUUGAGUAAAUGACUCAUUUACUCACUUUUUCUUUUAAUUUUGUUAUUAGGAGGAUUUUUAGAUAUAAUGAAAAUUGUAAGGUAGUAAGUAAUAUAAAAUAAUUUUAAUAGAGAAAAAUAAAAAAUCUGUAAUUUUAAAAUAUAAGGAGAAAAAUAAUUAAUUUCAAGAUAUUUUAGAAGAUAUUUCAAUAUGCGGUGGACUAUAAACUCGAGUCUUUGUCGUCACAGUCAACUAAAAGGACAAAAUAUUGAGUGCGAAGGGCUCAACUGAUUGCUAAUUUCACAGUAAUUGCGUUUUUUCUUUCUUUUUUUUAAUUAUUGGGAAAUAAUAACUUAGUAUAACAAAUAUUAGAUCCUAUACUUUAAUGCUGCAAAAUUAUGAAACCUUAUAUUAUAUUAUGUUUCCAUAUUUCUCCUUUAUAGUGAAGACUCACACACUUCUUCUGUAGUAAAUGCUAAAGUAUUGGCCUAAACUUUUUAACCAGCACAAUAAACCCUUAAGUUAUAUAUGCUAUAAUGUACCUCUUCCCUCACAGAUUAAACCAAUCUGAUCUCAGAGUGAGUUUGCAUCGAAGGAGUAUCCUUACUAACUAAUAUAGGCUCGAUCAAUAGGGAUGACAAUAAUUUUUUUAUCUACGAACAUUAUUUUUUCAAAAUAUUAUAUCUUUAGACUUAACUAAAUAUUUUUUUAAUCAUGUAUGUAUAGUUUGUUUGAUCUCUUUUAAAUAGUGGAGAUCACAACAAAGCAAAUGCUAAUUAGUAGUGAUGUUGAGUUCAGAAGAUUGAAGUAAUGAAAAUUAAGGGUUUCUUGAUCCAGAGAAAUUUCAAAAGAGUGAAGCGAAAAGUGAAUUUAUUGAGAGAUCUUUAAAGAUUUACUUCCAUUAAGGGUUGGAUGCCACACUUUUUGAGCCUUUGUCGUCCCAAUCAUUCAAUUAUAGGAUCCCUAAGCAUAUAACUUACAAUCCUUUCACAUAAAUAAUGAGUAGUGUGAAUCCAUACAACUUACAACCUUCUCACAUAAAUAAUGAGUAGUGUGAAUCCAUACAACUUACAACCUUCUCACAUAAAUAGUGAGUAAAUCUAAACUACUCACUAUUCAUGUAAAAAAAUUAUAAAUUACAUACAUGUAACUUAGCAUUAUUCUCCACUAUAAAGACAUAUUCUUAUUGAGGGUGAAUAGGCAUAUUGAUCACUAAAUUUUCAAACUUGUGAUCCUCAUUAAAUGUGAUUCCCCUUUGAAAAAGAAAAAAAAGUGCAAAUAAUGAAACAAAAUUAUGUUCCUUAGCAGCAAGUGGCGUCGGCAUUUUCAGACUUGUAAAAGGGAAUGAGAUCCUUUCCUGAACCCGGAUCUCAUUCCCUGUGAAACAAAAAAAGGUGCAAAUAAUGAAACAAAAUUCUGUUCCUUAGCAGCAAGUGGCGUCGGCAUUUUCAGACUUGUAAAAGGGAAUGAGAUCCUUUCCUGAACCCGGAUCUCAUUCCCUGUGAAACAAAAAAAGGUGCAAAUAAUGGAACAAAAUUUUGUUCCUUAACAGCAAGUGGUGUCGGCAUUUUCAGACUUGUAACAAGGGAAUGAGAUCCUCUCCUGAACCGGGAUCUCAUUCCCUGUGACAAGACCCUUGCCACCCUUCAACUCGCUUUCCAAGAUAGCUAUAUUAAUCGUGACAACAUUACUCUCAGUGAGCAAAAGUUAACAUCAUCUUCUCCCUAUUUUUUUAAAAAAUUGUAUUAUAUAGCCCACCAAAACUAUAAAGAGUCUUUUCUUAUUAAAAUUAAUAAAUUACUCUUUAUAUUAAAAAAUUAAAAUUCAAAAUGAAAAUGAUCUGAUGUUUAUUUAUUAAAAUAUAAAUAAAAUAUAUGAAGUUCAUAUUUUUUUAAAUUAAAAAAUAAGAACCUAAUUUCAUUCCUUAAAUUCCCAAAUUUACCUCACAAAAAUUCCAUAAACUUACUUUUGUCCUUAAUUAAAAUAUUAUUAUGUUAUUAUUAUGGUUAUUAUUCUUAUUUUUGUAAUAGUUGUUGUUGUUGAUGAUGAUAAUACAUAUAAUAAAAUUAAUAAUAAUAAAAAUAAUAACUAUAAUUUUAACAACAGCAAUAAUAAUCAUUAAUAUUAUUGUUGUUGUUGUUGUUGUUGUUGUUGUUCUUCUUCUUCUUCUUCUUCUUCUUCUUCUUCUUCUUCUUCUUCUUCUUCUUCUUCUUCUUAUUAUUAUUAUUAUUAUUAUUAUUAUUAUUACUAUCCUAUUAUAAUAAUAUUAUUAAAUAAUUAUUUUGAAUAAUAAUAAUCACAAUUAUUAUAACAAACGACAAAAAUCAACUAAGGUAAUUUUAAUAACUUGUAAGAAUUCAUUUUUAUUCAUGGAUAUGUGAUUAUUUGUUAAUGUAUGCAAUUACUUGUGAUGGUAAACAAAGUAUAUAUGGUAUAUUUUCAAGUUAAAAAAGAAAAACAAAACAAAGUUUUUACCAUUUCUUGCCUUAUCAUCUUUUAAAUUAGAGUUAUUAUUCUUUUUAUUUUUCAAGUUGCCAACUCAUCCGCAUUCUCUUUUAUUGAAUUUGAAGAUCGAUGAUCAUAAAUUUGUGUGAAAAUUUUAAGUAAAAAUUUUAAAUUAAAAUAAUCUUUUAAGUUAUUGGGAAAUAAUAACUUAGUAUAACAAAUAUUAUAUCCUAUACUUUAUUGCCACAAAACUACAAAACCAUAUAUUAUAUUAUGUUUUCAUAUUUCUCCUUUAUAGUGUGAAGACUCAUACUUCUUCUCUAGUAAAUGCUAAAGUAUUGGCUUAAACUUUUUAACCAGCACAGUAGACCCUUAAGUUAUAUAUGUUAUAAUGUCCCUCUUCGCUCACAGAUUAAACCAAUCAGUAGCCUUCUCUCAUAUAGAAAAACUUUUUGUAUAAGACAAAUUAUUAUGUUAUCGGAAAAAUUACAGUAGACGUAAGCUAUAUAUGUUAUAAUGUUCAGAAGAUUGAAGUUAAGAAAAUUAAGGAAAGGGUAAGGAUGUAUUUUCAAAGUGAAUUAUUAAGAGAUCUUUGAAGAUUACUUCCGUCAAGAGUUGGGUCCCACACUUUUACCUUUUGCUCGUUCCCGUGAAAGUCAGUUUAGAAUUUUUAUCUUAUUUCACAAAGCUAAUUUUUUAUCACAAGCAGGAGAGAAACGGCAUUUCUUAGCAGUAGUUCAUCACUGUAGUAGCGAGCGAGUGAGGAACAAAAUUGCCAACAAUUAUCAAAAAAUAAUUAUAUAAAAAAGAUCACAUGCUAUAAUUAAUCAUGACAAUUGACAACAUUACUCCCACCGAGCAAAAGUUAACAGCAUCUUCUCCCACAUUUUUUAAAAAAAAUUGUAUUAUAUAACCCACCAAAAGUAUAAAGCGUCUUUCCUUAUUAAAAUUAAUAAGUUACUCUUUAUAUUGAGAAAUUAAAAUUUAAAAUGAGAGUGAUUAAUGAUGUUUAUUUAUUAAAAAUAAAAUAAAAUUUAUGAAGUCUAUAUAUUUUUUAAAUUAAAAAAUAAUAACUUAAUUUCUUAUAGGGAGUGUUGGAAAUCAAGUUUUUAUUUCUUAAAUAUCCAAUUUUACUUCACAAAAAUUUUAUAAGUUCACUUUUAUCCUUAAUUAAAAUAUUAUUAUGGUUAUUAUUCUUAUUUUUGUAGUAGCUGCUGUUGUUAUUGUUGUUGUUGUUGUUGAUGAUGAUGAUAAUAGUUGAUAAUAAAAUUAAUAAUAAUAAUGAAAAUAAUAACUAUAAUUUUAACAGCUACAAUAAUAAUCAUUAAUGUUAUCGUUGUUCUUAUUAUUAUUAUUAAAAAAUAAUUAUUUUGAAUAAUAAUAAUCACAAUUAUUAUAACAAACAACGACAAUAAUCAACUAAUGUCAUUUUUCUAACUUAUAACAAUUCAUUUUUUAUUCCAAGACAAACUAACCAUAUCAAUAAUAAUACAGGUCGUUUCGAUUCUAAUUUUUACAGGUAAAGUAAAUAAUUUAUUCUGAUUCUCAUUUUUUAUUUUGAUUUUAUUCUAUUCCGAUUCCAUUUGAUUAUGAUUCCAGCCAAUUCUAAUUAUCGAUUAGAAAAUGCAUUGUUACUACUUUAACAAUAACUAAUGAUUCUCCUCACAAUUCUUAUAGGAUUAUCCUUAUUUUAAAAUAUUUUUUAUUCGUAUUUAUUAUUAAUUAAUUAAAUUAUAUCAAUGAAAAUCAAAUAAAAAUUUAACUAAUAAAAAUGAGAAAAUAUAUGUUUCGGUUUGAAUAAAAAAUUAUAAUAAAAUAUUUUUCUUACAUACUUUAAAUAUUUUUAUUAUAAUAAAUAUUUUUUUAUUCUCAAAAUAAAUUAUCAAGUAAACGAUUCAUUAACUCAUUUUUUUCCUUUAAAUUUUUGUUAUUAAGAAGAUUUUUGGGUAUUGACCGUGAAGGGCUCAACUGAUCGCUAAUUUUGCAGCAAUUACCUUUUCUUUUUCUUUUUUUUUAAUUGUUUUGAAAAAAUAUCCAGACUCAUUCUGCAAAGUACCUGAGACUAGAGCUGGCAAAAUUUGACACGACCCGAUUACCCGACACGAACACGACAUAAAUAAAUGGGUAUGGGUCGUCAAAUUUAACACGAUUAUUAAAUGGGUCGGGUCCGGGUCAACACGAUUUUUUUCCGUGUCGGGUUUGGGUUAAAAUUCUUGACCCAUUUACCCGAUCAAUGACCCGAUUAUAUUUUCUAUUUUAAAAUAAUUUAUAUAUUCUUAUAAUUAAAACUCAAAUAUUAGAGAUGAUUUUCUUUUUUUUUUUAUUUUUUAAAAGGGUGAAUAUAAACACAGUGUUUUAUUUAUAAAAUUUUACAUACAUUUAGAGCUUCAAUAGUGUAAAUGUGUAAAAAUUGAUAGACAUGUAUAUUUUAUAAUAUUGAUAUAUAAUAUUAUAUAUAUAUAUAUAUAUAUAUAUAUAUAUAUAUAUAUAUAUAUAUAUAUAUUAAAACUUCAAUAGUAUAAAUGUAUAAUAUAUUGGUAGAUAUAUAUAUUUUAUAAUAUUGAUAAAUUAUGUAUGUAUGUAUGUAUGUAUGUAUGUAUGUAUGUAUGUAUGUAUGUAUGUAUUUAUGUACAUACGUAUGUAUGAUAGUGUGUAAAUAUUUUAUGUAACUUUUGUUCAAUAUAUAGAUAUUAAACGGGUUAUUGGGUAACCCGAUUAUUUUUCCGUGUCGGGUUUGAGUCUCAAUAUUUUGACACGAUUAUUAAAUGGGUCGGGUUUGGGUCGAUCUAAAUUUGACACGACACGAAACUGACACGAUACGAACACGAUCCGAUGACCCGUUUUGCCAGCUCUACCUGAGACCAAAGCGCCGGCCAAAGCGCCGAAAGAUAGGACACCCACAUGUGCUUUUAUUUACAAAAUCUAAAGUUAGGGUGGGUGUCCAUAACUUAAAUUUAAUAGAAUUUAUAAUUAGGUAAAAUUCUUUGAUUGACCCAUUAACUUUUAUUAUUUUAUUAUUUAUUUUUAUAUUAAAAAAUUAGUAAUGUAGAAAAAUUCUUAAAAGUUAAUGGAGAAGGAAAAGAAAAAGAAAAAGUGUAAAUGAACUGUAUUCAUUUAAGUUUCAAACAUGUGGUUCAAUCUGAAUUCGUUUUUUUUAAAAGUAAAUACAAAAGAAAAUAUAAAGAAAAAAAAUUAAACGAGACAAAAAUCAGUGGCGUGGGUCAUUCAUAUCUUUUUCCAUUUUUUUUUAAUAGAGGUACAUAGCAUAGAGUCGAUAUUUUGAAGUGAAAAGCAGAACCUUUACUGUUGCUUCCCUUAUCAUCUUUUAAAAUUAGAGUUAUUAUUCUUUUAUUUUUAAGUGGCCAACGGAUGGUAGCCAACUCAUCCGUGUUCUCUAUUAUUGAAUUUAAAGAUCAAGGAUUUAUGUUAAUAAAUAUUUUGUUAACUAUCAAAGUUUUUAUUUCAAAAUUACUCCUAUAAUUCAUUAAAUUUUCAAUUUUUCCUUUUUCUAUUCACACAACAGAUUGAUUUGCCCUCCAAAAAAAUGUAUUAGAUUGUUUAAUAUUGUAACAUCAAGAAACUUAUAAUAAAUUUUUAAAGAGAUAAAUAGAGAAUGUCAGCAUCUACUCAAAAUUAAUAAAUAUACCACUAACUUCUUAUUAUUUUUAUAAUAACUAAUAACUUUUUUACCAGUAUAAUUUUAUAGUAUUAUUCUUAUUUGUAAGUAUAUUUUUUAUUCAUAUUUAUUAUAAAUUAAUUAAAUCAUAUCAAUAAAAAUUAAAAUAACACAAUAUGUUUUGGAGUGAAUAAAAGAUUGAAAAUAAAAAUAUUUUUCUUUUAUUUUUUGUUAUUUUAAAAUUUUUUUCUUAUAAUAAAUGUAUAUUUUAUAUUCUUAAGAUGAAUUUUGAGUAAAUGACUCAUUUACUCACUUUUUCUUUAAAUUUUUGUUAGUAGGAGGAUUUUUAGAUAUAAUGAAAAUUGUAAGGUAGUAAGUAAUAAUAUAAUAAUUUUAAUAAAGAAAAAUAAUUAAUUUCAAGACAUUUCAGAAGAUAUUUCAAUAUGCGGUGGACUACAUCCUUGAGUUGAGUCUUCAUCGUCUCAGUCAACUAAAAGGACAAAAUAUUGAGUCACAAAGGACUCAACUGAUUGUUAAUUUCACACCAAUUACCUUUUUUUUCUUUUUUUUUUCUUAAUCUAUAUAUUUAUAUAAAGUUAGUACUUGAGAAUGUGAUGUAUCAUCACCAUUUUUUUUUAUUUAAUAAAUAGAGAAAUUUUCUUUUAAAUUUGACUUUUCAUUUUCUCAUAAUUAAUUUGAUUGCUAUUGCACAAUAACAAUUAUGUAAAGAUUUUAAUGAGGCAUAUUAUUUGUAAUGAACAUUUAAGAGAGAGUGUUAUUUGUAAUGAACAUCUAAGGGAGAGUGUUAUGAAUUUAUUAAAAUAAAUAUAUAUUUUCAUAAUAUAUAUCUCUUAGUCUCCCCACUAUCUCCCAUUAGCAACCUUUAGCUUCCUUAUAACUCCCACUAUUUUUAUAAAUCCACCCACCUUCAUAAAAUAAUUACAAUAAGUUCACAUUAUUUUAUAGAAUUACAAAUUAAUAAUAAGUUUGAAUAAUUAAUUAAUUAAAUCAUUCUUAUAAUUUUUUUUCUUUCUUUGUCUUUCAACAAUCUUUAAUAAUUUAAGGUUGCUUUAAGAUAAGUUUAAUUUAAUUAAUUUACCCUUAUAAUAUAAAAUAACAAAAUUACCCUAAGAAAUAUAUAUUAUUGUAACUAAUUGUUUAGGCAUUUAGUUUUAUGUUUUAUAAUCUAAUAUGCUUUAUAUAAAAUUUAAUAAUUUUCAAUACUCCAAAUGUCCUAAUUACAUCUUGUUAGUUUAGUGAAAUAUUAAUAAUUAUACUAAAAAAGCAUUACUUAUACAUCAUUAAAAUAUAAAAAAAAUUAUUAAGUUAAAGUAAACUUUUAGAUAUUUUUGUUACUUUUACCUUAUAAGGUUAGAAUAAUUAUAUUAAUUUAUGUUAAAACAACCUUAUUGAUCAAAUAUAAUUAAAAAAAUAGUCUCAUAAAAAAAUUAAUGAAUAUGGAUUUAAUUGGUUAAAUUUUUAAAUUUCUUCUUAAUUUGAAUUUUUAAAAAAUAAUGUGUACUUGUAGUAAUGAUUUUUUAAAAUUGGGGUGGGUUAUUAUUGAUGACCUUUGAACAUACAUACAUAUUAUUAAUAUAUUUAUUAAUAUAUACGAUUACUUGUGAUGGUAAACGAGGUAGAUAUGGUAUAUUUUUAAGUUAAAAAAAAAAAACAAAACUUUUACCAUUUCCUGCCUUAUCAUCUUUUAAAUUAGACUUAUUAUUAUUUUAUUUUUCAAGUUGCAACUCAUCCUCAUUCUCUUUUAUUGAAUUUGACGAUCAAUGAUUAUAAAUUUGUGUGAAAAUUUUAAAUCAAAGUUUUAAAAUAAAAUAAUCUUUAAGUUAUUGAGAAAUAAUAACUUAAUAUAACAAAUAUUAUAUCUUGUACUUUAUUGCUACAAAAUUACGAAACCUUAUAUUAUAUUAUGUUUCCAUAUUUCUCCUUUAUAGUGAAAACCCAUACUUCUUCUCUAGUAAAUGCUAAAGUAUUGGGUUAAACUUUUUAACCAGCACAGUAGACCCUUAAGCUAUAUAUGUUAUAAUGUCCCUCUUCCCUCAGGAUUAAACCAAUCUGAUCUCAGAGUGAGUUUGCAUUAUUUGUCAUCAAAGGAGCAUCAUUACUAACUAAUAUAGACUCGAUCAAUAGGUAUGACAAUAAAUUUUCUGUCUACGAACACUAUUUUUUAAAAUAUUAUAUCUUUAGACUUAACUAAAUAUUUUUUAAUCAUAUAUGUAUAGUUUGUUUGAUCUCUUUUAAAUAGUGGAGAUCACAACAAAGCAAAUUCGAAUUAGUAGUGAUGUUGAGUUCAGAAGAUUGAAGUAAAGAAAACUAAGGGUUUCUUGAUCCAGAGAAAUUUCAAAAGAGUGAAGCGAAAAGUGAAUUUAUUGAGAGAUCUUUGAAGAUUUACUUCCGUUAAGAGUUGGAUGCCACACUUUUUGAGCCUUUGUCGUCCCAAUCAUUCAAUUAUAGGAUCCUUAAGUAUAUAACUUUCAAUCUUUUCACAUAAAUAAUGAGUAGUGUGAAUUCAUACAACUUAUAACUUUCUCACAUACAAUUUACAACAUUCUCACAUAAAUAGUGAGUAAAUCUAAACUACUCACUAUUCAUGUAAAAAAAUUAUAAAUUAUAUAUAACUUAGCAUUAUUCUCCACUAUAAAGACAUAUUCUUAUUAAGUGUGAACAGACAUAUUGAUCACUAAAUUUCCAAACUUGUGAUCCUCAUUAAAUGUGAUUCCCCUUUGAAAAAGAAAAAAAAGUGCAAAUAAUGAAACAAAAUUAUGUUCCUUAGCAGCAAGUGGCGUCGGCAUUUUCAGACUUGUAAAAGGGAAUGAGAUCCUUUCCUGAACCCGGAUCUCAUUCCCUGUGAAACAAAAAAAGGUGCAAAUAAUGAAACAAAAUUCUGUUCCUUAGCAGCAAGUGGCGUCGGCAUUUUCAGACUUGUAAAAGGGAAUGAGAUCCUUUCCUGAACCCGGAUCUCAUUCCCUGUGAAACAAAAAAAGGUGCAAAUAAUGGAACAAAAUUUUGUUCCUUAACAGCAAGUGGUGUCGGCAUUUUCAGACUUGUAACAAGGGAAUGAGAUCCUCUCCUGAACCGGGAUCUCAUUCCCUGUGACAAGACCCUUGCCACCCUUCAACUCGCUUUCCAAGAUAGCUAUAUUAAUCGUGACAACAUUACUCUCAGUGAGCAAAAGUUAACAGCAUCUUCUCCCUAUUUUUUUAAAAAAUUGUAUUAUAUAGCCCACCAAAACUAUAAAGAGUCUUUUCUUAUUAAAAUUAAUAAAUUACUCUUUAUAUUAAAAAAUUAAAAUUCAAAAUGAAAAUGAUCUGAUGUUUAUUUAUUAAAAUAUAAAUAAAAUAUAUGAAGUUCAUAUUUUUUUAAAUUAAAAAAUAAGAACCUAAUUUCAUUCCUUAAAUUCCCAAAUUUACCUCACAAAAAUUCCAUAAACUUACUUUUGUCCUUAAUUAAAAUAUUAUUAUGUUAUUAUUCUUAUUUUUGUAAUAGUUGUUGUUGUUGAUGAUGAUAAUACAUAUAAUAAAAUUAAUAAUAAUAAAAAUAAUAACUAUAAUUUUAACAACAGCAAUAAUAAUCAUUAAUAUUAUUGUUGUUGUUCUUGUUGUUGUUGUUGUUGUUCUUCUUCUUAUUAUUAUUAAUAUUAUCAUCCUAUUAUAUUAUUAUUAUUAAAUAAUUAUUUUGAAUAAUAAUAAUCACAAUUAUUAUAACAAACGACAAUAAUCAACUAAGGUAAUUUUAAUAACUUGUAACGAUUAAUUUUUAUUCAAAGAUAUGUGAUUAUUUGUUAAUGUAUGCAAUUACUUGUGAUGGUAAACAAAGUAUAUAUGGUAUAUUUUCAAGUUAAAAAAGAAAAACAAAACAGAGUUUUUACUAUUUCUUGCCUUAUCAUCUUUUAAAUUAGAGUUAUUAUUCUUUUUAUUUUUCAAGUUGCCAACUCAUCCGCAUGCUCUUUUAUUGAAUUUGAAGAUCGAUGAUGAUAAAUUUGUGUGAAAAUUUUAAGUCAAAGUUUUAAAUUAAAAUAAUCUUUAAAUUAUUGGAAAAUAAUAACUUAGUUGUAAUAAAUAUUAUAUUCUAUACUUUAUUGCUACAAAAUUACGAAACCAUAUAUUAUAUUAUGUUUUCAUAUUUCUCCUCUAUAGUGAAGACUCAUACUUCAACUUUUUAACUAGUACAGUAGACCUUUAAGCUAUAAAUGUUAUAAUGUCCCUCUUCGCUCACAGAUUAAAACAAUCUGUAGCCUUCUCUCAUAUAGAAAAACUUUUUGUAUAAGACAAAUUAUUAUGUUAUAGGAAAAAUUACAGCAGACGUAAGCCAUAUAUGUUAUAAUGUUCAGAAGAUUGAAGUUAAGAAAAUUAAGGAAAGUGUAAGGAUGUAUUUUCAAAGUGAAUUAUUAAGAGAUCUUUGAAGAUUACUUCCGUCAAGAGUUGGGUCCCACACUCUUAAGCUUUUUUCGUCUCAAUCAACUAACAAGACAAAUUAUUAUUGGGUGUGAACAGUCCGGCUUAUUGAUUGUUAAAAAAAUAGCAUUAUUUUGAGCGCACAUGUUGAGUAAGUCUUAUUUAACGAAAGUGAAAAAUAAGGUUCAAAUUUUAUUUUAUUGAUAUUUUAAUAAUAUUUUUUUUUAUUUUUUUAAAAUGGUGUUUAGGUAAAUAAGAAAUUAUUUAUUAAAAUUCAUUUUUAAAGUUAAAAAUUUAAAAAGAAAUGAGGUUUAUCCCACAUGAAAAAAAGAAGCUUAAGAAUUAGUAUUUAUAUAUAAACAUUUAACCAUUCAUAAAUAAGAAUUAUAGGAAUAGAGACUCUUUUCACACAUACGUGCGUAAGGGGUACAAAUUCAAGACGAAUUUAGUUGAACUCGUGUGCACCUGCAUAUCCUGAGAACGCAAAUGUCGGUGAUAAAUUUGUUUUAAAGAUUCUACUCUGUGUAGGCCUCGGUUCCAUUUUAUUUUUUCUGUUUCGGUUUUCAUCUCUCUUCGGUUUUGCUUUCUAUUAUUUCAUUUCAAAUUUCAGUAGUUAUCUUUCGUUGCUUAGCUACUGUUUAAUUUGUUACCUCACCGUUUGUUUUAUCUAACAUUGAUCACCAAAUUUUCAAACUCGUGAUCCUGAUUGAAUCUGCGUUCCCCUUUGCAAAAGUAAUAAAAAAAAGUGCAAAUAAUGAAGACUUUCUCUUUUCACAUUUUUUACGCGUUUCUCUUUUCUCUCCCCCACGUGAACACUUUUGCCUUUUGCUCGUUCACGUGAACGUCAUUUUAGAAUUUUUAUCUUUAUUAAUCAUGACAAUUGACAACAUUACUCCCACAUUUUUUUUAAAAAAAUUGGAUUAUAUAACCCACCAAAAGUAUAAAAAGUAUUUUCUUAUUAAAAUUAAUAAAUUACUCUUUAUAUUAAAAAAUUAAAAUUUAAAAUAAAGAAUGAUUGAUGAUGUUCAUUUAUUAAAAUAAAAAUAAAUUUUAUGAAGUCUAUAUAUUUUUAAAAUUAAAAAAUAAGAACUUAAUUUCGUAUGAACUGUAUUCACUACUUAGUAUUCUUAAAAGUUAACGGAGAAGAAAAAGAAAAAAAAAAGUGUAAAUGAACUGUAUUCACCUAAGUUUCAAACAUGUGGCUCAAUCUGAAUUCGCUUUUUUCAAAAGUAAAUACAAAAGAAAAUAUAAAGAAAAAAAAUUAAACGAGACAAAAAUCUGUGGCGUGGGUCAUUCAUAUCUUUUUCCAUUUCUUUUGUAGAGGUACAUAGGGUAGAUAUUUUGAAGUGAAAAGCAGAGCCUUUACUGUUGUUUGCCUUAUCAUCUUUUAAAAUUGGAGUUAUUAUUCUUUUAUUUUUAAGGAUGGUAGCCAACUCAUCCGUGUUCUCUAUUAUUGAAUUUAAAGAUCAAUGAUUUAUGUUAAUAAAUUUUUUGUUAACUAUCAAAGUUUUUAUUUCAAAAUUACUGCUAUAAUUCAUUAAUUUUUCAAUUUUUCCUUUUUCUAUUCACACAACAGAUUGAUUUGUCCUCCAAAAAAAUGUAAUAGGUCGUUUAAUAUUGUAACAUCAAGAAACUUAUAAUAAAUUUUUAAAGAGAUAAAUAGAGAAUGUCAGUCUCGCAUCUACUCAAAAUUAAUAAAUAUACCACUAACUUCUUAUUAUUUUUAUAAUAACUAAUAACUUUUUUAGCAUUAUAAUUUUAUAGUAUUAUCCUUGUUUGUAAGUACAUUUUUUAUUCAUAUUUUUUAUAAAUUAAUUAAAUCAUAUCAAUAAAAAUUAAAAUAACACAAUAAGUUUUGGAGUGAAUAAAAGAUUGAAAAUAAAAAUAUUUUUCUUAUAUUUUUUGUUAUUUUUAAAUGUUUUUCAUAUAAUAAAUGUACAUUUUAUAUUCUUAAGAUGAAUUUUGAGUAAAUGACUCAUUUACUCAUUUUUUUUCUUUAAAUUUUUGUUACUAGGAGGAUUUUUAGAUAUAAUGAAAAUUGUAAGGUAGUAAGUAAUAUAUAAUAAUUUUAAUAGAGAAAAAUAAAAAAUCUCUUAUUUUAAAAUAUAAGGAGAAAAAUAAUUAAUUUUAAAAAAUUUUAGAAGAUAUUUCAAUAUGCUGUGGAUCACACCCUCGAAUCUUUGUCGUCUUAGUCAAUUAAAAGGACAGAAUAUUGAGUGUGAAGACUCAACUGAUUGUUAAUUUCACAGCAAUUGUCUUUUUUUUAUUCUUUCUUUGUUUUUCCUAAUUAUUUUGAAAUAGUAGGUAGCAAUUGCUUACAUCAAAAUAUCUAAACUCACUCAGCAAAGUAUCCGAGGCCAAAAUGUCAAAACGUGGGACACCCAUACAUCUAAUUACAAAGUCUAAAGUUAAUGAAAAGAAAAAAAGAAAAAGUAUAAAUGAACGGUAAUCACCUCAUUUUCAAACAUCUAAUUCAACAUGAAUUUCUUUUUACGAAAAGUAAAUUUUCUCCCGGAUUGUCCUCAUUACAUUAAACGAAUGAUGACGACGCUCUGUCCGUUUCUGACUCUCUGCUUUGCUCUCUCACAUCACGAGACACCUCGUUUCUAACUGGGGUACCACCAUCAUAUUUAACUGUCGGGUCUUCCUACUAUGCACCUAGUGUAUGCAUGAUUCUUUGUGACAUGACAUAUAGCCAAUUAAAUUCUGACAUGCUUGCAAUAAAGACUGUUAAAGUGACCGGUUAUUCCGGUUGAUUUCACAAGAUCUUUUGUUUGUGUGUUUGUGUUCCAAGUUGUGUACUCUAUGUUACGACUCCUCUGAUUUUUUUUUUUUUAAGUCUGUUAUACAGAGAUAUUACUGACAUUACAUCAAACAUUACAAUUAAUAUUUACAAUCAUACUAUAUAACUGGGACCACCACCAUACAUUGACACACUGAAGUAUAUGCCCAGAUAUUUUAAACCCUCGAAUUAUACACAGAUAUUACUGACAUUACAUCAGAUAUUACAAUUAAUAUUUACAAUCAUACUAUAUAACUGGGACCACCACCAUACAUUGACACACUGAAGUAUAUGCCCAUAUAUUUUAAACCCUCGAAUUAUACACAGAUAUUACUGACAUUACAUCAGACAUUACAAUUAAUAUUUACAAUCAUACUAUAUAACUGGGACCACCACCAUAACAUUACAAUUAAUAUUUACAAUCAUACUAUAUAACUGGGACCACCACCAUACAUUGACACACUGAAGUAUAUGCCCAGAUAUUUUAAACCCUCGAAUUAUACACAGAUAUUACUGACAUUACAUCAGAUAUUACAAUUAAUAUUUACAAUCAUACUAUAUAACUGGGACCACCACCAUACAUUGACACACUGAAGUAUAUGCCCAUAUAUUUUAAACCCUCGAAUUAUACACAGAUAUUACUGACAUUACAUCAGACAUUACAAUUAAUAUUUACAAUCAUACUAUAUAACUGGGACCACCACCAUACAUUGACACACUGAAUAUCAGACAUUACAAUUAAUAUUUACAAUCAUACUAUAUAACUAGGACCACCACCAUACAUUGACACACUGAAGUAUAUGCCCAGAUAUUUUAAACUCUCUCUAAUAUUCGAGGGGUGCCUGCUCCACUCACAUUUCGUAAGGGAGAGACUGUCUCCAUUCAAUUAAUUAAUAAUUGAGGAAGAACUGAAACUAACCUCUAUAAUGCUCUUAUGGAGGCUCGAACCCUUGCACUCAACAUUAUAAGUACAAGGCUUCUCCCAUUGGACCAAAGGCCUAUUGGUAUGAGUUCUCUGAUUAAGUCUGAUAUUAUCUGUUGCUCAAUAAUGUUACAGGUUUUAUAAUAUGACUGGUACGAUCGCUGUCACAAAUUUAGAACGAAAAGUUUCCAAUAAAAUAAGUUAUUUAAUUAAUUAAAUAAGAAUAAAAUGAAUUUGUGAAAAAAAUUUAAAUUUAAUUUUGAAUUAUUUUGACCAAAAUUUAAGUUUUUUUUAAUUUGUUUAAGAAAAUGUGUUGUAAUUGUCUUGUUUUAAUUGGAAAAUCAAUGAAAAAAUUAUGUAACAGACAAAAAAAAAAAAAAAAAAAAGCAAAACGGUUUGUUUUGUAUGGAGGCCAUAGAUUCUAAUAUUUCCUUCACGAAAACUACAAAAAAAUUAUCAAAGGCAUCAAUUUCUACACUCUCACCGAGCAAUACUCUUAACCCAGAAGAAAGUGUAUAAACCAACCCCAAUCAGUCCAUCAAUGUCGUCAACCUCAUACAGCAUAAAAAAAAAUCUGUGUCCAUUAAACCGCCAUUUAAACCGUCUUUAUUGAACCAUUAGACUAUUCGUGUCAUCUUCCCAUCUCGUUGUAGUAUUUUACCUUUCAAAUUUAGUUAUCAAUUCUGGAAAAUGGGACCAAUCUGCAAGUCUUUAAAAUAGAAAGAAACUUUAAUUGGGCACUAUGUUCACGGUAGUGGACCCAGCAGCAUUAAUAUUUAGGGUGGAGCUAUUUAUAUUUUAAACAUUCUAAUUUUAAUAAGAAUAUAUAUUACAAAUGAUCACGACAUUGGGGACCAAUCACGUUGACAAGCAUUUUUUUUAUUUAUUAAUAAAGUGCUCUGAAAAGAGCUAAGGCAAUACUAAACGGGGGUGGUCCCGUUUUUAAUCUAACAUAGAGUCUUAAAAACCUUGUCAGUGGCAAAUGAUCACGACAAGAAAUCUGAAGGAGAAACAGCAGAGCUCAACAAAUCACUAAGAGAAAAUAAGACCAAUAACCAAGCAGAUAAAAGAAAAGCAAAAUAACCCAUCUCAAAAUCACCACAUGCACUAUUUAAGGGGUUUGUGAUAUGGGUUUAAAAAUAAUUUAACAAGUGCCACCUGUGAAUUGUCAGAGAUUGUAUCUUCAUACACAUGUCAAAUUUUCAAGUCCAACAAAUUGUUAUCUUUCUAAAGAGGCUAAUAUUAUUAUUAUCUAUGCAUAGCAUGCUAUAAACAAUUCAUAUUACUAGGGCCUUUGUUUUCUGUACACAACAUAUGGACAGAGGAACAAAUCCCUGAGCUAAAAUCAUCAUAUUCCAAAAUAUUCUAUUAAAUCAACACCACAAAACGCGAACGCUAAACAGAAUUGGAGCAAUUUACCAAAGCUAUUUGUCACGCAAAGCACUAGUACCUCAGAACCCAAUUUGCAAAAAAGCACCAAAAAUGAAAAAUAACAAAUGCCCAGAUGAAAAAUCAGGAAAAAAAAAUGCUCAAAUCCAAAUUACAACCCCAUAAGCUGAGUCGUUCUAUUCGAACUGAAUUAAAAAAAAUUAAUUAGGGAGAUUGACCUCAAACUUUGGAAACAGAAGCGACAUCGAUCUGUUUCUUGUCUGGAGUGUCCAUUUCUAUAAUCUACUUUGUCCGUUUUCAGUUGCUCUGCCACAAAGCUUCUUCCCUCUGAAGCUGAAGCUCACACACACUUGCAAAACGAAAGCAUUUUUUAUUGAUUGAGAGGCGGGAAGGCGGGAAAAUGAGAGAAAUUUGCAUUUGUUUUGUCUUGGUUUGGUCAUACCUGUGCGGGCCCCAGCUUGACAAGCGGUAUUAUUACUAUUUGUAUAAUUUACAUGACGCGUGUCACGCAAUGACGAUAAAAUGUAUAUAUUGUUAAUUUUUCACUUAACAUUGAAUGAUUGAAAUAUCAUAUAAUUUUUCCAAUUUUAUGGUUAUUUUCUCGCCCUUAUGCCACAUUCUUUUGAUCAAAUAAUACAGUAAAACUUUUCUAUAAUCAUAAUAUUAGAGCCAAAUUAACUUUGUUUCUGUAAAGAGGCUAUAGCUUAAUAAAGGUAAAAUUAUAAAAAUUAUUAUUUUGACUCAGUUAUCUUUAGUGCAAGUGAUAUAAAGUACAAAUAUAUGAUAAUUAAUUAAUGAACUAUGUCAAAUACAAUAUGCUGACAAUGAUAAAAAAGAUAGACAUAAUUUCAAGAAACUAAUACAUAUAUUUAUGUAGUGCUGGGAUUAUACAAAAUUAUCUUAAAAGUGUAAAGAGUAAAGUAUUAUUCUAAUUAAUUUAAAAAAAUUAUUUUUUCUUAAUCUUUAAUGCAACAUAGCUUUUUUUUUUUUUUUCUUAGCAACAAAGCAUUGUUCCACAUAAUUAUUAUUGGAUUCAAAUCAUGUCCUAGGCAUUUUUUCUUCUAGUCGUCUUAAACUUUUAAUGAUUUAUUGGCAUGCGUCAAUCAUUAAUGAAAUUAAAUAACUAAGACUUUGUUUUAAUUAACGUUUACAUAAAUAGACAUCAAAACUCACAUGUGAUUCUUAUCAAAUUUUUUCCUGCAAAUUCUUUUCCUCUCAACUAUUCAUAUUUUGACAUUAAUUUCCAGCAAAUUAUUAAAAAAAAGAAGAAGCGUAAAAUGGAGAAAAGUGAUUGACAACAAGGUUUGCAUCUUAAUUUCAAAAAUUUCCUUUCUUUGUUAUUUUUGUGGGUUCUACAAUUGUUGUUUUCACUCUCAGCUGCAGUUCAAUGAACUCUAUUAAUAACCAUGAAGCUUAAUGUAUCAAUUCCAGUACGAGAAGUCCUUCUACGCAUGUUACAACACUUUUUUGUCAUUAUAGGUUGCAAAUGUUCCGUAAUGUACUCAUUCAUAUAACGGAAACGCUAUUAUCAAUAAUGAAAGUUGACUAAGUUUGUAAAUUCUAUUUAACGAAAAAGUAACAUAAAUUUAGUUGAACAAGAGGUAAUUAAUAUGUAAUCUAUGAAACUAGGGUGUGACUAAGUUACAUAGUAAUGUAACUUACAUGAACACAAAAAUAAUUAGUUUUUAAACUACAAGUAAUUUUGGAACUGCUCUUAAAUUGAUAUAAGUUUUAUUAUUAUGUAACUUAGCAAGGUCAGGUAUUUUAAUAAUAGCACAUCACUAUUGUUUCAUGUGAAUGAUGCAAUUGGAUUAGCCAAUACAUACCGUCAUCCCCGGGAGAUGCUAUGGCAAUAGCUUACUCUAUCGUGCCAAUGUCAUUAGUAUUAAUCUGUUGAACCUAAGACCAUAUCUAAGCUGAUCUAGAUUCCCCAAGAUCGCACACCACACAGUGAUUAAUGAAUCAAGAACAAUAAACCAUCAAAGAAUCGCAAACUUACAUGUCGGGUUACAUGUAAUAAAUGUUUUAAUUAUUAGAUGAUUCAUAAUGUUAGACCAUUUUUUGUAUGUUUUGUAAUCUACGUUUGAUAAUUGAAUUAGCUGAUAAACACUUGAAUAAUAUUAUUUUAUUAACUAUGUCAUUGAUCCCCAGGAAAAAAAAAAAAAAACCCAAUUUGGGAUGUUAUACAUUACUUUUUCAUUACUUCCCAUUUUAGAUUAAUAUUUAUCACAUAUAUUCUUAGUAACUUGUAACCCUUUUUGCUAAGGGUGAAAUGUGUUUGUUACCCCUUCUAUUUCUGAGAUUGUCCUUACAAUAAGGAUGCCGGCCCCAAUGUCAAAAACUGCUAUCUCUAGGUGUAAAUUCCUUAUAAAAUUCUUUUUUAAUUGAAAUUACUUAAAUAAUUGAAGAUAAAUUAUUUUUUAUUUCAUUCAAAUAAAAAAAUCAAUUAAACACUUAAAUAAGCUAUCCUUUUAAUUUUUUUUUUUUACACCCAUCCAGUUUCAUAAUUUAUAUUUAUAAUUUAAAUUUUAAUGGAAAAUAUUUUUUUGAAAAAUUUUAAGAAUUAAGAAUUAUGGGGAUAAAAAUUAUGUAAUAAGACCAAAAUAAUUUAAAAUUUUAAAAUUUGCAUGUAUUAUAAACAAAAACUUGAAAGAAAUACUCUUUUCAGGGUGAGAUUUAAUCAGAAAAAGAUUAAUUUUCAUUUAUGGAUCAGUAUUUUAUAAAUUAAACAGAGGUAUUUUAAGAAAUAGAAUUCAAAAGGCAUGGGAACAAGGGCAUGGCAUUGGGUUUCCUUUUGUUUUGUAUGGAUUGGGAAAAAUACACGGACAGACAAAGGGAACAGUCAUUAUAAUGAUGUGGAACUUGUCGGAGAUUCCCUGCCCAUUUGUAGCUUAGACUCCUGGGGUUUUGUUCAUGUCUUUUCUGUAUCCCACUUUCUCAUGCAGCAGAUGUACAUAUGAUGAGAUGAAAACAACAGCAAAAAUUGCUGUCUCAUAAGAGAAAUAGUCAUACAUAGUUGGUUAGGCCUCCAGUCCAUUAACUUAAUAAUCAAUUUUAUGAAAAUUGAUUAUCUCAUUGGAAUUACAUAGAUAUUGGAAAACAUUACUCCAGCCCCACCAUCCCAACCAUUUACUUAGUUCAUCAGUAAAAGCUGGAUUUACCAUUUGUUCUUGAGAUUCAAAUUAAGGCAACAAGUUGCUCAUUCUAUAUUAUCUAUGUAAUCCUGUAAAAGUGAAGGGCGUUUAGAUGUGGAAAAACCUUACCCCUGCCGCAACACCUCAAACAGAUUGUGAUCAGACAAGACUUAGUUCAUCAUUAGUAGUAGUUGGAGCUUCCAUUUGUUCUAGAGAUUUAAAGGCAGCAAGCUGCUUCCUCAGUGCUACUAAUUCUUCCCCGGCAUUGCAUAUGUAGCCUGAGGCUUGUCUACCAGACAAAGUUGCUCCUUCCAUACCAUCUAUGUAAUCCAGUGAGAGUGAAACCAUUUAGAAGACGUAUCUCUUUCUUUCCAAUAUUUAGAAUGAAACAAUUAUAUACAGUUACCUGUUUUGCAUAUGAGCCGGCGAGGAAGAAGUUCUUCACUGGUGUCAUUGGAUCACGUCUGAAGGGGUCUUUACCAGGUCCCUCACCACACAAAGAUUGCCCGAUUUUGACGAAAGAUGACCAAAUAACUUCUAAACCUUGGGAUGAUGGAAAUGGAGCUAAAACCUAAUAAAAGGAACCGUGAAUGGAUAGUAUGGACUCAUGUAUAUUAUCCAGAAAGUUGCAUGACCUUUUGUGGUACUCAGGUCACUAAAAAACGUGAGAUAAACAUCUAGGAUAAGAAAAGCAAAAAAGCAUAACCUAAUACGUAUUAUAUGAAUUGAAGGUGUCACUGAACGCUACCAACCUGCUUUGCCACUCUCCUUAUGAUUUCAUCAUUUGGUAAGGGCAUAUAAGGAUCUCCAGGCGUCAAAACGCAUCUGAAAGAUAAUAUGGUUAUAGUUAACAAAAUGGAAUACAAAGACACUUGGCAAAAGGAAGUCAAUCAGAUUCCAUGCACAAAAAAUAACUAAUAAUGACGAGGAUAAGAAAUUUUGCACACUGGUGCCUUCUCUAUAGUAGUCUUCUGGCGAAGUAAGUGCUAGAUCUGCAAAGCAAGAGAAAUCUGCAUCUGGAGUAUAUAAAAGGUUAUCUAACUCCACAGCUUGCCUCAAUUGCCUACAUGUUCAAAACAAGGAUCUAUUAAAAAAUGGAAAUUUCUUCAAUGAAUUAGUGAAGGUAAGUGAAGUGAAACCGGAUUUCUUAAGCCUUCACAGAGCAUCUUGUGUUUGAAUUCCGGUAACCUCAGAAAAGAUUAGAGCAUCACCUUGACCGUUCUAGGUCUUGCAACUCAGUAACCCAACCAUUGUAUCUAAGCUGCACUGUGACAACAUGAACUCCAACGAGCUCAUAAAUAUUGUUGAAAAAUUUCAUUUCCCUCCAGCCUCCACAAUGAUGAAAGCAAUCUUUUAAUUCCAGGGACAUCACAUGCUGCCAUUAAAUAAGAAGUUGAAUAAAGAAAAAUCGUUCAACUAAAUGAUUCAGGAGUUAAAACAAAAUGUAGAAGUAGAAAUAAAUAACGAAGAUUUAACCAUAAACCUGCAACAUUUGCAUCAGCUUGCACAACCUUCUUGUCAGUGGCCUGAAAUAGAAUGAGAACUUGAAAGACAGUAAGCAUAAAAGAAUAAACUCAAAGAAGCUGCUUCUUACAGAUGAUAUAAACAACAAAUUUACAAAUGUCAGGUCAUUGCAUUAGCUCCAUGCCUCCAUCAGAGGGAAUAUUAAUAGAUGCAUAAAAAAAUAAUUAGAGCCACAUGUGAAACAAUUUACCUUAGACAUGGCAAGUGCUUUAACAAAUGUUUCCCCGUUAGCAGAUUUAUCAUAAAGUAUCUCUCUGCAUCCCCACCUAAGAUGGAACCUGUUCUCACAAGAACAGAUCCCAAGGUUGGGAAAAUCAGUUCAUCAUAGGAGAAAACAAAUAUGAUUAACAAAUCGCUACAAUGGUGUGAACCCGUAAAUACAAACGUACCUGCCCCCUUUAUCUGUGAUAUAUUUUCUUAUGGGCCCACUCAAAUAUACAUCCGGAGAACCCUUGAGCAUCAGCAAUAGGGAAGCCUCGGUCUUAGUCGCAAAUAGUGCAAGUAUAGUAAGCAUACAAUGAGCACUGAUGUUAUCACAAUCAAUAAACCCAAGGGCAUACGCAACAGGAUCCCACAUUCUUUGGAUACUUGUCCGUGUACCACCCUUGGACAAAAACCAAUCAGAGAAGCUUAUGUGUAAGAAGAAAUGAAGUUUUAGGUAAAAUAACAAUUUGUAGGAACAGGGAUUGAAAUUCAACAAACAAGAAAAUAUGAUGUCAUUCUUACACUAUCCAAAUCUCAUAUGUCCUUCAAGGCUCCAUCAGGAUCAACAAGUGCCUUUACAACAGGACUCAGAGCAAGAGCAAGAGCAUUUCUUGCUUUAUCAUAAGUCUGCACUUGAGCAAUAUACCAGGCAAAGUACAUCAAAAGAGAAUCCAAAAGAGGCAAGAAGCUUCAACAUGAAAAAAGGAGUACUGCCUCAUCAUACUGCUUUGCAAUCACAGUGCAAAAGAUAACAUCAACAAAUCAAAAUCAAGCAAAAAUCCAUAUGCACUACCUUAAGCUGAUUUGUAGACAAAAGUGUGCGAAUCCCAUGUAACGGAGCUUCAAUCGGAAACCGGAAAUCAAGUUCUGGAGUUGAAAAUCAAAAUCAUGAACCAAAUCAGAGUUAUUAUUGAAUUUGACAAUCCAUAAACCAAUAGAAGGUGAUGUCAAACCAUCAAGCAUAACUACCCACCAAGCAUAACUAUUAGUAGUUUUAAGUGAUCAAGAAAUAACCAUACCACCAAUUUCACUACCCUUAUUUACAAAUGUAUGAGUAUGAUCCUUCAUGAGUAAGUUUUUGUCCGCACCUACCUGUCGAAAUGCUUGAAAAACUAUCAGAUCAUAAACACAGGCUCCAGUUAAAGAGGAUCUAUGACUCUGAUCCAUCAUGUUAUUUGAACAACAUUUUCGAAUUUUGGUACAACCCUAAGCUAUAAUCAGUUAUCAUCACUACAAAUGAUAUGGUCAAGAGGAAUGAUAGUUCUUGUUUCAAGUAUCUCAAAUCGUAAUUCUUUUGCAUGGCUUGUGUGCUUUUAUAAUCAUUCAAACACGCAUAUCCACAACUAAGCAAGCUUUACCAUUUUCAUCAAUCGGAAGAGAUUAUUGUAGCAUCCAAAGAAAAUGUGCAGACCCAUUUCAAUAUGGUUUUCAAGUUUAUCGACAAAUGAACCCACUUUACCACCAAUAAAAGACCUCGACUCAUAUAUAUCCACCUGGAAGAAAGGAAAAGUUAAAAAAAAAAAGUGUUGAGAAUUAUGUUUGAUUAAACUUAAUUCUUUCCCCAAGAAAUCUCCACACACUGAUCUUAUUGAAACAAGAAUGAAUACCCAAGAUAGUAAUCAGAAAUAAAGCAAGAGUGUUUAGACAGAAAUAGAGAUUAAAAGCAUAGAAUAAACUGGACACAAGGAGAAUUCUAGAGGUUCGGCUGGGUAGCCUACAUCCUCUUGAGAAACAGAAGCCGUAGCUUUUCUUUGAUGCUUAACAGAUUACAAGACUUAGAGAGUUUGUUACAAAGAACGUUGGUUAUCUAAACUUGGCCUUGGGGCCCUUAUAUACAGCUCUCGAAGGAUCCAGAUAAGUGUGCUGCUUGCCAGCUCUUGUUCUGGGUUUGUUGAAACAAACCCAGAAAGUUCCCGCCAAGGCUAACCAUUGAUAACAGCCUUUUAAUUAGAAACGACACUUGCUGCUGCCGUUUAACUAAAGCUUGAAUCCGUAGAUGCUCGAGCAAUUCACGUGCAUUACUUAAGCUAUUCGUGUGACAGGAUAUGGUUGUCAUAUGCGCAGCAUUAUCUGUCUGAUUGCUUUGUCGUUUCUUGAUUAAUACUAGACACGACAAAGUCAUCUUCUCCGUAAGCUCUUAAUUCAGGCUCACAAUUAACAAAAAGGAAAAAAAAUUCUUCUAAUUUCUUUCACCAUCAACAAAAUCAGAAAAACACAUACUAGUUCAAAAUAAAAUAAAGUUUGUGAAUUGAAAUAAUGCCAACUCCUAAGAAAAAUUAUGACUGCUGAUAUUUUUUCCGAAAUGCUGAUAAAAGCCUCUGCUAUUUACUUUGAAAAAAUUGAGGUUAGAAGCCAAUUUACUUGAAAUUUUGAGUUUAGGCAAGAGGAUGAAUGGUAAAAGUGAAACAUAUUAGGGAAAAAUGUACUUCAGAGGCCAAUGAAAGCAUUCAGAAGAUUGAAAACUAAAUGAGCAAAACCUCGUGGCCAUGAUCCAACAAUUCCACUGCUGUUGACAUGCCUGCAAGCCCAGCUCCAAUAAUAGCCACUUUCAGCUUUGGUCCUCUAUAAUGUUCCAGUUCUGGUGGAAACAAACCCUUGGGAGCUGCCAAGUAUACCAUCCAAUUAUCCACAGCGAUAAUGGAAAUAUAUAUGUGUUUGAAAGUACUAAAUUCCUAAACAGGAAAUGUAUCCAAAAAGAGACACAAAGCAGAAUUUCGUAAGCAUUUCAAUUCCCAAUAAAUUUCGAGAAUACAAAAUACUCGGUCUGUUCUUCAAUUCCUUUAAUAAAAUUUCCACUAGAGGCUACGCAAGCCACUCAAUAACACGCCAAAGCCAGAUUUUAAACGUUAUCUUUAUCUUUAACUCCAAUCCACAAACAAUUCUGCCAGAAAUUCAAUCCAAAAUUGUUCAAGUGCACCGCCAAUUCUCCAUCAAUUCCCUCAAAAAUUCAUAAUUGGCAAACAAUACAAACCAAAAAGAGCUUCCGGCAAUAAACGCAUAAAAAUCCACCAAGCAACAUAAAACAAAAUACCCAGAAACCAGAAAAGCCAAAAGAUCAAUGCUUGUGCAAACAAGCAAAUCAAAUAAAACAAAAAAAAGAGGAAUUUACCCUUAACGCUCAUAUCAGAAAUAUUAGUAUCCAAAGAAGCCCGUACACGGAAUCUUGGACCCUUCACUUGAACCCGAGACCAUGUAACGCCAGUAACUGAAGUUGCAGGAAACAGAACUGAAGAACCCAUAUUGCAAAUCCUGAGCUGAAAUCAAGAAUUUCAAUUGGAACUCAAUUCAGCUCAACCCAGCUGAGCUCUCUUUUGCUUCAAUAACAAAGUGUUUUUCUUUUAUAUCAACAAAGAUUUGUCAACAUCAACAAAAUUUAACUAAGAAACUAGAAUAAUAAAAGAGGGCACCUUUGAGUUUAAGAAUCUAACAGGAUGCUAAGGAAGAGAGUUUUGUCAGGGAACUGUUUCGGAGAGGUUGGCCAAGUGCUUUUUUGUUUUUUAUUUUUAUUUUUUUCUCAUUUUGGCCUUUUUCAUUAAUACACAACAUCAGUACUCGCGAAGAGCACAAAAUGUUGGUGACUUUGUCACUAACGAUAGUGGAUGGAGCGACCAAAGCAACCAACUAAAUUUUAAAGAGAGGGAAUGACAAGCAAUAUUUUAAUUGGGUGAUUAAUUAAUGUAUUAUCAAGCAAUUGCAUUUAUUUAUUUAAACGAUGUCCUUAUCUUUGGACAAGGUUGAGGAAAGACCGCGAUGUUGUGUUGUCACGUAUUUUUGGGCCGACCGUUUCCAGUUUCGGCUUAAAUGAGGCUUUUGUAUUUUUGUGCCGUUUUUUUACUGAGUAUUUUGUCCUAAAUUACACAAAGAAAAUGUGUAUUUGUUAAAAAAUCUGUUGAAACUCAGAACCUCUUAUGUGGACUUUAGAAUGCGACAGUAUUGAUAUCUAAGUUCGUAAUAUCAAGAGUGAUAAAACGGAUAAAUGAAUAGAAAUGUAAAUAAAUUUGGUUAAAAUUUAAUGGAUUCGAAUUCGGUAUGUUAUCAAACAAAUCAUAAUCUUAGGAUUUGGAUUCAAUUCAUUUAUUAAUUGGAUACCUAUUUAAUUUGUUUAUUAUACAAAAUUAAAUGAAUUGAAUUGAAUUGAAUUUAGAUUCAUUUACAAUUUGUUUAAUUUAUUUAUGUAAAAUUAAUAAAAAAUCAAUCAAAUGUGGAUUUGUUUAAAAAAUAAUAAUAAUUAAUAGCAAAAAUCAAGCAAAGUAAAAUAGAAAAAAAAUCAUAAAAUUAACAACCUACAAAAUAAAAACGAAUUAGUGACCGCAAACUUGAAUUCAAUUCAUUUAUUUAACGAAUUGAAUUGAAUUCACUUAUUUGUUAAUGAAUCAAUUUUUUUUAAAAUUCAGACCUAUUUAACUUGAAUCAAAUAAACACAUCCUAAUCUAAAUUGUCACCUCUAAAUAUGAUGGACCUAUUUAAAAUAUAUGAAUACCAAAAUGUGUGGGCUAAAAAGUGGUUUACCAUGCAACAAUACGAAGUUUAAGCUCUCUUUUCUUAUGUCAUCCAAGGCAUUGCCUGGAUCGCCAAACACUAGAGUUCAAGUCUACAAUAAAGAAUCGAAAUUUUUCUUUGUAAAUGUUCGUAAGUAUUUAGCAUAGAUUUUUAAGUUAUACUUGAUAGAUCCCCUACCAUAUUUGCUAUAAUAUUUCUCUUCUUUUAAUUUAAAAGUAAAUCAUAAUAACGGAUUUGUAAAGAAAUUAAAUUUCCAGUAAUUAACUGAAAAAAUAAAAAAGAUGGAUUAAGCGAAAGAAGUUAAUAUAGAGUAAAGUCGAGUACUUGACAAUUAAAGUAAUUUUACUCGAGGUUGAGUAAGGAUAGUAUGAUACUUUCCCAGGUUUUCCGAGGACAUUCAUGUAACAUUGGACUAUUGACUAUAGUUAGAGAGAAGUCCAAGGAUGUAAGUGAUGAUGAUAGAUUCACAAUUCUUUUGAAGAAAAUAUUUUAUAUAAACUUAAUUAUAUGGUAUAAAAUGAUUGGCCUUAAUAAAAUUAAAAAAUAAUAAAAAUAAUACACGCCUGGGUCAUGCAAUAUUUUCAACCAACUAAUUUACACGCAAAAUUAAACCUUAUGAGUGAGAACAUUAUGGUACAUUUAUAUGCUAGCAAAAACUCCGCAAAAAUUUUCCGAAAUGUGAAAAUGAACACUUUUAACAAUGACACAAAAUUCCCACCCCCCAUGAUUAAUUCUCUUAUCUGGAAUAUUAGGGGGAUUGGAAAAGCCCCUGCGGAAAUUAGUUCGAUUACAUCGAUUGUCUUUGAUUUGUGUGUUGGAGCCAUUUAUUUCCAUUGAUCGUUUAGAGGCUCUUCGGGUGCGGCUUGGGAUGGAUCAUGCUUUAUCUUCCCAAUCUGGGAAGAUUUGUGUUUCUGGUCCGCACCUUUCUCGGUGGAGCUUCUGCAUGACAUGGGCAAGGUGAUUCAUUGUCGGGUUAGUCACUCUUUUUUUCCUGAUCCUGUGUAAGUUUCAUAUGUGUACGCUAGUUGUUAUAUGGAUGUGCGAGAGAAUUUAUGGGAUGCUCUUAAGACCUUUGCGGAUAGUCAUGAUCUACCUUGGAUCGUGGGGGGAGAUUUUAAUAUGAUUCAGGCGGUCUCGGAGAUUUCUGGCGGGCAUCCACAUACUCGGGGAGCUAUUGAUGCCUUUAAUUUAGCGUUGCUUGAUUGUGGUUAGGAGGAUGCUGGCUUUGUUGGCAGUCCUUUUACUUGGACUAAUGGGCGCCCAUGGAGGCAGCUUGAUAGGGUGGUCUGCAACGCUCACUAGUAUGCUUUCUUCUCAGUAUUUCGGGUCUCUCAUCUGAAUCGUACUGCCUCAGAUCAUUCUCCUUUGCUUUUUCUUGGUGAUCGGGGCGCUGUUAGAGGACCUUCACGGUUUAAAUUUCUUCAUGUGUGGCUCAAGCAUCCAGGUUUUCUUGAUACUAUGCGGCAGUCUUGGGGUGCUCCGGUGGUUGGUUCUGGAAUGAGAGCCUUUCAACAGAAACUCACUCGGUUAAAGUUCUGCCUAAAAGCUUGGAACAAAGAUGUCUUUGGUAACGUUUUUUCUCAGGUCCAACAAGCAGAGGAGGACAUGGCUCAGAAGGAAAGAUUGUAUGAUAUUUCUGGCUCCGUCGAUUACAGAGCUAAUUUUUCCGAGGCCAGGGCCUGGUUGCAGCAUGCUUUGCUUCGUGAGGAGAUUUUUUUUACGUCAGCAGUCCAGUGUUCGAUGGGUUCGAGAGGGCGAUGCUAAUACCUGUUUUUUCCAUGCGAUGAUUCGGAAAAAGUGCCAGUUGUUUCAUAUUCACAGGAUUCGGGUUGAUUGUUUCUUAGAGUGGAUUUCUGAGCCCUCCGCCAUUGUAGAUUAUGAUGUCGAUUAUUUUCAAGAUUUAUUAACGGGAGAUGCCAGUCAGUUUCAGCAGACGGACUUCGAAGUUAUUCCAUCUCUUGUGUCUGUAGAGGAUGAUGUAGAGUUAUGUAGAGAGCCGGAUAUGGAUGAGAUUAGACAUGCGGUAUUUUCUAUUGAUCCAGAUAGUGCUCCUGGACCGGAUGGUUUUUGUAGCAGAUUCUAUCAGUCGUGUUGGGACAUCAUUUGCCGUGACUUGUUAAAUGUUGUCCUCGAUUAUUUUAGAGGUUCGGCAUGCCCAGAGGUUUCCAAAGUACUUUAUUGGUCUUUCUGCCUAAGAAGGCUUCUCCGGCUUCUUGGGCUGAUUUCCGUCCGAUUAGUCUUUGUAAUGUGAGCAACAAGGUCCUUACUAAGUUGCUUGUCCCAUCUCCUGCCUCACAUUAUUUCUCAUACUUAGAGUGGUUUUGUUCCUGGUCGAGUGAUUCAUGAUAACGUGCUCCUGGUUCAGGAGUUCGUUCACGAUCUCAAUCGCCAUAGUCGAGGGAACAAUGUGGUGCUGAAAUUAGAUAUGGCCAAGGCAUACGACGUAUGUCAUGGCCUUUUAUUAUUCAGAUGAUUCACUGUUUUGGGUUCUCGAAGCGUUGGAUUUCUUUGAUUCGGCGAGCGAUUUACGGUCCUUAGUUUUCAGUGCUUAUGAACGGGGUCAGUAACAUAUAUUUCUAGUCCCAGAGUGGUCUUUGGCAGGGUGAUCCCCUUUCCCCUUGCUUAUUUAUUAUUGCUGCAGAAUUUUUAUCUCGAGGCUUGGAUCAUUUGUAUUCUCAGUAUCCCUCUGUUCGGUAUUGUUAUACUGCACCUACUUCUAUCUCCCACUUGAGUUUUGCGGAUGGUAUUGUUAUUUUUGCAAAUGAGAGCCGAUCUAGCUUACAGUGGCUUGUGGAUUUCUUACACCAUUAUAAGGUGAUCUCAGGGCAGUUGAUUAGCGAGGACAAGAGUAACUUCUACAUUAGGAAGUCAGCUUCGACCUCCCGCUAGGCCAUUGUUCACUCUGUGACUAGCUUUCAGUGACGUCAGCUUCCGUUUACUAAUCUUGGGUGCCUGAUCUUUACAGGGUACCUCAAGAUCUCCUAUUUUGAUGACAUGGUCCGGAAGGUCAAGGAUAAGAUUUCUGGCUGGGCUAACCGUCUGCUUUCCUUUGGUGGGAACCUCGUCCUCAUUCGCCAUGUGUUAUCCUCUAUGGCCCUGCACUUAUUUCACGUCCUCCGCCCUUUUAUAACGGUAGUUUAACGCCUAGAGCGAUUGUUCACCCGAUUCCUAUGGGGUGAUUUUGAGGGAAGACACCAGAUCCACUAGUGUAGAUGGCCAAAGGUUUAUUAUCCAGUUGACGAGGGUGGCCUCGAUAUACGAUCUUUUGAUGAUAUGGCGGAGGCUUUUGAGAUUAAACUUUGGUGGCGGUUUUGUCAGCAGAGUUCCUAUAUGAAGUCUAAGUAUUGCAGAUCUACGCAACCAAGCCUUAUCCAGUUUCGCUAUCUUGCCUCUCCUUUAUGGAGACACCUUUAUAAGAUUCGUUGCACGGCUAAACCUCAUGUGCGUUGGCUCGUUGGGAGUGGAGAUUGUAGCUUCUGAUAUGAUUGUUGGCUGAGUUCUUGCCCUUUAUUUUUUUAUAACCCUACAGCGGCUUUGUCGGUGCCGGUCUAGUUCUUUGGCAGGGUACAAUCUGGGACAGAGGCAAACUAAGGGACGUCUUGCCUUCAUCUAUUGUUGAGCAGAUCCUAUUAGUGCCUAUUUCUAGUGGGAAUCCAGACCUGAUUCGUUAGGACCUUGCCCCCGACGACACGUUUAACUUGCGGACUGCUUGGGAGCUUGUACAGUGCUCUAGGUCGAGGGAUGAGCUUUUCUCGAUGAUUUAGUAGAGGCAUAUCCUGUCACGAGUUUCCUUUUUUCUCUGGCAGCUACUUCACGGAUUCCUAGCUACUGAUGAUGCCUUAUACUUGAGGGGUUUCUAUAUGGUUUCUCGAUGUAUUUGUGGGCGGGUUGCUGAGACUUCUCGGCAACUUUUUAUGGAUUGCCCGCGGGCCCGUCAUAUUUGGGUUCAUUGCCAGCGGAUCAUGGGGAUGCGUGAGCUUUAUUUUCUGUCUCCCCGUGCUUUGCUUUUAUUUUGGAGACAUUGUGCCCCUUCUCGGAAUCAUCAUCGGGUCCUUCUGCCUUACUUCAUUUUGUGGCAAAUUUGGAAGGCCCUAAAUGCUUUCCAGUUUCAUUCACAGUCUUUCUCCACUGAUGCGGUUAUCUUUCAGGUCGACUCUGAUCUCAGGCUCGCUAGUUCUGCUUUUGGAUUCAAGCCUCCCCAACUGAGGGGAGUCUUGGGUUCUCGUAUUGCGGAGGGCUUGCGAGUUAUGGCUCCCCCUAGGAGGUCGAUUCGUCUAGUUGCUUGGAUGAGGCCAACUUCAGGGGUGGCUAAGCUGACUGUGGAUGGUUGCUCUGGGGUCAACCUUGGGAUGGCUGCUUCCAGGGGUAUUCUUCGGGAUCACCGGGGCAUGGUUUUAGCGGCUUUUGGAUCCUUUUUGGGUUACAAGCCGAUCUUAUAUGCUGAGCUCAUGGCGGUGUGCGAGGGUUUGGAGCUUGCCAUUCAGCUUGGGUACUCAGUGCUCGAGGUUGAGUCAGACUCGGCUAUGGUGAUGUCAUGGAUUCACACCUCAGGGUCCUGUUCGAUGGGAAUGUUCUUAUUCUCUACGCCGGGUGUGCCGUCUGGUAACGUCAUUCCCCAUUCAGGUGAGACAUGUUCUUCGCGAGGCUACUUAUGCUGCUGAUUUUCUAGCCAACUGGGCGCGCACUCAUCGGACUAGCCGGUGUUUCUUAUCUCCUCGAGAGCUUCCCAAAGGCUUAUCUGGUAUUCUUUACUUAGAUCCCCACGCAAUCCCCCAUGUCAGAUGUUAGGAUUUUAUCUUUUUCUUAUAUCUCAUUUUCUCUAGGAGGUUUUGGCUUAUAUCCCCCUCCUUUAUAUCUAAUUCAUUUUCAGAUUUAUAUUAUAGGUAAGGGUUCCGCCUAGCUCCCACCACUCUGGUGGUUUUAAAAAAAAAAAAAAACAAUGGCAUAAAAUGCCUGUGAUAAUGAAACAAUGUGCCAUCCUUAAACUAAUAUCAUUACAAACUACAAGUGAAAGUUUUUGGAAAACAUUGAGAAGUUUUUCUCGGAAUUUGUUUUCUUCUUUGCUUUGAUUUAAGCGUAAAUUUUUAAAAUCCGUAACAAAACAAAAAUUUACAUGGGUUGGGCGCACCUUGUGGUUCGUGCAUGCUUUCGUCUAAUAGUAUUUGAUACAUACAAAUUCAUUUUAAAAUUGACGAAUCGUAAUAAAAAAAUUUAUAUAUAAUAAUUGAGUGAGAUCCAUGGUUCACAAUUGCAAAUUAAUGGUUGGUUUUAUAAUAAAAAUCUUUAUGUACAUACCAAAUUAGAAAAGGUUAUAAGUGAAUUAAGAUUUUCAAAAUUUGACUCGUAUUAUAUUAUGUACGUCAAUAUAAUAUAAAUUUGUUAUAUAUAUAUAUAUAUAUAUCCAAUGCUUUCAAAAACUUUAUACUUGUUUGAACAGAUUUUUUGCUUUCUAUUUGUAUACACAAACACUUUUUUAGGACACAUGUAUAAUUAAUCUUAAUAAUUCUUAUACAAUCCUCUAUUUAAGACCAGCAACGUCACCCAUUAUAAUUUAUCACUAAAUAUUGUAAAACUAUUGGUUUUCACGAAUAACUAAUAAAAAUUAUUUUUUUUGUAAGAAAAAUACUGCGAUUCCUUUCACUGUUGUAGUAGUAUAGUUAUCGUGGACGAUGAAUUUCUAGUAUUGUACAAUGAUAUUUAUGUUGAAUGUUUAGGGAAUGAAAUAGGGUGACCAAGAUAAAGGGGUUUGCUCAUACAUUAUCGUGCUCUCCUCAAAGCAAAAGUGAGCAAAUGGUUGAGCAGAUCAUCUCGACCAGAAUAAUAUGUGGUGACCUCGAGUACAGCACCUCGACCAGGAUGUUAUUGGUCACCUCGACCAGGAUGUUAUUGGUCACCUCGACUAGGAUGUUAUUGGUCACCUCGACCAGGAAGUCACCAGGAAGCACGUCAUCCGCGAGGCCAAUUUCCUGUAAGAAGCAUAAAGCCAUUCCUGCUGCAUUCUUGCUAAGGGUUGAUUCGAGGAGACCCGGUCAACGACAGUUGGCGAGGCAUGCUCUCCAGCCCGAGAAUCUAGGCACGAAGGCCACGCAACCACCCAUGACUACGGAAAUGGGGAAUCCACAUUCGAGAGGUGGGAGGACAACGGACAUAGACUGCGGAAAACUGGGAUUCAGAGGAAGCCUAUAAAAAGGUAGCCAACGAAGGUAAAAGGGUUAGCAAUUUUGAGAUUAGAAGAGAGCUAAAGAAAUUCUAAAGAAGAGAAAACUAUGAAAAAGCCAUAAGAUCUGUGGCAAGCGUUCCCCGAACCUUCAUAUCUGACUUGAGCGUCGGAGGGUUUGCGCCGGGAAAACAACCGGCGUACUCUGACUUGUCUGUGUGCGCAGGAACCUCUGGAGAAGAAGCCUUACGAGGAGACCUUCUGGUCGUGGUGAAGUUGAUCGAGCAGAGAUCCUGGUCGUAUAACGAGGAGAACCAGAAUCUCGCAUCAACAUUUUGGCGCUGUCUGUGGGGAAUGGUACAAAAAGCCAGCUUGUUAUCUUUAUCAAUCUUCAUCUGGCCGAAGUGAAGGCAGAAUAUUGCGGUGCAUAAAUGGAUGAGCUUGCUUAAACAAGGAAGCAAAAACCUUAAAGGAGAGCACAUUGAAAGCACACGUUUGUAAAAAUCAGAACAGGUCAGAAGUUAAAUUCUUAUUUACAAGCAAUUUUUUCAUGAAAAUUUAAUUAUUUCUCUAAAUCCUGCUAUGUGAGAUGAGGAGCCCUUAUAUUCAUUAAAUUGAUUGUGCUCAUAUUAAGGCUGACUGUAUAACUUAGUUAACUUGAUUUCUUGAAAGCUAUUCAAUAUGAGAAUGAUUUAAGAAAAUAGAGCUAGGCUAGCGUUGAGAAACCAAUCAAAGCUUACUAAUAAGGCAUGCAAAGGCUCCAAAGUCUCAAAGCCUGUCUUAUGGCGAGACAGAAGCCAAGCGUGCCAGGAUCUGCUCGACCACGAGAAGGCGAGUAGAAUCCCAAUCCUUGAAGAAUUUGAAGGCAUGCAAAGGCUCACCAAGUCUCAAAGCAUGUCUUAUGGCGAGACAGAAGCCAAGCGUGCCAGGAUCUGCUCGACCACGAGAAGGCGAGCAGAAUCUCAAUCCUUGAAGAAUUAAAGGCACGCAAAGGCUCAUCAAAGUCUCAAAGCCUGUCUUAUGGCGAGACCAGAAGCCAAGCGUGCUAGGAUCUGCUCAACCAAGCGAAGGCAAGCAGACUCCCAAAUGUUGUAAAAAUUCCUAAGGCAUGCAAAGGCUCACCAAAGUCUCAAAGUCUGUUUAUGGCGAGACCAGAAGCCAAGCGUGCCAGGAUCUGCUCAACUAAGCGAAGACGAGCAGACCACCAAACUUUCAAAAAAUUCCUAGGGCGUGCAAAGGCUCCAAAGUCUCAAAGCCUGUUUUAUGGCGAGACAGAAAGCCAAGCAUACCAGGAUCUGCUCAACCAAGCGAAGACGAGCAGACCACUAAAGUUUCCAGUCUUGAUUCGUUUCACUCUCAAUACUAGAAACUGGGGGACUGGUGUUUAGGGAAUGAAAUAGGGUGACCAAGAUAAAUGGGUUUGCUCAUACAUUAUCGUGCUCUCCUCAAAGUAAAAGUGAGCAAAUGGUUGAGCAGAUCAUCUCGACCAGAAUAAUAUGUGGUGACCUCGAGUACAGCACCUCGACCAGGAUGUUAUUGGUCACCUCGACCAGGAAGUCACCAGGAAGCACGUCAUCCGCGAGGCCAAUUUCCUGUAAGAAGCAUAAAGCCAUUCCUGCUGCAUUCUUGCUAAGGGUUGAUUCGAGGAGACCCGGUCAACGACAGUUGGCGAGGCAUGCUCUCCAGCCCGAGAAUCUAGGCACGAAGGCCACGCAACCACCCACGACUACGGAAAUGGGGAAUCCACGUUCGAGAGGUGGGAGGACAACGGACAUAGACUGCGGAAAACUGGGAUUCAGAGGAAGCCUAUAAAAAGGUAGCCAACGAAGGUAAAAGGGUUAGCAAUUUUGAGAUUAGAAGAGAGCUAAAGAAAUUCUAAAGAAGAGAAAACUACGAAAAAGCCAUAAGAUCUGUGGCAAGCGUUCCCCGAACCUUCAUAUCUGACUUGAGCGUCGGAGGGUUUGCGCCGGGAAAACAACCGGCGUACUCUGACUUGUCUGUGUGCGCAAGAACCUCUGGAGAAGAAGCCUUACGAGGAGACCUUCUGGUCGUGGUGAAGUUGAUCGAGCAGAGAUACUGGUCGUAUAACGAGGAGAACCAGAAUCUCGCAUCAACAUUGAAUAUAACGCUUCAAUGAAUUUUAUUACUAUAUACUAAAAUACUCAACGAUCUUCAUUAAAAAAAAAAAAAUUGCAUGAUUAGAAUGAUUAAAGUUCAUCUAAUGACUAGUUUCAUCAUUGACUCUGUCGAAACACAGCAGCAAUCCAGAAUACAUUUAACACGAGAGGCGCAGACAAACAUGCAUGAUGAAUCUUCCACCAUUAAACCUGAAAUCAUAAAAUGAAAGAAACCAGAUGAGUGUUGUUUGUCUGAAAGCCGAUUCGAGAAAAAUAAUAAUAAUAAUAGACCUUUGUUAAUAAUUAAUACUAGUUGUCACUACCUUGUGCAUCUUCCUCCUCUGUAUCAUCGUCCUCUUCCAAUCACACCGCAAGACCAGUAUAUCUCGAGAAUCUUUACUGCCUUCUCACAGAUCCCAUUGCUGUCAUGUCUUUUUAGAUCUUCAAUCAUUUUGAAUCCCUCAGCCGCCUCCACCAACCGUGCAUAAUGAUUAAAAUAUCUAUUGGCGGUACCCGUAUUCAUUUCAGCUUCCCCGACCUUCAAAAUGUUCUCUAAUCCUUUUAAGCAAAUAGUGACGAUCUCUGGAUCAGCGUAUAGAAGGAGAUCACACAAUGGUUUUAUACACCCCUUUCUCACGAGGUACUUGAUUUGCUCAUGAGUACCACCUGAGAUGGCAUUUGAAAUUGCCCGAGCGGCCUCCUUCUUUGUAAAAAAUUCAGCAUUUUGAAGCAGAUCGACAAGGGGACCAAUUACGCCAGCAUCAAUUACCACCUGAAUCUGUUCCCUGUUACCAGCUGUAAUAUUUGAAAUAGUCCUGCAUGCCUCUUUCGCAAUGCCUGUACACUGAGUCAGGAAACCAUCUCCCUUCACAAUAUAUCUGACAGUCCACAGGGGAGGAGUGAGCCCGAAGGGGAAGGGUAAUGGAUGAAGAAGGAGCUUAACAAGUCGUGGACAGACAUCUGCCUCGAUCACAGCUUGAAUUUUGUCAUUCGUACCAUCAGAUAGACAGGAUAGUGCCUCGCAGGCAUAUCUCAAGACAUCGUUGUCAUUUGAAUGAACAAGUUGUGCAAGCGCAGGAAGAGCUGGCCUCACCUGAUCAAAUGGUGGCUCUGGCUUGCCCUGGCAAAAACGAGACAAUGUCUUUGUGGCAUUUCUUAGCAUUGAAGGCUUAGCAUGCUUAUUUAACUGUGCCAGCAACGGAAUCAAAGCUUUUUCACUGAGCACAAGAUCACGGUCUCUAGGUGAGCUACGAGCAAUAUUUCCCAGUGCCCAAACAGCCUUCUCUCGGACAUCAUCACUUGGAGAAGAAAGUAGCUUCACAAAUAUUGGAACAGCACCGCCGUCGAUCACCACAUUAGUAUUCUCAGAAGCAAUGUUUGUAAGAGCCCGAGCAGCUUCCAACUGAAGCUGCGGAUUGUCUUCCCUAGUAAGAAACUCAACAAAGCGCGCGACAACGCCAGAUUGUAUGACUUUCUCACUUGGUGGUAGGAGCAGUUUUCGGAACCAAGUAGUUGCUUCCAGCUGCAAGCCACUGUCAUCUGACCAAACCCCAGCAAGCAUCCCGGGUAAACUCACCAACUUAUUUUAGGAGCAGGAGCAGGAGGAGGAAAUUAAGUUAGGGAUUUAGAGUGAGAGUGAAGGUGGAGAAAAAGCAAGAGAGGGAAAAAGCUUAUUGUUGAGAAAUAUGUACCUUUUGUAUGGUUGUGUUAAGGUCGUCCUUCCAAGCCCAACAUGCUUCACCAUGCCGCUCCACUUUGUGUAAUUUGGGUGUACUUAAUUUUCCUUCAGAGAAAAUCUUCAUAUCGGGGCAAUCAUCCACCACUAAUCUUUCUAAAGAUGGGAACUUGAAAGCACAAUUGCCAGAGCAGAAGCUUGUCAGGCUUUCUAAGUCUACAAGCUUCAACUCCUUCAAUUCUCUGAAAGUAAUAACCUCAUCUUUUGCUACAACAUCAUCCCCCAGUACUAUUUCUGUUAUCCUAUCGCAUGAUUUUAUCUUCAUAUAUCUAAGUUGCACCAGAGUCUUUGCAAUUAAGGAUGUUAAUACGAUUUUCAAGUUGUUGCAACGCGAUACCACCAUAUUUGUAAGAUUCUGAAAGGAUGUCGACGGUGGCACUAGAUUGACUAAAUGGUCACACCCCUUUACACGUAGAAUAACCAAGUUGUUCGUAACAGAGGACUCCCUUAUCAAAAUGUGCUCCAGAUGAAAUGCUUCUCUUAUUUCUACCCACAUCCCAUUUUCAACCUUCUCAUACGGCAACGAGGCACUAUAUCCUCCUAUUUGGAGGACUUUCAUUGUGUGAAGUCUCUGGAGGAAGUCACCAAGUGAUAAAAUAGUCCGCUCAUCACCCAACGCCACAAAAAGAUAUUUUAGUUUGCAAAGCAAGCCUUCAGAAAAUAGAUAUUUAUUUGUUACUGUGUACUUUGCACGAACUAUCAACUUUUCCAAAUUAGGGAAUACCUGGGAGAACGAUCAGAACCCCAAAAAAAAGAAAAAAAAGAAAUACAAGAUGAAUCAAUUGAUAAGAAAUAUAAGUUGCCACUAAUUUAUACAAUAUAUUUUAUUCAAUAAAUCUUAACCUUUAAAAAAAAAUAGUAAUAAUAGUAUGCCUAACAUCUAGAAUAAUUAUGAAUGAAUACUAUACACUAAUCUGUAAGAGAGUUACGUUGCUGACAAUUUGAGUUUUAGUAAGAAACCAAGCGAUGAAGGCAAAGGCAAUAUAACUCUAAACUCUAUGAUAUAAACUCUCACAGUACAUACAUAAGAAUUGAAAAAUUGAUUAUAAAAUUCUUGUACGUACCCUUUCCGUGAAGAUACUAGUAGUUCUCACCAUGAAUUCAGGACAUUUAGAUAUCCGUAAUUCUUUCAAGGAUGGAAAUUCAAGAAUAUCAAGAUCUCCAGUGCAGAAGCUUGUGAACUUUUCAAGAUCAGACAUCUUCAGAUAUUGCAACUGAGGAAACAUUACAAUAUUUUUCUUCCUUUCUUCUUGGUUGUCCAUAACUAUUAACUCUUCCAAGACAGGACAUCCGACUAUCUCAAUGCAUUGGAGUUGAACAAAGCUACUAACGGUAGAAGAUGAAAAUAGACAUCUUAAAUUCAUACAGCAGGACAGGGUCAAGCGCGUUAAAUUCUGAAUACCACAAGACAUGACUGCAACUUGGUUUUGCCAAAUCCUUUCAACAUUUAUUGAAAGCAAAUGCAACUUCUCUAACUCUGGUAACCGAACCUGCUCGAUCAAAAAAUUAACUCGUUAAUUACAAGCAACAAUGAUUUCUGUUGAUGGACAAAUCAAUAAAAUUACUCUUUCUCUGGUUAUAGUUCUUUUCAGUUUUUCAUACAAACAACCGUUAAUCAAGUUUUCCAAAUUAUUCCUUACUAAAUGUAUAGAUUUAGACGGCGGCUAAUAUAAUUCAUAUUGCAAAUAUUCUUUGAUUGUAACGAAUUUUGUAAUAUUAAAUUUUGGCUGAUUCGCAAUAGGACCUACUAUCCAGCGCGAGCAGUUCUCGUGGAUUUAACUACUGGCACCUCGAUUAUAUAAAAAUUUGGAAUAUUUUCAAAGGAAAUCACAUAAUUUCCCCUUGCAAAUAGUAAUUAUCAUUAAUUGCCGCGGGUUGACAUAUAAUUCUAAGAAAUUAGGCGAGAAGAGUCUCAUCAACAAUCAAUCAGCAGAUAUCACGUUUGGCAGAUCAUCAUGAUUUCCUCAUAUGCUAGAGAAUCAACGUGAUUUCCGCUCAUGCAGGAGCAGGAGUGGACACAUUAUCUUAGAGCAUCCCUCACUGAGAUCUUUUAAAAAAUUUAUAUUAUAAAGUGAACAACAUAUUAAGUAUAGAUUUAGACGGCGGCUAAUAUAAGUUAUAUGUAUUCUAAUGACGUAUAUUAAAGAAAAUGACUAACCAUAAUUUCAAUCAACUUAUUAGUCUAUAUAUAUAUAUAUAUAUAUAUAUAUAUAUAUAAUAUAAUAUAUUCAGUGAUUACAACAUAUUUAGUAUUCCAUAACAUGAAGUUUAUAAUAAUAAUUAUUAUUAAUUCACUUAUUGUGUCAAGAACAUUUUCUUUCUCUAAGAAUGAAUUUGUUACACCCUACUAUACUACGGAUGAAAAAUUUAGAAUCAUUAUGAAAUAUAAUUAUUAAUCACUCUUUGCCAUAUUUGCGACCAAAGAAGAAUAUAACAAAGAAAAGAAACAAAAAUUAUAGAGAAUUAAUGAGACCAUUGACGUAUUAAUAACUGACCUUCCCAGUGAAACGCGUAUUAGAAAUUUGGAUAUUGUCCUCCAAAAUGAUUUGAUGUGACUGCAAAUCAUUAGCUGAUUCCUGUUGUCUCUGUUGACAUUGAGUGUAAACUUAAUUGUGAGCACAAUCUUAAUGCAUAGAUACAAGAUCUUUAAAAAUUAGUAUAAUAAACUUAGCACAAAAUCCAAAUUUGAUAUUUCGGAUUCCAUGAUUAAGAUUUUUUAAAUAAAAAUUUAAUAGAGUUAAUUUAAAAAUAAAAAUUAAAUAUGAAAAAUUAGAUUUGCAAUUAUGGAUUUAAUUUUGAUAAAUAAUGAAUGUUCUCUUUAUAUUUUUUUUUAAAGGUAAAACAGCGUACAAAGCCCAAAUUCAUUUUUUUAGUCCCUUACUCUCCCAUGAUUCAAACUUGGGUGGUUGUAGGGGGACUGAAAAUAUAUAAGACAGUUAACUUCACUUUUUUUUUUUUUUUUUUGAGAGAAAAGAGAAGAAGGAUAUUACAAAGCACGAAGCUCGUGCAAUAUAAGGGCAAUUAUGGUUUUUUCUUUAAAUUAAAAUGGUAAGAUUCUGAAGCUAAAAGAUUAAAAUAUUAAUUAAAUUGCAAACAUUAAAGAUUUUUUUUCCAAAAUUGGUUGCUUUGAAAAUGAGAAUAAUAUAAUGUUUGAAGACUUUUCAAAAUUAAUUACUGUGAUGCACUAGAAAUUUCUAGCUUUAGUCUAAUGUAUAAAUUGACAAAACGUAUUAGAAUCCCAGGUGAAAAGAACCCUCUCACACCAAUUAUUUAAAUUAGGAAUGAUCAUACCUGUGGCUCUGCCGAACUGAGGGCGAGGCCUGAACCCCUCAUCUCGAGACGCUUGAGAUGGGAAGAGCCCACUUUGACUAAUUCAUUACGAAAAUAAUCGACAUCUUGCUCUUGCAAUCCACAUAACUCUAGGUCUUCAAUUCUCUGCAGUUGCACGACUAGCGAAUCCUUCAAGCGAAUCUGGUCAUAUAGCUCGAGUCUGAAUUCACGACCCCAAAUGCCGGUGCUCCCCCAAAACCGACCUCCAAUGCUUAUUCUGUACCUUUCCAGCUUCUCCAAGAACAGGCCUCUGGGCAGAGUGCUGACGUCAUGGGUGUCUAAUUCCAAAGAGGUCAAGUUGGGCAAAUGCUUCAACUCCUCAAGGCUUGCAUUCUUAACCCCUUCCACCUCCACCUCCCAAUUAUGAAAGCUUUUAGGACCUAUAUAUAGUUCUUCUAAAUGGGAUAAUUUUGACAGUAUAUUUGGUGGAAUAACUUCUGGUCCCCAACAAUCCCUCAAAUCAAGCAACUUUAGCCAAGUCAAUUCACCUACUUCUACCGGCAACUUAUUAAUAUAAGAACCUCUUAAGCAAAGGAUUUCUAGUUUCUUCAAGCCUCCUACAACACUUAUAUCGGGCAAGAUGAAGCCGCACAAACUCAGUGUUCGAAGGUUUGACAGGAGACCAAGUGAUGAAGGCAGUGACCGUAGAAACAUGCCAGUCAAGUUGACAACUCUGACCUGCAUCAUCCUCUCGAAAAAGUUGUUUGGAAUUGUUAAUGAUGAAAAUUCCCAACGAUCAGCACGUAUAAAAAGAAGUUCGAGCUGAGGACAUUCCAGUACUUCAGGAAGCAAAUUAUUCUUGAUACCAUGUAAGACGAUUGAAGUGCAAUGCUUUAUUGCACUUCCGUCUGACCAUUCCCUGCAACCAUCAACCUGCUCAUUUGUAGCAGUAAACACAUUUCGUUCAGUAGAUGCAAUUGAUAUGGCGACAUCGCGAACUACAUCAUGCAUAGAAAACAACUCUUUCUUCUGGCUUAUAUGGUCAAGCAACAUACAAGAAGCUUUGAGUGUGCGCACCAAUGUAUGUACUCGAUUUCGUGCUACUUCAAUCUUAUUCACACCUUGAAAUAAACCCAAUCCCAUACCACACAUUAACAAGUCAUCAAUAGAUGUUAUGGCUGUAUAUCCUAUUAGCAAAAAGAUGUUCUUGAGAUCAUCCCUUCCUAGUUUAUUGUAGCUCAACUCGAUAGCAUUAAAUGCGGCUGGCUGUACAUCCUUAAAAUUCGAUGAAGAAGGCCUUCUUAGCUGUUCCAAUGCAUCCUUCCAUUCACGUAUGCUCUUGCUCCUUAAUGCCCUUGCAACCGUCACAAUGGAAACUGGUAGACCUGCACAUUCCUUUGCCACAUCCCUUGCUACCUCUUUCAAUUCAUUAUCUUCAACAUAAUCACCUGCCAUCUUCGUGAAUAGACUCCAAGCUUCAUCUUCUUUUAAAAAUCCAACUGGGAAAUUUUUUCGAGACUCCAUCUCUCCAGACAAUACUUCUUCACUCCUUGCCGUGAACAGCACUUUACAUCCCAUGUGAUCAUCUCCGUGAGGAAUUCCGACAUCCAACAAAUCAAGAUUUUCCCAAAUAUUAUCCAAGAUUACAAGGAUCCUCUUCUCUUUCUUCAGUCGAUCAUAGAGUCUUCUUGCCCUACCCGAUUCACUCUCCUCAUCAAAUUUUAGACCUAGUUUAUCCGCCAUUUCUCCUUGAAUCUUUCUUACGUCUCGACUCUCAGACACCUCAGAAAAAACCACCUGAUCGAAAAGUUUGUCACACUCUGCUUUUCUAGCAACUUCUUUAGCUAGCGUCGUCUUUCCGAUUCCGCCCAUUCCAUAAAUCAAAAGCAUGUUGACAUUGGGAUUUUUUAAUGCAUCAAUUAUUUCAUUCAGAAUGGACGUUCUUGAUUCAAAGGCCUCGAAGUCUUUGUUAGGCAUAAGCAAGGUAUCCUCCGGAAUGAUGCUGUAGGAAAUACUAUUAACUGGUCUAGCGUCCAGGACUUUGACAACAGCCUCCUUCUGCCUCUCUGCUUCCUUGCUAAGUCGAGGGCGGGUCUUCAAAUUAGGACAUAACCCCUUGAAACAACGCUUAUUUGCAGUGGCUUCAUCUUCUGUAAAUUUAUCUGCCUCUUCAAUGACACUGUUGGCCGUUGCAAGCCAAUUCUCAACGUUCUCUUCAAUCUCUUCUCCUUUUCUUUUAGCCUCAUCAACCUGGUGCUCUGUAUUCACCCUCUCAGACUUUAGUUUCACAACUUCAGUGUUGAGAUUCUGUAAGUUGCUCGUGUACUUACUCUCACGCAAAUAGCUAAUUUGGCGAUAUGCGUGAGGAGCCAAGCACUUUGCAACUUCUGAAGCAAUAGUAAGAAUGAUUUCAGCCAUCUUCAGUCCUUUGUCCUUGUCUCUCUAUCUCUCUUUUUCUGAAUUUUGGAAAAACAAUUCAACCAAGUGACCACAACAAGAUGGAACAAAAUAAAAAGGAAAAAAAAUACAAAGAGUGGAUGGAGAAUAAAACAGAGACAGCGGCACAGCUAGACACAACUAGAUAGAGAACAGAGGAAAACCAAAUAACAAGACUUAAGAUUACAACAAACAGAGGCCAAGUAUUGUUGAGAUCAGAAGAUGGAAAAUUCAAAAGAGUUGAUGGCAGAUGCUGAAUAACAGAACAACAAUGAACGCAAUAAACAGAAGCAAAGUGUGUUUGUGAUCGACAGACGGAAGUAAGGAAAAGCGGUUGUUGAUUGAAAAUGAAUGAAUGCAAAGAAAGACUGAUGUUAAAAAUUGAUGUCAAUAGCGAAGGAAUAAUUGAACUUUCGCUGAAUUAUUGUUUGUGGCUUCUUUUACUGUUUAUUUGUGGGUCAUGUCUUUUGGAACUAAUCUUGUCCAAAAAAUGUUGUUUAUUUGUGGGUCAUGUUAUUCAGCAUCUGCCAUCAACUCUUUUGUUUAUUUAUUCAAAAAAUAAAUUGUAAUUAUUUGUUAAUGUAUGCGAUUACUUGUGAUGGUAAACAAAGUAGAUAUGGUAUAUUUUGAAGUUAAAUUAAAAAAAAAAAAACCAGAGCUUUUACCAUUACUUGUCUUAUCAUCUUUUAAAUUAGAGUUAUUAUUCUUUUAUUUUUCAAGUUGCCAACUCAUCCGCAUUCUCUUUUAUUGAAUUUAAAGAUCAGUGAUUAUAAAUUUGUGUAAAAAUUUUAAGUCAAAACUUUAAAUUAAAAUAAUCUCUAAGUUAUAGGGAAAUAAUAACUUAGUAUAACAAAUAUUAUUUCCUAUACUUUAUUGAUACAAAAUUACAAAAUCUUAUAGUUUCAAAAAUAAAAAUUACGAAACCUUAUAUUAUAUUAUGUUUCCCUAUUUCCCCUUUAUAGUGAAGACUCAUACUUCUUCUCUAAUAAAUGCUAAAGUAUUGGCUUAAUUUUUUUAACCAGCAUAGUAGACCCUUAAGCUAUAUAUACUAUAAUGUCCCUCUUCUCUCACAGAUUAAACCAAUCUGAUCUCAGAGUGAGUUGAUAUCAUGACUUUGCAUCAUUCGUGAUCAAAGGAGUAUCAUUACUAACUAAUAUAGGCUCCAUCAAUAGGCAUGAUAAUAAUUUUUUUUUAUCUACAAACAUUGUUUUUCAAAAUAUUAUAUCUUAAGACUUAACUAAAUAUUUUUUUAACUAUGUAGAUAUAGUUUGUUUGAUCUCUUUUAAAUAGUGGAGAUUACAAACAAACAUAUGCGAAUUAGUAGUGAUGUUGAGUACAGAAGCUUGAAGUUAAAAAAAUUAAGGGUUUCUUGAUCUAGAGAGAUUUCAAAUGAGUGAAGCGUCCUCGAAAUCGGAAGACGAAAAUAAGGAAAGGGUAAGGGUGUAUUUUCAAAAUGAUUCUAUUAGGAGAUCUUUGAAGUAGGGGCGGGCAAGUCGGGUUUCGGUUCGAGUUGUUCAAGUUUCGGUUUGGGUUUCAACCUAAUCAGGUUUGAGAAUUAAACCCAAUCGGGUUGAAAACGCCAACCCAAACUAAACCGAACCGAAUUUAAUUUAGUUCGGGUUCAUAAUUCGGAUCGGACUGGGUUGAUAACUCAUGUUAAAAUUUCGGUUCGGGUUAAUUUGGGUUAGAAUAAUUCAAUCUAAAAUUUUGGGUUAGUUUGGUUUAAAACGGGUUGGAACAAUUUAAUCCAAAAAUUCUACCAACAACCACUUAAAAUCCAAAAAUCUCAAUUCCAAACAUCCUUAACAACAAAUAUUAACUACAAACCAUCCUUGACAACAUUUCAACAAUAACAAUAACAAUAAUAACAACAACAAUAAUGAUAAUAAUAACAACAACUAUGAAUCAGCAAUUCAGCAUAUUGCCAUAUUCUAAAUUUUAAAAAACACACAAAUUAUUUAAUUAAUUAAUUAAUUAACAAUCUCCAAUUUAAUUUAUAAUAACAGCAAAAAUCCUCUCCAAUUUAAUUAAUAACAGUCUCCAAUUGUUCAAUUAUCAGUCAACAGCAACAAAUCCACUCCAAUUGUUCAAUGAACAGAUGUGGAUUAGUAGAGUUGUUGAGUUCAGAAGAUUGAAGUUAACAAAGGGUUUCUUGAUCUAGAGAAAAUUCGAAAGAGCGAAGUGUCUUCGAGAUCAAAAGACAAAAUAAGGAAAGGGUAAGGUUAUACUUUGAAAAUGAAUCUGUUGAGAGAUCUUUGAAGAUUACUUCCGUUAAGAGCUGGAUCCCACACUUGAGUCUUCGUCGUCUCAGUCAGUCAGCUGUAAAGUCAGUCAGCUAUAAAGACAAAUUAAUUUUGAGUGUGAAAGGACACAAUUGAUCACCAAAUUUUCAAACUCGGGAUCCUUAUUGAAUCUACAUUCCCAUUUGAAAAAUAAUAAAAGAUUAACAUUAAUUUAACUUCAUCUAGAUUCCCAUUUGAAUCUGCAUUCCCAUUCCCUUGUUCUCUGGGAAUGCACAUAAUCAAACAAAAUCCUAUCCGCAUUUUCAAACUCGUGACCCUUCAAUCUUUCUAUGACAACUAUAAUGAAUGAUUACAACAAUGCUACCUAAUAGUGAGCAACUUGUUUGAUGAAAUUAACAGCUUCUUUUCUCUCAUGUAUUUUUUAAAAAUUAAAUUACCAAAGUUUUUAUUUCAAAAUUAGUGCUAUAGUUCAUUAAUUUUUCAAAAUUUCCUUUUUCUUUCCACACAACAAAUUGAUUUGCCCUCCAAAAAAUGUAUUAUAUUGUUUAUAUUGUAACUUCAAGAAACUUAUAAUAAAAUUUUAAUGAGAUAAAUAGAGAAUGUCAGUCUCCCAUCUACUCAAAAUUAAUAUAUAUCAUUAACUCUUGAUUAUUUUUAUAAUAACUAAUAACUUUCUUGGCAGCAUAAUUUUACAGUAUCAUCCUUGUUUGUAAGUAUAUUUUUAUUUAUAUUUAUUAUAAAUUAAUUAAAUCAUAUCAAUGAAAAUUGAAAUAAAAAUUGAAGCACUAAAAAUUAAAAAAAUAUGUUUUGGUGUGAAUAAAAAAUUGAAAAUAAAAAUAUUUUUCUUAUAUUUUUAAAUUUUUUUCUUGUAGUAAAUGCAUAUUUUAUAUGCUCAACUUUUUCUUUAAAUUUUUGUUAUUAGGAGGAAUUUUAGAUAUAAUGAAAAUUGUAAGGUAGUAAGUAAUAUAUAAUAAUUUUAAUAGAAAAAAGUAAAAAUUCUCUUAUUUUAAAAUAUAAGGAGAAAAAAUAAUUAAUUUCAAGACAUUUUAGAAGGUAUUUCAAUAUGCGGUGGACCACAAACUCGAGUCUUUGUCAUCUCAGUCAACUAAAAAGACAGAAUAUUGAGGGCAUGGCUAAGGUGCAGAAGCUGCAAGUAACAGCUUCGAACUUUCCCAUUUCCAUCACCUUGCAUUGGGACCUCCUCUAGCACCCGUGGAAGUUCCCCAUUGGCUACUGUUACUUACAAAAGCUCUAACAUAGACUUCUUCGAAUAUUGAGCGCGAAGGGCUCAAGUGAUUGUUAAUUUCACGGCAAUCGCCUUUUUUUUUUUUUUAAUUAUUGGGAAAUAAUAACUUAGUAUAACAAAUAUUAUAUCCUAUACUUUAUUGCUACAAAAUUACGAAACCUUAUAUUAUAUUAUGUUUCCAUAUUUCUCCUUUAUAGUGAAGACUCAUACUUCUUCUCUACUAAAUGCUAAAGAAUUGGCUUAAACUUUUUAACCAGCAGUAGACCCUUAAGCUAUAUAUACUAUAAUGUCCACUACAAGAAAUCUGACUUUCUAAGACAAAUGUUUUUAUGACAUUUGUAGAUUUUGUCAUAAAAUAAUACUUAUUGUGAUGAUCUUUUAAAAUUGUAGCAAAUAAUCUCGUCCUGGCUCAUGUUAUAUUUUGUAACGAAUAAUAUUCAUUUUAUGACCCAAUAAUUGGUCACUUAAUCAAAUGUUUUGCGACAAAUAUAAAAUUAGCCACAAAAGGACGUACUUUUUUUUAGCACAAAAAAUUCCCUCCAAAAUUGAUCAUUUUUUUUACAAAAUAUCAUCUUUUAUGACAGAAAAUAUGGUAGCGAAAUGUAAUUAUAAGUGACAUAAUUAUUUCGUAACUAAAAGAGGGAUGUAAAAUUGAUCAAACCAUUUGUGACAAAAAAUAUUAGUCUCCAAACCUGAUAUGGUUUUGAUUAAUUUUUAAGACCCUAUUUUUUUUAUCACAGAUAAUUACCGAUUGUGACAAAACUAAAAAAUAAUAGUUUAAAAAUUUUUUCUUGAGUAAUUUUAUAUUUCAUGACCUUUUUUUUUUCAGAGACACUUUAUUUAGUAUUUGAUUCAUAUUUUUUUGGCAAACUUUACAACAAUGACAAAAAACAGAGAAUAAUAAUCAAUAUUUUUAAAUUAUAUUAUAUUUUGUGACCAACAAAUUUUUUAUAUGUAUUUUAUUAAAUAAUUGAUAAGAUAAAAUGUCAAUAAUUUUAUUAAAUAUCAAGAAAAAAGGUAUUUAACUGAUAGGUAUUUUAUUAAAUAAUACAUUUUUCUUUAAAUUUAAUUACGCACAUUAUUUUUUAUCAUGUAGCUUCAUACAAAUUUUGUUUAACUAUGUUAGAUUAAUAAAAAUUAAAAUAAUAGCCUUAAAAUAAUUAACUUAGAUUAUUAAAAAAUGAUAAUAGACUUUUUUUAAACCAAUAAUAACAAACUUAUUAUAGCUUCUUUUUUAUUUUUUUAAAAGAAUCCUAUAAUAAUUAAUUAUGUUGGAUUUACAGAAAGAAUACAUAUUAAAUUGGGUAAAAAUUAAAAUAAAAGAAUAACUAAACUUAAAUAGAACAUAAGUUUCUCUAAUGAAAUCGUGAAAUACAAAUAAAUCCCCUCCCACUGAUUCCCUGGCCAAUUUUGUUGUUAUCCAAACAAAACCAUUUAAUUUCCCCCCACUCUCUCCCAGGCCACUUCACUUUAAUUGGUUUUGUAUUAAAAAACUACCCAUCUUUAUCUUUUGUAAUCCUUUCCAAUUUAUGCGUGUGUGUGUGAAUGAUGAUAACAGAACAAAAACGCAUGGCUAUGGAGGCCACCUCACUUUGCCGCCGCCCAAAAGCACGCCACCCUCACCAGUCCACUCAUGCAUGCCAAAAUCAGCCACUCAGCAAAAUUCACUCUCAUCUCUCGUUCUACUUCGAAAUUGUGAGUAUAUAUAAACUCAGCCAAUUUAAUUUUGAUUAGUUUUGUUGUGAUUGGAUUAUGUGAAAUUCAUAUUUUUGUGUUUGGUAAAAUUAGGGAUUGAAAUUCUUAGAUCUAUUAUUUGAAUAUUUUUAUGCUUAUCAGGUGCUUGAUAAAAUUCCUAAGAGAAUCUAGUAAAAGAAAAACAUAAAAUAUAUGCAAAUAAAUGAAGGAAUUUGAAGCAAAGUUUAGUAGGUUUGGAGAAACUUUUGCAAAAUUAGGAUAUUAAGAUGAAUUUGUUUUUCAAUUUGAGCAGUGGGUUUAGGCGUGCUGAUAUCAGAUUUUUUUUUCCCUAAUAUUCUUUCAUAAGAACUUUCGAAAAUGGGAUCUUUCUAAUUUUUGUUCACUUCAACUUGGUAUGUAAUUAAUCAUCUUUCUUUAUUUUUUUAAAGAUAAUUAUAGCUAGUAUUAAUAUAGUAAAAAGAGUUAAUAAGUUAUUCGAGUCCAGCCGAUAUAAUAAUAAGUUAAGCUACAAACUUUUAAUUAUAAAACACAUGUGUUGGUUGGAAGGACGAUUUUGAAGCUUGGGUUGCUAAAGUUUGCUGAAAAUAUUGUUGGAUUUGCUAGGAAGUGUAGAUGAAGUGACUAAAUAAAGGUCAAAAAGCUUCUUUUUUUCCCCAAGUGGUCGUUGUAUGUUUAGUCAAAAUUAAUAUGCUUAUCUUCUUUUGUAUUGGGAUAACAAAAAAGUAUGGAGAGAGUUUCCUCGAUUUAAGAAAAUGUAUUAGAGUGAGCGAAAAAGGUUCAAGUAGUCUCCAUACAAAAUCUAAAUGUGUAACCUAUCUUAUUUUUAUUUUUUGACUUAAUCUUUUAUUUAUUUCAACUUUAUAUUUAUUGUACUGUAAAUGUUGAUUUAUUGACUGCUUAAUAAUUUAAUUUCGUUCAAGUUUGACACCAACUGUUUAAUCGAUUAAGUUCAGAGCUUUGGAUGUAAAAUUUGUGCAAGUGAAUCAAGGUUGAUUAUGUGCUUGUAAUCUUUUGAUUAUAUUGUUAAUUUGAAGUAAUAAUGAAAGCAAGUAUGUGCUUGUAAUCUCCUGUCUUUCAUUUAGAAUUUUUUCCAUUUUUUUAUUGGAUGAAAGAAUUGAUUGCGGAUAUGUUUCAUUGAGAAUUUAAUUAAUUUUGCAUUCUUACCUAAAUAUUUUUAUUUAUAGCUAUUUGCCUUGCUAUUUACUAUUCUUUCAUUUUGGCAAUAAGAUUUUCUUUUAUAAGAUUAUUCUCCUAUACCAAUUAAGUGUUUUCUCAAGUUUUUUAUUAUUAAUAUUAUUUUUUUAAUCAUGCAAAGACAAAUGAUAGAUAGAGAAAAAUGAUGUACCAAUAAUAGAUGAUCAAAUUGUGAAAUACUUUUGGAAAAAUCUUUAAUUUUAUAAAGAUAAAAAAAUGACAGGUACCUUCAAAGUCAUCUUCUACUACAACAUUGUCUUAGCACAACAAGGAUCAAAAGUUAAAAUCAAGGAAGAAGAUAGCAAAUUUAAGGAAGUUGAAGCAUUCAUGAAACAACAACAUGUUGUUUACUUAAUUGUGCUUGUGUGUAAUGUUACUUUUAUUUUUCUUCUAUGAUGUAAUCUUAUUUUUAGACUAUUGAUUUUUUGCCUUUUUGAUUUUAGAUUUCUUUGUAAUGAAUUAUAUUUAUGUUAAUAAUAUUUUUCACUUCAAAGUUCUUUUGUCAUUAAAUUUUGAAUUCUAUGACUACAUAUUGUUAUUAAAAUUUAUGUGAGACUAUAAAAAUUGUCCUUAAAAUAAAUUUGUGACUAAAUUAAUUACCAAUUGUAUUUGUAAAAAUUGUCACAAAUGAUAACUACUUGAGACGAUUGUGUAAUGUCGCGAUAUGUAAAUUGUCAACGAUUGGUAAUUGUAUCAUUGAACCUCUAAAAUAACAAUUUUUAGUAAUUAUCGAGACUAUAUUUACAUACUCUUGAGACAAAUAUUAUAGUCAUUCUAAAUCACCUAUUGAGACAAAUGUUUUAGUCACUAUAAAUCACCUAUUGAGACAAAUAUUAUAGUCACUGUAAAUCACAUAUUGUGACAAAUAUGAAGUGUCAUUGAUUGCAUUUUUGAAUCUCUAAUUUGACCAUUUUGAACACUAUUUGUGACAAUUUUAACUUAAUUUUAAGACAAUGGUCUUUGUCACAAAACAUAUUUUUAACAUGACGAAAAUAAUUAUGGUCGCUAAAACCUUUUAAGACGGUCUUUCCGCGACUAACGUGUGACGAUUUAUUUAUCAUCAUAGAAAAUAUAAGGUGACUAAUAUGUUAUCUUUAGUGACUAAAUUUUUUGUAAUAAAAUAUCAUUUUUCUUGUAGUGGUCCCUCUUCCCUCACAGAUUAAACCAAUCUAUCUCAGAGUAAGUUUGCAUCAAAGGAGUAUCCUUACUAACUAAUAUAGGCUUGAUCAAUAGGGAUGACAAUAAUUUUUUUAUCUACGAACAUUAUUUUUUCAAAAUAUUAUAUCUUUAGACUUAACUAAAUAUUUUUUAACUAUAUAUGUAUAGUUUGAUUAAAUGGUGGAGAUUACAACAAAACAGAUGUGAAUUAGUAGUGAUGUUAAGUUCUAGAUCAAGACGAAAAUAAGGAAAAGGUAAGGGUGUAUUUUCAAAAUGAUUCUAUUGAAAGAUCUUUGAAAAUUACUUUCGUUAAGAGGUGGAUUCCACACUCUUGAGCCUUUGUCGUCCCAGUCAACUAUAAAGACACAUUAUUAUUGAGUGUGAACAUUCGAACUUAUAGAUCAUCAAAUUUUCAAACUUGUGAUCUUCGUUAAAUCUGCAAACCCUUUUUUUUUUAAAAAAGAAAAAGAAAACUGCAAAUAAUGAAACAAAAUUCUCUUCCUUGAUAGACUUACGCGGCUUGAACUUGCAAGUGCUGUCGGCAUUUUCAAACUUGUAAGACCCUUCAACUUGCUUUCCAAGAUAGCUAUAAUUAAUAAUGACAACCGAAGACGGCUACGUUUGCGGUACAAAAGUUGCACCAUAUCAGACGUUCUUUUUUGUUCUUAUCCGAAGGAACCGUUGGAUUCAAAGGAAAGUGAUCGGACAUUCAAUAGCUUCACACGUGGACAUUAUAGGAUACCGGUCAAAUCGGUUAGUGCUCCUCCACAUCAAACUCACAAGCAUGGCUAUCAUCGUAUCAGCUUGGAAACUUGUUACAAGUAACGAAGAGCAACAGAGUCCGCUCCUUUAGAGUCGGCAACAGAGUUUUAAUUAACGGCAUCUUCUCUCACAUUUUUUUUUAAAAAAAAUUGAAUUAUAUAACCCACCAAAACUAUAAAGAAUUGUUAGUUUUUCUUCAUUAAAAUUAAUAUAUUGCUCCUCAUAUUAAAAAAUCAAAAUUCAGAAUAAGAAUAAUUGAUACUGUUUAUUUACUAAAAUGAAAAUGAGAAUAAAAAUAAAAUAUAUGGAGCCUAUAUAUUUUUUAAAUUAAAAAAUAAGAACUUUUCAUGAGGAGUGUUGGGAAUCAAGUUCUUAUUAUUUAAACUCUCAAUUGUACCUUACCAAAAUUUCAUAAUUUCACUUUUGUUCUCAAUUAAAAUAUUAUUACAGUUAUUAUUCUUAUUUUUGUAGUUGUUGUUGUUGAUGAUGAUGAUUAUGAUGAUACAUGAUAAUAAAAUUAAUGAUAAUAAUAAUGAUAAUGAUAAUAAUAAUAAUGAUAUGAUAAUGAUGAUAAUAAUUUGAACAACAACAACAAUAAAUAAUAAUAAUAAUAAUGAAAAUAAUAACUAUAAUUUUAACAACAAUAAUAAUCAUUAAUAUUAUUAUUGUUAAAAUUAUUAUUAUUAUUAUUAUUAGAUAAUUAUUUUGAAUAAUAAUAAUCACAAGUCUAUUCUGAUUCCAGUUUAUUCCGAUUAUCGAUUAGAAAAUGUGUCAUUACUGUUUUAAUAAUAACUAAUAAUUCUCUUGACAUCAUAAUCGUAAUUCUUAUAGUAUUAUCCUUAUUUUAAAAUACACUACCAUGAGCUUGCAUCAUUUGAAAUGGUAGGUACUAGGUAGCAAUUGCUUACAUCAAAAUAUCUAGACUCACUCGGCAAAGUAUCCGAGGCCAAAACGCCAAAAGAUGGGACACCCACAUGUGCAUCUAAUUACAAAAUCCAAAGUUAAUGAAAAAGAAAAAAGAAAAAGUAUAAAUGAACGGUAUUGGCUGUAGGACAAGGGGAGGGGAAAAAGGACCAUUUUGUUUUCUUUGCUAAUUCACAAGGGGAAGGGAAAAAAAAGAAAAAGACAGUUUUGAUUAAAAAACACAGAAUAUUCAAUUCACAAGCCACCAAUGCUUGUGGACCAAUGGUCGAUAUAUGAAAGUUAGAGAUUCUGGAAAAAUGAGCAAAUAUUUUGAGUUGAUUAAUGGAUUUGUUUGUAAUGCAAUACAAGAUAGCAUUUUAAAGCUGGCAAGAAAGAAAGAAAUAAGUCAAUAAUUGAGAUAUUUAAAGAAGCUCAAGUGGUCAUGAAAUCUCUCCUUAAAAACUAUACAAGAUAAUGUUAAUGAUAAAGUUAGCCAACCAAGUCGUUCAAUCAUUGCUGGAAGCAAGCAGCCAUUGAAGUUGAUAGAAGCUAAUGCAUGAAAAAAGGUUCGUUACAUGAAGGAGAUAAUGAGAAAAUUGAUGAACACCUAUCAUCCAUGUUUUGUUUCAAUCAAAAGGUUUGAGUUUUAAGGCCGAUAUUUUGGACUGAAUCCCCCUGUCUGCUUCCAAAGGGGAGGAUGUGCAUGUAGUUGAUUGGGCCGAUGAUUAUGAUGGGUGGGAACUUUUAGCAUCUCAUGAAAGAGGAUGUGUAUGUUAUCGGUUGUAGGUACGGCAACAAAUUUUAUAUCCACAAACAAUAUUUUUCAAUAUAGUAUCUUAGGACUUAACUUAGCAUUUUUUAACCAUAUAUGUAUGGGAGCCCCUAUGUUACAUUAAAUGUACCAUACACAACUCACAAGAACCACACAAAUUGUGGGACCCACAUAAUUGUGUGGUUCUUAUCAGUUGUGUAUGGUACAUUCAAUGUAACAUAGCAAAAUCCUAUAUGUAUAGGUUGUUUGACCUCCUUUAAAUAGUGGAGAUUACAACAAAUGAACAGAUGCGGAUUAGUAGAGUUGUUGAGUUCAGAAGAUUGAAGUUAACAAAGAGUUCCUUGAUCUAGAGAAAAUUCGAAAGAGCGAAGUGUCUUCGAGAUCAAAAGACGAAAUAAGAAAAGGGUAAGGUUAUACUUUCAAAAUGAAUCUGUUGAUAGAUCUUUGAAGAUUACUUUCGUUAAGAGCUGGAUCCCACACUUGAGUCUUCGUCGUCUCAGUCAGUCAGCUAUAAAGACAAAUUAAUUUUGAGCGUGAAAGGACACAAUUCGACAGAUUUUACGCAAAUUUGUUUUGUUCUCAAAAUAGUCUGCUGCUCCCGGAUUGUCCUCAUCAUAUUGAACGAAUGAUGACGACGCUCUGUCCGUUUCUGGCUCUCUGCUUUUCACAUCACCAGACACCUCGUUUCUAACUGGGGUGCCACCAUCAUAUUUAACUGUUAUUGGUAACUCAAUAGCUAAUUCCAAUGUUUCAUCAAGCAGUUUAGAGAUAACCUCUCUCGCUGAACUCCCUGGAGUAACACAAUCCAGUUUUCUAGUGCAAUCAUCAAACAGUUGAACAGCUUCUGAAUUCCCUGGGGAUUGAUUACUAAUGAUAAAGACAACAUACGGUAGAGGACACAAAUUGUUAUUAAACAAUGGUGCACUUUUCAUUUUUCAACUGAGUACAGUAAAGCAAGAAUGGGUAAUUAGUUUUACCUGCUAAGCGAAAAUCUAGACUCCCGAAGGUAACCGAUCUUGGGUGAAGCAAAUAAAGAAGAAGGCGAAGUAAAAUUCACUGAGUUGAAUGAGCGAUCAUUGCGUAUGGACUUGAUUUGUUCAAUGGGUGAAAGACUGCUGAUAUAAUUAAAGACAGGAGAAUCCUGCAUGUUGACAAGCAUCAUUUUUAAUCAGCAUAGAGUCUUAAAAACCUAGUCAGUGGCAAAUGAUCAUGACAAGAAAUCUGAAGUAGAAACAGCAGAGCUCAACAAAUCACUAAGAGAAAAUAAGACCAAUAACCAAACAGAUGAAAGAAAAGCAAAAUAACCCAUCUCAAAUCACCACAUGCACAAUUUAAGGGGGUUGUGACAUGGGUUUAAACAUGACUUAACAAGUGCCACCAGUGAAUUCUCAGAGAUUGAAUUUUCAUACACAUGUCAAAUUUUCAAAUCCAACAAAUUGUUAUCUUUCUGAAGAUAUUAACUAUGCAUAGCAUGCUAUAAACGAAUCAUAUUAUUAGGGCCUUUGUUUGCUGUACACAGCAUAUGUACAGAGGAACAAAUCCAUGAGCUGAAAUCAUCAUAUUCCAAAAUAUUCUACCAAAUCAACACUACAAAAACCUAACGCUAAACAGAAUUGGAGCAAUUUACGAAAGCUAUUUGUCACACAAAGCACUAGUACCUCAGAACACAAUUUGCAAAAAAAGCAACAAAAAUGAAAAAUAACAAAUGCCCAGAUGAAAAAUCUGGCAACAAAAUGCUCAAAUCCAAACUACAACCGUCCACCUGCUUGUUUUGCCUUUUUUAAAAAUACACAAACACUUUUUUUUUCAGCACGCCACUUGAAGUUUACUUUUUGUUGCAUUCGUCCACUUCCGUUUAAUUUCCGUUAGUGAAUUUAACGGAAUGACCUUUUUACCCAUUAAAAUUAAAAUUUAACCCAAAAUAAAUAGAAAUUAGAGAUAAAUUGGAUGGAUUUAAUUUUUUUGAAAGGUGGAUGCUAGAAAUUGGAGGAAAAUAGUGUUUGUUUGUUACUAAAUUUAGAAAAUUUGUAUUUAUUUUUUUGGAGAAAAAUAGUGUUUAUUGCUUGCUAAAUUUAAAAAAUUUGUAUUUAUUUUUUUGUCUUUCAAAAAAUAAAUACAAAUUUUCUAAAUUUAGCAAGCAACAAACACUAUUUUCCUCCAAUUUCUAGCAUCCACCUUUGAAAAAAAUUAAAUUCAUCCAAUUUAUCUCUAAUUUCUAUUUAUUUUGGGUUAAAUUGUAAUUUUGAGGGGUAAAAAGGUCAUUUCAUUAACAUUCCGUUAAAUCCACUAACGGAAAUUAGACGGAAGUGGAUGAAUGCAACAAAAAACAAACUCAGGUGGCGCACUGAAAAAAAAAAAAAAGUGUUUGUAUAUUUUUGAAAAAGACAAAACAAACAAGUGGACGAAUGUAAAUUUCCCUAUUCCAAAAUAUUCUACCAAAUCAACACUACAAAAACCUAACGCUAAACAGAAUUGGAGCAAUUUACGAAAGCUAUUUGUCACACAAAGCACUAGUACCUCAGAACCCAAUUUGCAAAAAAGCAACAAAAAUGAAAAAUAACAAAUGCCCAGAUGAAAAAUCUGGCAAAAAAGUACUCAAAUCCAAACUACAACCCCAUAAGCUGAGUCGUUCUCUUCAAACUGAAUUAAAAAAAUUAAAAUGGGGAGAUCGACCUCAAACUUGGAAACAGAAGCGACAGCGAUCUGUUUCUUGUCUGGAGUGUCCAUUUCUAUAAUCUACUUUGUCCGUUUUCACUUUUCAGUCGCUCCACCACAAAGCCUCUUCACUCUGAAGCUGAAACUCACCACACACUUGCAAAACGAAAGCAUUUGAUUGAUUGAGAGGCGGGAAGGCGGGAAAACGAGAGAAAUUUGCUUCUUUUUUUUUUUAUUCGUUUGGUCAUACUCAUACAUGCACGGGCCCCAGCUUUACAAGCGUUAUUAUUACUAUUUGCAUUAUUUGAAGGACGCGUGUGCUAGGAUUAUACAAAGUUAUCUAAAAGUGUAAAGAGUAAAGUAUUGUUCUAAUUAAUUUUAAAAAAUAUUUUAUUAUUAACGUUUAAUGCAACAUGGCAAUUUUUUUUUCCUUGGCAACAAAGCAUUGUUCCAAAUAAUUAUUAUUGGAUCCAGAUCCUGUCCUAGGCAUUUUCUCUAUUAGUACUCCUAAACUUUUAGGGUAUGUUUGGCAUGUAGGAUUUGAUUGGACUAACUAUUAGGAUUGGACUAAAUUAGAAUGCAUUAGAUUGGAUUGGAUUAGAUUAUGUUAAAUUAAAUUUACAUGAAAUUAAAUAGUAUUUAUAUUAAUAUUUGAAUUUAAAUAUAAACUAUUUAUAGAUAUUUAAAUAAUACGGUUAUAGUAAGCACCACAGAAUACAAAGACACUUGGCAAAAGGAAGUCAAUCAAAUUCGAUGGCACAAAAUGAAACUAAUAAUGGCGAAAAUAAGAAAUUUUUCUUACUGGAGCAGUGAACCUUACCCUUCUCUGUAGUAGUCUUCUGGUGAAGUGAGUGCCAGAUCUGCAAAGCAAGAGAAAUCAGCAUCUGGAGUAUACAAAAGAUUAUCUAACCCCAGAGCUUGCCUCAAUUGCCUACAUGUUCAAAACAAGGACCUGUUAAAAAAUGGAAAUCUCUUCAAUGCAUUAGUAAAGGGAAGUGAAGUGAAGUGAAAGCUGAUUUCUUAGGCCUUUAAAGAGCAUCUUGUGUUUGAAUUCCUAUAACCUCACGAAAGAUUAGAGCAUCACCUUGACCGCUCUAGGUCUUGCAACUCAGUAACCCAACCAUUGUAUCUAAGCUGCACUGUCACAACAGGCAAUCCAACUAGCUCAUAAAUAUUGUUGAAAAAUUUAAUUUCCCUCCACGAUGAUGGAAGUAAUCGUUUAAAUCCAGGGACAUCACAUGCUGCCAUUAAAUAAGAAGUUGUAGGAAGUUGAAUAAAGGUAAAACAUUCACCUAAAUGAUUCAGGAGAACAAAAAAGCAGAAGUAGGAAUAAAUAAGGAAGAUUUAACGACAAACCAGCAACUUAUGCACCAGCUUGCAGAACCUUCUUGUCAGUGCCUGAAAUAGAACCAGAACUUCUAAAGACCAUAAGCAUUAAAUAAUAAACGCAAAGUACCUGCUUCUAAUAGAUGAUAUAAACAACUGAUUUACAAAUGUCUGGUCAUUGCAUUACCUCCAUCAGAGAGAAUAUCAAUAGACGAGUACAGAAAUAAAUAACUAAACUAGCUUUUGCCGCCUAAUUAGAGCCAUGUGAGAAACAAUUUACCUUAGACAUGGCAAGUCCUUUGACAUAUGUUUCUCCAUUAGCAGAUUUAUCAUAAAGUAUCUCUCUGCAUCCCCACCUAAGAUGGAACCUGUUCUAGCAAAAACAGACCCCGAGGUUAGGAAAAUCAGUAGGAGAAAACAAACAAGAGUAACAAAUCACCGCAAUGAUGUGAACCUCUAAAUACAAAUUCACCUGCCCUCUUUAUCUGUGAUUUAUCUUCUUAUGGGCCCACUCAAAUAAACGUCUGGAGAACCCUUGAGCAUCCGCAAUAGGGAAGCCUCAGUCUUAGUUGUAAACUGUGCGAAUAUAGUGAGCAUACAACGAGCACUGAUGUUAUCACGAUCAAUGAACCCAAGGGCAUAAGCAACAGGACCCCACAUUCUCAGAAUACUCGUCCGUGUACCACCUUUGGACAAAAACCAAUCAGAGAAGCUUAUCUGUAAGAAGAAAUGAAGUUUUAGGUAAGAUAACAAUUUGUAGGAGCAAGGAUCGAUAUUAAAACAAACUAGAAAAUAAGAUGUCAUUCUUACACUAUCCAAAUCUCGUAUGUCCUUCAAGGCUCCACCAGGAUCAACGAAUGCCUUUACAACAGGACUCAGAGCAAGAGCAAGAGCAUUUCUUGCUUUAUCAUAAGUCUGCACUUGAGCAAUACAUGAGGCAAAGUAUAUCAAAAGAGAAUCCAAAAGAGGCAAGAACUUUCAACAUGAAAGAAGAAAUACUGUCUUAUCAUACUGCUAACUAAUCAGAGUGCAAAAGAUUACAUCGACAUAAUCAAAAUGGAACAUAAAUCCAUAUGCACCACCUUAAGCUAAUUUGUAGACAAAAAUGCGUGAAUCCCAUGUAAGGGAGCUCCGACUGGAAACCGGAAAUCAAGUUCUGGAGUUAAAAAUCAAAAUCAUAAACUGUAUCAGAGAUAUUAUUGGACUAGACAAUCCAUAAACCAAUUUCAGAGUGUUCAACCACCAAACAUAACUAUCAGUAGUCUUAAGUGAUCAAGAAAUAACCAUACCACCAAUUUCAUCACGCUUAUUCACAAAUGUAUGAGUAUGAUCCUUCAUGAGUGAAUUUUUGUCCGCAUCGACCCGUAGACAUCCAUGAAAAACUAUCAGAUUAUAAACACAGGGUCGAUUUAAAGAGGAGCUAUGAUUCUGAUCCAUCAUUAUAUUUGAAGAACAUAUUCAUAUUUUCUUACGAGUAAACUAUAACCAGUUAUCAUCACUAUAGAUGGCAUGGUCAAGAGGAAUUAUAGUUCUUGUUUCAAGAAUCUCGAAUUGGCUAGUCUGCUUUUAUAAUCAUUCAAACACACGUAUCCACAACUACGCAAGCUUUACCUUUUUCAUCAAUCGGAACAGAUUAUUGUAGCAUCCAAAGAAAAUGUGCAGGCCGAUUUCAGUAUGGUUUCCAUGUUUAUCGAUAAAUGAACCCACUUUACCACCAAUGAAAGACCUUGAUUCAUCUAUAUCCACCUGGAAGAACAAGGGAAAAAAGAAAAAAUCUUCUAAUUUCUUUCACCAUCAACAAAAUCAGUAAAACACAUACUAAUUCAAAAUGAAAUAAACUUUGUGAAUUGAAAUAAUGCCUGCUCUAAAGAAAAUGAUAACUGCUAUUCAUUUUUCUGAACUGCUAAAAAAAAUAAAAGCUUCUGCUAUUUACUUCGAAAAAAUUGAGUAACUUCAAAUUUUGAGUUUAGGCAAGAGGAUGAAUGGUAAAAAUGAGACAUUUUAGGGGAAAAGAAAAUACUUGAGAGGCCAAUGAAACAUUCAAAAGAUUGAAAUCUAAAUGAGAAAAGCCUCAUGGCCUUGAUCCAACAAUUCCACUGUUGUUGACAUCCUAGCUCCAAUAAUCUGCUCCUAGCCUCAUGGCCUGGAAAUCUAAAUGAGCAAAGCCUCAUGGCCUUGAAAAAACCUUAGUUUUUUGUGUUGUGUGUGUUCACUUACUUGAUAAAAAUUAAACCUACGGUGUACCCCAGUCGCCGUGCCACCUGGCGCUAUUUUAGUGGCAUUCAUUGCUGUCAUGUCAGGAAUAUUCUUAUUUUCAUGCGUAUGGCAGGCGUUUCAAAAAUAUGAGUGGAGAGCAAGUUUGAGGCAUAUUCACGUGUUAGGCGUAGUGGAGUGGUCCCACGUACCUCUGCAAUUCCGUUGUAAUUUUGCAGGUAUGGCAGGAAAAGUUGGUGGUUCCAACUGUCAUAAUAUCAAACUUUUGGUUGAUUCGCUGGCGUGACAGGUGGCUGUCUCCUCUUUUGUAGCACAAGAUUUCCUCAUCGAUUCCUUAUUUUUUUACACGUAUUCAACCGAUCUUUUUUUGAGAUUCAGGGUCCAUCUAUCCCUUGACAUUUUUUACGAACCUUUUUCCUAACCUUUUUGUCCUUACUCGAUGUUCCCUAGGUAUUGAAUUUUGUGGGGUAGGUCGGGUACCAAGUUUUGUAGAGUAGGUUGGCUCCAUCGGGUAUCCCGAGUACCGAAUUUAUGGUGUAAGUUAGGUAUCUCGAGUAACAAGUUAUAGUGUAGACCAGGUAACCGAGCUUAUAGUGAAUGUCGGGUAUCGAGUUUAUUAUGUAGGUUGUGUAUCUUAGGUGUCGAGCUAAUAGUGUAGGUCGGGUAUCUCAGGUACCGAGUUUAUAGUGUAGCACGAGUAUCUUGGGUACCGAGCUAAUGGUGUAGGUCGGGUACCUGGGAUACCGAGUUUAUAGUGUGGGUCAGGUAUCUUGGGUACUGAGCUAAUGGUGCAGGUCGGAUACCCCCAGAGAAUAACUAAUAGUUACAUAACCUUUGUAGUUUGUAUCGACACGUAGCGCUUCAUUUUCAACACUCUGUUUAUCCACAAACAAGGGGUAUUCAAAAUUCAAUUAGAUCCGCUCAAUUCGUCCGAUCUAUAAAACUUCGAUCCAUGGAUUGGUAGAUCAAAUUGGAUUGAAAAUUUAAAAAUUCGCAGUCGAUGGAUUGGAUAUGAAUUUAUUUCUAUAAAUUCGUAAAAAUCCUUGAAUCCGUAAAAAAUAACAAGUAUUUAUUUAAAUUAAAGUAUAGCUAAAUUAACACAAUAUUAUAUCUUAUUCGAUAACAAUAUAAAAUAAAAAAAAUUAGAUAUUUAAAUAAUUAAAUAAGCAAAUAUACCUUCCAAAACAUUAAAAAUUCUAAAGCAAAACAAAAACCCUAUGCUAAACAAAACAUUUUGGCAUAUAACACCAAAUCUUUACCCCAUCGCACGCACAAGCCAUCACUGUUUCACUUCACCACUUGAGGUAAUUAAGCUUAAUUUCUUACUUUCUUUUCAAGUUCUUCAAGUUUCUUAAUUUCUUCCUAUUACAUCCAAGCUCUCAAGUUUCAAUAUUUAAAUUCAUAAUUUUAGUUAAUUUUCAUGUAUUGAUCUAAACAAAUGAAUUUUCUUUUUAGUGUGUUAUAUUUUAAAUUUUUGAAUAUAUUAUUCUAACUUUAUUUAAACAAUUAAUUUUUUUAAAUCUUGCUCAAUUUUGAAUUUAAUUGAUAGUAAGAUUAUUUUUACAUUAGAUUUUUUUAAUUUAAUAAAUUAUUUAUAUAUUAGAUUUUUUAAUUUAAUAAAUUAUUUAUAUAUUAGAUUUUUUAAUUUAAUUACUUCGUAGAUUGGACAAAAUUAAAAAAUUUUAAUUCGCAAAUGAAUCCGCUAAAUGAUGGAUUAGAUAUUGAUUGGGUUAAAUCUGCAUCCGAUCCGCAUACAUAUAGAUUGGAUUUAGAUUGAAUUUCACUAAUCUGUGGAUUGGAUUGGAUUGAAUUGAAAUUUUAUAAUCUCCCUUUCUUUUUUCGAUUAUUACACAAACGUUAGUGCUUGUGAAUUAGCACAAAAUGUUAGUGAGCACAAAAUGUCAUUAACGAUAAUGGAUGGAAUGACCAAACCAACCAACUAAAUUUUGAAAGGAGGGAAUGAUACAUAAUAGUUUAAUUUGAUUUUAUUUUAAUUGGGUGAUUAAUUAAUUUAUUAUCAAGUAAUUGUAUGUACUUAUUUAAUAGAUACCCUUAUCUUUGGACAAGGCUGAGAAAAAGGCCACGAUGGUGUGUUCACAUAUUUUUUAGGCCGACCGUUUCUAGCUUCGGCUUAAAUAAGGCUUUUGUAUUUUUGUGCCCUUUUUUUCUGAGUAUUUUCAUAUUUUGUGCUAAUUUACACCAACGAAAAUGUGUAGACACUUUUUUAGUAUGAUUUUUCCUUUUUUUUUUUUUCACUUUCAUAGUUACUGUUAAAAAAUCUGUUGAAACUCAGAACCUCCCAUGUGGACUCUAGAACGUGACAGUUUUAGAUAUCUGAGUCCAUAAUAUCAUUAGGAGUAACAAAAGGAAUAAAUUCAAUCAUAAUGAAAAAAUGUGCCAUCCUUAAGGCUUACCUAAUAUUACUAGAACCUAAAAGUGAAAGUUUUAAGAAAACAUGUGAUAAGUUUUUCUUGGAAUUUAUUCUUCUUUGUUUUAAUUUACGCGAGAGAUAGUUAAAAAGCGUAAAAUUUUAAAAUCCGUAACAAAACAAAAACUUACAUGGGUUGGGCGCACCAUGUGGUUCGUCUAAUAAUAUUUGAUACGUACAUAUUCAUUUUAAAAUUGGUGAAUCGUAGUAAAAAAUUUAUAUGUAAUAAUUGAAUGAGAUCCAUGGUUCACAAUUGCAAAUUAACGGUUGGUUGUAUAAUAAAAACCUUUAUGUACAUGGGUCCGCCUAACUUACAUUCAAUGUAAGUUACACUCAGCCCGUGUAAUUUCAUAUAGUCCCCCUAUACUCUAUACUAUUUAUAUUUUAUUCAUAAAUAUUAUAAAUUUUUUGAAAUAAAAAUUUUUAUUUAACCCCCUCUACUCAAUUUUAUUUUAUUAAAACCAUAGAGUAUGAAUUCGCCCCCAUAGUUUUAAAUUCUCAAAAUAAUCUCCAUUUAAUUAAAAAUAUAAUUAUUUUUAAAUGAAUUAUAAUUAUAAUUAUAAUUUUAUUAUAAUCAUAAAUAUUUUUUAAUAGAUUAUUGUUAUUAAAAUAAAAUUUCGUUUAGCCCCCUCUACUCAAUUUUAUUUUAUUAAAACCAUAGAGUAUGAAUUCGCCCCCAUAAUUUUAAAUUCUCAAAAUAACCUCCAUUUAAUUAAAAAUAUAAUUAUUUUUAAAUGAAUUAUAAUUAUAAUUAUAAUUUUAUUAUAAUCAUAAAUAUUUUUUUAAUAGAUUAUUGUUAUUAUUAAUAACAAGAAUAAAAAGCAUUAUAAAUUGUUAAUAAUAAUAAUAAUAAUAAUAAUAAUAAUUAAUGAUUAUCUAACUAAUAGUAAAUGUAUUGCUAAUGCUACCUUCGACUUUAAAUACUCAUUAUCGGGUUUCAAGAGAUCAAUGAAUGAUAAUUUCUGUCAGAAUUUUAAGCUUGACCCAAUAAAAAUAAUUUUGUAUUUAAAAAAUAGAAGCAAAAAAAAUGUGUUUACAUCCUCGAAUGUGUAACAACUUAGCAAAAAGCACUUAAAAAUGACCGUUUAAUAAUGAGAUGCCUACAAAAUCAUUGUUUAUCAAGGUAACAAAAAAAUUCUAAAAGUACUUGAAAUUAAAAUGUAUAGAAAUAUAAAAGAGUCUCCUACAUAAAUAUAGACUCAGUGUUUAUUCCAUUUUAUUAUAAUCAUAAAUAUGUUGAUUAUCAUUAAUUAUUAUUAUUAUUACUAACAAUUUAAUAAAAAUAUUAUUAAUUAUUGUUAAUAGAUUAAUUAAUUAUAAUAUUUUUUAUUAUCGUUAUUAAUAAUAACAAUAAUCUAUUAAAAAAUAUUUAUGAUUAUAAUAAAAUUAUAAUUAUAAUUAUAAUUCAUUUAACAAUAAUUAUAUUUUUAAUUAAAUGGAGGUUAUUUUUGAGAAUUUAAAAUUAUGGGGGCGAAUUCAUACUCUAUAGUUUUAAUAAAAUAAAAUUGAGUAUAAGGGGUUAAACGAAAUUUUACAUUUCAAACAAUUUAUAAUAUUUAUGAAUAAAAAAUAAAUAAUAUAAAGCAUAGGGGGCUAUAUAAAAUUACACAGGCUGAGCGUAACUUGCGUUGAACCUAAGUUAGGCAAACCCUUAUGUACAUACCAAAUUAGAAAACGUUAUAAGUAAAUUAAGAUUUUCAAAAUUUGACUCGUCUUACAUUACGUACAUCAAUAUAAUAUAAAUUUGUUAUAUAUAUAUAUAUAUAUAUAUAUAUAACCAAUGCUUUCAAAAACUUUAUACUUGUAUGUUUGAACAACUUUUUUUGUUUUCUAUUUAUAUACGGUAUCAUUUAUGUUUACAUAAAUUUUCAUAUGUACCCAAAUUAAGUAUUAAAUACACAGACACUUUGUUAAGACUCAUGCGUAAUUAAUCUUAAUAAUUUCUUAUACAAAUACAAUCCUUUAUCUAAGACCAGCAACGUCACUCAUCAUAAUUUUUCACCAAAUAUUGUAAAGCUGUUGUAGUAGUAUAGUUUUCAUGGACAUUGAAUUUCUAGUAUCAGACAAUGAUAUUAUAUUGAAUGUAAUGCUUCAAUGAAUUUUAUUACUAUAUACUAAAAUGCUCAACGAUCUUCAUUAAAAAAAAAAAAAAAUUGCAUGAUUAGAAUGAUUAAAGAAUAAUAAUAAUAAUAAUAGACCUUUGUUAAUAGUUACUACAAGUGGUCACUGCCUUGUCCAUCUUCCUUCUCUGUAUCAUCGUCCUCUUCCAAGCCGCUGUCAUCUGACCAAAAACUCGCCUACUUGUUUUAGGAGCAGGAGCAGGAGGAGGAAAUUGAGUUAGGGAUUUGGAGUGAGAGUGAAGGUGGAGAAACGCAAGAGAGGGAAAAAGCUGAUUGUUGAGAAAUAUAUAUACCUUUUGUAUGGUUGUGUUAAGGUCGCCCUUCCAAGCCCAACAUGCUUCACCCCGCCAACGUGCUUUACUCCGCCCCUUCACUUUGUGUAAUUUGGGUGUACUUAAUUUUCCUUCAGAGAAAAUCUUCAUAUCGGGGCAAUCAUCCACCACUAAUCUUUCUAAAGAUGGGAACUUGAAAGCACAAUUGCCAGAGCAGAAGCUUGUCAGGCGUUCUAAGUCUACAAGCUUCAACUCCUUCAAUUCUCUGAAAGUAAUAACCUCAUCUUUUGCUACAACAUCAUCCCCCUGUACUAUUUCUGUUAUCCUAUCGCAUGAUUUUAUCUUCAUAUAUCUAAGUCGCACCAGAGUCUUUGCAAUUAAGGAUGUUAAUACGAUUUUCAAGUUGUUGCAACGCGAUACCACCAUAUUUGUAAGAUUCUGAAAGGAUGUCGACGGUGGCACUAGAUUGACUAAAUGGUCACACCCCUUUACACGUAGAAUAACCCAGUUGUUCGUAACAGAGGACUCCCUUAUCAAAAUGUGCUCCAGAUGAAAUGCUUCUCUUAUUUCUACCCACAUCCCAUUUUCAACCUUCUCAUACGGCAACGAGGCACUAUAUCCUCCUAUUUGGAGGACUUUCAUUGUGUGAAGUCUCUGGAGGAAGUCACCAAGUGAUAAAAUAGUCCGCUCAUCACCCAAGUGAUAUUUAUUUGUCACUACGUGCUUUGCAUCAACUUUCAACUUUUCCAAAUUAGGGAAUACCUGGGAGAUCGAUCACAACCCCAAAAAAAAGAAAAAAAAGAAAUACAAGAUGAAUCAAUUGAUAAGAAAUAUAAGUUGCCACUAAUUUAUACAAUAUAUUUUAUUCAAUAAAUCUUAACCUUUAAAAAAAAUAGUAAUAAUAGUAUGCCUAACAUCUAGAAUAAUUAUGAAUGAAUACUAUACACUAAUCCGUAAGAGAGUUACGUUGCUGACAAUUUGAGUUUUAGUAAGAAACCAAGCGAUGAAGGCAAAGGCAAUAUAACUCUAAACUCUAUGAUAUAAACUCUCACAGUACAUACAUAAGAAUUGAAAAAUUGAUUAUAAAAUUCUUGUACGUACCCUUUCCGUGAAGAUACUAGUAGUUCUCACCAUGAAUUCAGGACAUUUAGAUAUCCGUAAUUCUUUCAAGGAUGGAAAUUCAAGAAUAUCAAGAUCUCCAGUGCAGAAGCUUGUGAACUUUUCAAGAUCAGACAUCUUCAGAUAUUGCAACUGAGGAAACAUUACAACAUUUUUCUUCCUUUCUUCUUGGUUGUCCAUAACUAUUAACUCUUCCAAGACAGGACAUCCGACUAUCUCAAUGCAUUGGAGUUGAACAAAGCUACUAACGGUAGAAGAUGAAAAUAGACAUCUUAAAUUCAUACAGCAGGACAGGGUCAAGCGCGUUAAAUUCUGAAUACCACAAGACAUGACUGCAACUUGGUUUUGCCAAAUCCUUUCAACAUUUAUUGAAAGCAAAUGCAACUUCUCUAACUCUGGUAACCGAACCUGCUCGAUCAAAAAAUUAACUCGUUAAUUACAAGCAACAAUGAUUUCUGUUGAUGGACAAAUCAAUAAAAUUACUCUUUCUCUGGUUAUAGUUCUUUUCAGUUUUUCAUACAAACAACCGUUAAUCAAGUUUUCCAAAUUAUUCCUUACUAAAUGUAUAGAUUUAGACGGCGGCUAAUAUAAUUCAUAUUGCAAAUAUUCUUUGAUUGUAACGAAUUUUGUAAUAUUAAAUUUUGGUUGAUUCGCAAUAGCACCUACUAUCCAGCGCGAGCAGUUCCUUGGGAUUUAACUACUGGCACCUCGAUUAUAUAAAAAUUUGGAAUAUUUUCAAAGGAAAUCACAUAAUUUCCCCUUGCAAAUAGUAAUUAUCAUUAAUUGCCGCGGGUUGACAUAUAAUUCUAAGAAAUUAGGCGAGAAGAGUCUCAUCAACAAUCAAUCAGCAGAUAUCACGUUUGGCAGAUCAUCAUGAUUUCCUCAGAUGCUAGAGAAUCAACGUGAUUUCCGCUCAUGCAGGAGCAGGAGUGGACACAUUAUCUUAGAGCAUCCCUCACUGAGAUCUUUUAAAAAAUUUAUAUUAUAAAGUGAACAACAUAUUAAGUAUAGAUUUAGACGGCGGCUAAUAUAAUUUAUAUGUAUUCUAAUGAAGUAUAUUAAAGAAAAUGACUAACCAUAAUUUCAAUCUACUUAUUAGUCUAUAUAUAUAUAUAUAUAUAUAAUAUUCAGUGAUUACAACAUAUUUAGUAUUCCAUAACAUGAUGUUUAUAAUAAUAAUUAUUGUGUCGAGUACCUUUUCUUUCUCUAAGAAUGUAUUUGUUACACCCUACUAUACUUCGGAUGAAAAUUUAGAAUAAUUAUGAAAUAUGAUUAUUAAUCACUCUUUGCCAUAUUUGCUACCAAACAAGAAUGCAACAAAGAAAAAAAAAACAAAAAUUAUAGAGAAUUAAUAAGACCAUUGACUUAUCAAUAACUGACCUUCUCAGCGAAAAGUGUAUUAGAAAUUUGGACAUUGUCCUCCAAAAUGAUUUCAUGUGACUGCAAAUCAUUAGCUGAUUCCUCCUGUCUCUGCUAACAUUGCAGGUGCAUUGAUUUUAGAGUGUAAGCUUAAUUGUGAGCACAACCUUAAUGCAUAGAUACAAGAUCUUUAAAAAUUAGUACAAUAAACUUAGCACUAAAUUAAAUUUGAUAUUUUUGAAUUCCAUGAUUAAGAUUUUUUUUUUAAAUGAAAAUUUAAUAGAGUUAAUUUAAAAAUAAAAAUUAAAUAUGAAAAAUUAGACUUGCAAUUAUGGAUUUAAUUUUGAUAAAUAAUGAAUGUUCUCUUAAUAUUUUUUUUAAAAGAUAAAAGAGCGUACAAAGCCCAAAUUCAUUUUUUUAGUCCCUUACUCUCCCAUGAUUCAAACUUGGGUGGUUGUAGGAGGACUGAAAAUAUAUAAGACAGUUAACUUUACUUUUUUUUUUUUCUUUUUUCUUUUUUGUUGAGAGAAAAGAGAAGAAGGAUAUUACAAAGCAUGAAGCUCGUGCAACACAAGGGCAAUUAUGGUUUUUUCCUUAAAUUAAAAUGGUAAGAUUCUGAAGCUAAAAGAUUAAAAUAUUAAUUAAAUUGCAAACAUUAAAGAUUUUUUUUUUCAAAUUGGUUGCUUUGACAAUGAGAAUAAUAUAAUAUUUGAAGACUUUUCAAAAUUAAUUACUGUGAUGCACUAGAAAUUUCUAGCUUUAGUCUAAUGUAUAAAUUGACAAAACGAUAUUAGAAUCCCAGGUGAAAAGAACCCUCUCAUACCAUUUUCUUAAAUUAGGAAUGAUCAUACCUCUGACUCUGCCGAACUGAGGGCGGGGUCUAAACCCAUCAUAAAGAGACGCUUGAGAUGGGAAGAGCCCACUUUGGCUAAUUCAUUACGAAAAUAAUCGACAUCUUGCUCUUGCAAUCCACUUAACUCAAGGUUUUCAAUUCUCUGCAGUUGCACGAUCAGCGAAUCCUUCAAGCGAAUCUUUUCAUAUAGCUCGAGACUGAAUUCACGACACCAAAUGCCGGUGCUCUCCCGACGGUCAUAAUCUGCAAUGCAUAUUUGGUACCUUUCCAGCUUCUCCAAGACCAGGCCUCUGGGCAGACUGCUGACGUCACGGACGUGUAAUUCCAAAGAGGUCAAGUUGGGCAAAUGCUUCAAUUCCUCAAGGCUUGCAUUCUUAACCCCUUCCACCUCCACCUCCCAAUCGGCAAAGUCAAAGAGUUCACUAGCUAUAUAUAGUUCUUCUAAAUGUGAUAAUUUUGACAGUAUAUUUGGUGGAAUAACUUGUAGUGCUGAACAAUCUCUCAAAUCAAGCAACUUUAGACAAGUCAAUUCACCUACUUCUACCGGCAACUUCUUAAUAUAAGAACCUCUUAAGCAAAGGAUUUCUAGUUUCUUCAAGCCUCCUACAACACUUAUAUCAGGCAAGCAGCAGCGACACAAACUCAGUGUUCGAAGGUUUGACAGGAGACCAAGUGAUGGAGGCAGUGACCGUAUGUAAGUCAAGUUUACAACUCUGACCUCGAUCAUCCUCUCGAAAAAGUUGUUUGGAAUUGUUAAUGGUAAAAAUACACCUCUAGCAGCACGUAGAAAAAGAAGUUCGAGUUGAGGACAUUCCAGUACUUCAGGAAGCAAAUUAGUCUUGAUAUCAUGUAAGACGAUUGAAGUGCAAUGCUUUAUUGCACUUCCGUCUGACCAUUCCCUGCAACCAUCAACCUGCUCAUUUGUAGCAGUAAACACAUUUCGUUCAGUAGAUGCAAUUGAUAUGGCGACAUCGCGAACUACAUCAUGCAUAGAAAACAACUCUUUCUUCUGGCUUAUAUGGUCAAGCAACAUACAAGAAGCUUUGAGUGUGCGCACCAAUGAAUGUACUCGAUUUCGUGCUGCUUCAAUCUUAUUCACACCUUGAAAUAAACCCAAUCCCAUACCACACAUUAACAAGUCAUCAAUAGAUGCUAUGGCUGUAUAUCCUAUUAGCAAAAAGAUGUUCUUGAGAUCAUCCCUUCCUAGUUUAUUGUAGCUCAACUCGAUAGCUUUAAAUGCGGCUGGCUGUACAUCCUUAAAAUUCAAUGAAGAAGGCCUUCUUAGCUGUUCCAAUGCAUCCUUCCAUUCACGUAUGCUCUUGCUCCUUAAUGCCCUUGCAACCGUCACAAUGGAAACUGGCAGACCUGCACAUUCCUUUGCCACAUCCCUUGCUACCUCUUUCAAUUCAUUAUCUUCAACAUAAUCACCUGCCAUCUUCGUGAAUAGACUCCAAGCUUCAUCUUCUUUUAAAAAUCCAACUGGGAAAUUUUUUCGAGACUCCAUCUCUCCAGACAAUACUUCUUCACUCCUUGCCGUGAACAGAACUUUACAUCCCAUGUGAUCAUCUCCGUGAGGAAUUCCGACAUCCAACAAAUCAAGAUUUUCCCAAAUAUUAUCCAAGAUUACAAGGAUCCUCUUCUCUUUCUUCAGUCGAUCAUAGAGUCUUCUUGCCCUACCCGAUUCACUCUCCUCAUCAAAUUUUAGACCUAGUUUAUCCGCCAUUUCUCCUUGAAUCUUUCUUACGUCUCGACUCUCAGACACCUCAGAAAAAACCACCUGAUCGAAAAGCUUGUCACACUCUGCUUUUCUAGCAACUUCUUUAGCUAGCGUCGUCUUUCCGAUUCCGCCCAUUCCAUAAAUCAAAAGCAUGUUGACAUUGGGAUUUUUUAAUGCAUCAAUUAUUUCAUUCAGAAUGGACGUUCUUGAUUCAAAGGCCUCGAAGUCUUUGUUAGGCAUAAGCAAGGUAUCCUCCGGAAUGAUGCUGUAGGAAAUACUAUUAACUGGUCUAGCGUCCAGGACUUUGACAACAGCCUCCUUCUGCCUCUCUGCUUCCUUGCUAAGUCGAGGGCGGGUCUUCAAAUUAGGACAUAACCCCUUGAAACAACGCUUAUUUGCAGUGGCUUCAUCUUCUGUAAAUUUAUCUGCCUCUUCAAUGACACUGUUGGCCGCUGCAAGCCAAUUCUCAACGUUCUCUUCAAUCUCUUCUCCUUUUCUUUUAGCCUCAUCAACCUGGUGCUCUGUAUUCACCCUCUCAGACUUUAGUUUCACAACUUCAGUGUUGAGAUUCUGUAAGUUGCUCGUGUACUUACUCUCACGCAAAUAUCUAAUUUGGCGAUAUGCGGGAGGAGCCAAGCACUUUGCAACUUCUAAAACAAUAGUAAGAAUGAUUUCAGCCAUCUUCAGUCCUUUGUCCUUGUCUCUCUAUCUCUCUUUUUCUGAAUUUUGGAAAAACAAUUCAACAAGUGACCACAACAAGAUGGAACAAAAUAAAAAGGAAAAAAAUACAAAGAGUGGAUGGAGAAUAAAACAGAGACAGCGGCACAGCUAGACACAACUGGAUAGAGAACAGAGGAAAACCAAAUAACAAGACUUAAGAUUACAACAAACAGAGGCCAAGUAUUGUUGAGAUCAGAAGAUGGAAAAUUCAAAAGAGUUGAUGGCAGAUGCUGAAUAACAGAACAACAAUGAACACAAUAAACAGAAGCAAAGUGUGUUUGUGAUCGACAGACGGAAGUAAGGAAAGCGGUUGUUGAUUGAAAAUGAAUGAAUGCCAAGAAAGACUGAUGUUAAAAAUUGAUGUCAAUAGCGAAGGAAUAAUUGAACUUUCGCUGAAUUAUUGUUUGUGGCUUCUUUUACUGUUUAUUUGUGGGUCAUGUCUUUUGGAACUAAUCUUGUCCCAAAAAUGUUGUUUAUUUGUGGGUCAUGUUAUUCAGCAUCUGCCAUCAACUCUUUUGUUUAUUUAUUCAAAAAAUAAAUUGUGAUUAUUUGUUAAUGUAUGCGAUUACUUGUGAUGGUAAACAAAGUAGAUAUGGUAUAUUUUGAAGUUAAAUUAAAAAAAAAAAAAACAGAGCUUUUACCAUUACUUGCCUUAUCAUCUUUUAAAUUAGAGUUAUUAUUCUUUUAUUUUUCAAGUUGCCAACUCAUCCGCAUUCUCUUUUAUUGAAUUUAAAAAUCAAUGAUUAUAAAUUUGUGCGAAAAUUUUAAGUCAAAACUUUAAAUUAAAAUAAUCUUUAAGUUAUAGGGAAAUAAUAACUUAGUAUAACAAAUAUUAUAUCCUAUACUUUAUUGCUACAAAAUUACGAAACCUUAUAGUUUCAAAAACAAAAAUUACGAAACCUUAUAUUAUAUUAUGUUUCCAUAUUUCUCCUUUAUAGUGAAAACUCAUACUUCUUCUCUAAUAAAUGCUAAAGUAUUGGCUUAAAUUUUUUAACCAGCAUAGUAGACCCUUAAGCUAUAUAUACUAUAAUGUCCCUCUUCUCUCACAGAUUAAACCAAUCUGAUCUCAGAGUGAGUUGAUAUCAUGACUUUGCAUCAUUCGUGAUCAAAGGAGUAUCAUUACUAACUAAUAUAGGCUCCACAAUUGGCAUGAUAAUAAUUUUUUAUUAUCUACAAACACUGUUUUUCAAAAUAUUAUAUCUUAAGACUUAACUAAAUAUUUUUUAACUAUGUAGAUAUAGUUUGUUUGAUCUCUUUUAAAUAGUGGAGAUUACAAACAAACAUAUGCGAAUUAGUAGUGAUGUUGAGUUCAGAAGCUUGAAGUUAAAAAAAUUAAGGGUUUCUUGAUCUAGAGAAAUUUCAAAUGAGUGAAGCGUCCUUGAAAUCGGAAGACGAAAAUAAGGAAAGGGUAAGGGUGUAUUUUCAAAGUGAUUCUAUUAGGAGAUCUUUAAAGUAGGGGUGGGCAAGUCGGGUUUUGGUUCGGGUUGUUCAAGUUUCGGUUUGGGUUUCAACCCAAUCGGGUUUGAGAAUUAAACUCAAUCGGGUUGAAAACGCCAACCCAAACUAAACCGAACCAAAUUUAAUUCAGUUUGGGUUCAUAAUUCGGAUCGGAAUGGGUUGAUAACUCAUGUUAAAAUUUCGGUUUGGGUUAAUUUGGGUUAGAAUAAUUCAAUCUAAAAUUUUGGGUUAGUUUGGUUUAAAAUGGGUUGGAACAAUUUAAUCCAAAAAUUCUACCAACAACCACUUAAAAUCCAAAAAUCUCAAUUCCAAAAAUCCUUAACAACAAAUAUCAACUACAAACCAUCCUUGACAACAUUUCAACAAUAACAAUAACAAUAAUAACAACAACAACAAUGAUAAUAAUAACAACAACUAUGAAUCAGCAAUUCAGCAUAUUGCCAUAUUCUAAAUUUAAAAAAACACACAAAUUAUUUAAUUAAUUAAUUAAUUAACAAUCUCCAAUUUAAUUUAUAAUAACAGCAAAAAUCCUCUCCAAUUUAAUUAAUAACAGUCUCCAAUUGUUCAAUUAUCAGUCAACAGCAACAAAUCCACUCCAAUUUAAUUAUAACAAUCUCCAAUUGUCCAAUUAUCAGUCAACAGCAACAAACCCUCUCCAAUUUGUCACGAACAACCUCUAAUUGUUCAAUUAUCAGUCAACAACAACAAACCCACUCCAAAUAAUUGAACAAUUAUUAAUUAAUUAAUUAAAAAUAUCCAAUUUAAUUAAUAACAACACCCAGGAGCAAGUCAGCAAUAAACCCACUACAAAAUCCAAAUAUCAGUAUAAACGAAGUGUCAAACCUUGAUCGGUGGGAAGCUACAGCGUCGGCAAAGCGUGACCGCGUGGGGCUGAGUGAGACUGUCGACCGAGGGUGUGAGAAGGGAGAAGAGGGAGCAAGGAGGUAACGUGGUGUGUGUGAGUUUAUAUAUACCAUGAGUUCGCAUCAUUUGAUAUCAAAGGAGCAUCAUUACUAACUAAUAUAGGCUCGAUCGAAUUCAUCAUGCGAAGUAUAUUAUCGGCUGUAGGUAUGGAAAUAAAUUUUGUAUCCACAAACACUAUUUUUCAAAAUAUUUUAAGACUUGACUUAGCAUUUUUUAACCAUAUAUGUAUAGGUUGUUUGACCUAUUUUAAAUAGUGGAGAUUACAACAAAUGAACAGAUGUGGAUUAGUAGAGUUGCUGAGUUCAGAAGAUUGAAGUUAACAAAAGGUUUCUUGAUCUAAAGAAAAUUCGAAAGAGCGAAGUGUCUUCGAGAUCAAAAGACGAAAUAAGAAAAGGGUAAGGUUAUACUUUCAAAAUGAAUCUGUUGAUAGAUCUUUGAAGAUUACUUUCGUUAAGAGCUGGAUCCCACACUUGAGUCUUCGUCGUCUCAGUCAGUCAGCUAUAAAGACAAAUUAAUUUUGAGCGUGAAAGGACACAAUUGAUCACCAAAUUUUCAAACUCGUGAUCCUUAUUGAAUCUGCAUUCUCAUUUGAAAAACAAUAAAAGAUUAACAUUAAUUUAACUUCAUCUAGAUUCCCAUUUGAAUCUGCAUUCCCAUCCCGUUGUUCUCUGGGAAUGCACAUAAUCAAACAAAAUCCUAUCCGCAUUUUCAAACUUGUGACCCUUCAAGCUUUCUAUGACAACUAUAACGAAUAAUUACAACAGUGCUACCUAAUAGUGAGCAACUUGUUUGAUGAAAUUAACAACUUCUUUUCUCUCAUAUAUUUUUAAAAAAUUGAAUUAUCAAAGUUUUUAUUUCAAAAUUAGUGCUAUAGUUCAUUAAUUUUUCAAUUUUUCCUUUUUCUUUCCACACAACAGAUUGAUUUGCCCUCCAAAAAAUGUAUUAUAUUGUUUAAUAUUGUAACUUCAAGAAACUUAUAAUAAAUUUUUAAAGAGAUAAAUAGAGAAUGUCAGUCUCCCAUCUACUCAAAAUUAAUAUAUAUCAUUAACUCUUGAUUAUUUUUAUAACAACUAAUAACUUUCUUGGCAGCAUAAUUUUAUAGUAUCAUCCUUGUUUGUAAGUAUAUUUUUAUUCAUAUUUAUUAUAAAUUAAUUAAAUCAUAUCAAUGAAAAUUGAAAUAAAAAUUGAAGCACUAAAAAUUAAAAAAAUUAUGUUUUGGUGUGAAUAAAAAAUUGAAAAUAAAAAUAUUUUUCUUAUAUUUGUUGUUAUUUUUAAAUUUUUUCUUAUAAUAAAUACAUAUUUUAUAUGCUCAACUUUUUCUUUAAAUUUUUGUUAUUAGGAGGAAUUUUAGAUAUAAUGAAAAUUGUAAGGUAGUAAGUAAUAUAUAAUAAUUUUAAUAGAAAAAAGUAAAAAUUCUCUUAUUUUAAAAUAUAAGGAGAAAAAAUAAUUAAUUUCAAGACAUUUUAGAAGGUAUUUCAAUAUGCGGUGGACCACAAACUCGAGUCUUUGUCAUCUCAGUCAACUAAAAAGACAGAAUAUUGAGGGCAUGGCUAAGGUGCAGAAGCUGCAAGCAACAGCUUCGAACUUUCCCAUUUCCAUCACCUUGCAUUGGGACCUCCUCUAGCACCCGUGGAAGUUCCCCAUUGGCUACUGUUACUUACAAAAGCUCUAACAUAGACUUCUCCGAAUAUUGAGCGCGAAGGGCUCAAGUGAUUGUUAAUUUCACAGCAAUCGCCUUUUUUCUUUCUUUCUUUUUUUUUUUAAUUAUUGGGAAAUAAUAACUUAGUAUAACAAAUAUUAUAUCCUAUACUUUAUUGCUACAAAAUUACGAAACCUUAUAUUAUAUUAUGUUUCCAUAUUUCUCCUUUAUAGUGAAGACUCAUACUUCUUCUCUACUAAAUGCUAAAGAAUUGGCUUAAACUUUUUAACCAGCACAGUAGACCCUUAAGCUAUAUAUACUAUAAUGUCCCUCUUCCCUCACAGAUUAAACCAAUCUAUCUCAGAGUAAGUUUGCAUCAAAGGAGUAUCCUUACUAACUAAUAUAGGCUUGAUCAAUAGGGAUGACAAUAAUUUUUUUAUCUACGAACAUUAUUUUUUCAAAAUAUUAUAUCUUUAGACUUAACUAAAUAUUUUUUAACUAUAUAUGUAUAGUUUGAUUAAAUGGUGGAGAUUACAACAAAACAGAUGUGAAUUAGUAGUGAUGUUAAGUUCUAGAUCAAGACGAAAAUAAGGAAAAGGUAAGGGUGUAUUUUCAAAAUGAUUCUAUUGAAAGAUCUUUGAAAAUUACUUUCGUUAAGAGGUGGAUUCCACACUCUUGAGCCUUUGUCGUCCCAGUCAACUAUAAAGACACAUUAUUAUUGAGUGUGAACAUUCGAACUUAUAGAUCAUCAAAUUUUCAAACUUGUGAUCUUCGUUAAAUCUGCAAACCCUUUUUUUUUUAAAAAAGAAAAAGAAAACUGCAAAUAAUGAAACAAAAUUCUCUUCCUUGAUAGACUUACGCGGCUUGAACUUGCAAGUGCUGUCGGCAUUUUCAAACUUGUAAGACCCUUCAACUUGCUUUCCAAGAUAGCUAUAAUUAAUAAUGACAACCGAAGACGGCUACGUUUGCGGUACAAAAGUUGCACCAUAUCAGACGUUCUUUUUUGUUCUUAUCCGAAGGAACCGUUGGAUUCAAAGGAAAGUGAUCGGACAUUCAAUAGCUUCACACGUGGACAUUAUAGGAUACCGGUCAAAUCGGUUAGUGCUCCUCCACAUCAAACUCACAAGCAUGGCUAUCAUCGUAUCAGCUUGGAAACUUGUUACAAGUAACGAAGAGCAACAGAGUCCGCUCCUUUAGAGUCGGCAACAGAGUUUUAAUUAACGGCAUCUUCUCUCACAUUUUUUUUUUUAAAAAAUUGAAUUAUAUAACCCACCAAAACUAUAAAGAAUUGUUAGUUUUUCUUCAUUAAAAUUAAUAUAUUGCUCCUCAUAUUAAAAAAUCAAAAUUCAGAAUAAGAAUAAUUGAUACUGUUUAUUUACUAAAAUGAAAAUGAGAAUAAAAAUAAAAUAUAUGGAGCCUAUAUAUUUUUUAAAUUAAAAAAUAAGAACUUUUCAUGAGGAGUGUUGGGAAUCAAGUUCUUAUUAUUUAAACUCUCAAUUGUACCUUACCAAAAUUUCAUAAUUUCACUUUUGUUCUCAAUUAAAAUAUUAUUACAGUUAUUAUUCUUAUUUUUGUAGUUGUUGUUGUUGAUGAUGAUGAUUAUGAUGAUACAUGAUAAUAAAAUUAAUGAUAAUAAUAAUGAUAAUGAUAAUAAUAAUGAUAAUGAUAAUAAUAAUAAUGAUAUGAUAAUGAUGAUAAUAAUUUGAACAACAACAACAAUAAAUAAUAAUAAUAAUAAUGAAAAUAAUAACUAUAAUUUUAACAACAAUAAUAAUCAUUAAUAUUAUUAUUGUUAAAAUUAUUAUUAUUAUUAUUAUUAGAUAAUUAUUUUGAAUAAUAAUAAUCACAAGUCUAUUCUGAUUCCAGUUUAUUCCGAUUAUCGAUUAGAAAAUGUGUCAUUACUGUUUUAAUAAUAACUAAUAAUUCUCUUGACAUCAUAAUCGUAAUUCUUAUAGUAUUAUCCUUAUUUUAAAAUACACUACCAUGAGCUUGCAUCAUUUGAAAUGGUAGGUACUAGGUAGCAAUUGCUUACAUCAAAAUAUCUAGACUCACUCGGCAAAGUAUCCGAGGCCAAAACGCCAAAAGAUGGGACACCCACAUGUGCAUCUAAUUACAAAAUCCAAAGUUAAUGAAAAAGAAAAAAGAAAAAGUAUAAAUGAACGGUAUUGGCUGUAGGACAAGGGGAGGGGAAAAAGGACCAUUUUGUUUUCUUUGCUAAUUCACAAGGGGAAGGGAAAAAAAAGAAAAAGACAGUUUUGAUUAAAAAACACAGAAUAUUCAAUUCACAAGCCACCAAUGCUUGUGGACCAAUGGUCGAUAUAUGAAAGUUAGAGAUUCUGGCAAAAUGAGCAAAUAUUUUGAGUUUAUUAAUGGAUUUGUUUGUAAUGCAAUACAAGAUAGCAUUUUAAAGCUGGCAAGAAAGAAAGAAAUAAGUCAAUAAUUGAGAUAUUUAAAGAAGCUCAAGUGGUCAUGAAAUCUCUCCUUAAAAACUAUACAAGAUAAUGUUAAUGAUAAAGUUAGCCAACCAAGUCGUUCAAUCAUUGCUGGAAGCAAGCAGCCAUUGAAGUUGAUAGAAGCUAAUGCAUGAAAAAAGGUUCGUUACAUGAAGGAGAUAAUGAGAAAAUUGAUGAACCCCUAUCAUCCAUGUUUUGUUUCAAUCAAAAGGUUUGAAUUUUAAGGCCGAUAUUUUGGACUGAAUCCCCCUGUCUGCUUCCAAAGGGGAGGAUGUGCAUGUAGUUGAUUGGGCCGAUGAUUGUGAUGGGUGGGAACUUUUAGCUUGGAAAUGGACCUAGCAAGCCCAUGUUUGAUUCGGUAAGUUGUGACUUCUCAUGGGCAUUUGAAAUUUUUAAAUGGCCUUUUAUAACCUUUGUCAAGAUUCUCAGAAAUCGAAUCAUUCGGUGAUUACUUGCAAAUUCGGAAAGGAAAUUGGAAUCAAACUGGGGUUCUAAUUAAAAAAAAAAAAAAGGGUUCAGAAUCAGAAUUUUGUUCUUUUGACUGACUAAACUACCCUCAUUUAAUUUUCAAAAUGCCCAAAUUUUUAUCAUGCUCACUUGGCGUUAUCUCGUCUUGUGGGAGCUGUAGGACAGUUGAGAUAAAAGAUAUUGCUGCAGUAUCUACUGUUUUCUCAUCCUGAUCUUCAGAGUUAUUCUCAACAAUGGACAAAUUUGAGUUUAGAACAGCAUCAGAAACCAAUGACACCCAGUCGCAUCCAGCUACUUCUUCACUUUGCUCAAUUCGACAGAUUUUACGCAAAUUUGUUUUGUUCUCAAAAUAGUCUGCUGCUCCCGGAUUGUCCUCAUUACAUUGAACGAAUGAUGACGACGCUCUGUCCGUUUCUGGCUCUCUGCUUUUCUCUUUCACAUCACGAGACACCUCGUUUCUAACUGGGGUACCACCAUCACAUUUAACUGUUAUUGGUAACUCAAUAGCUAAUUCCAAUGUUUCCUCAAGCAGUUUAGAGAUAAACUCUCUCGCUGAACUCCCUGGAGUAACACAAUCCAGUUUUCCAGUGCAAUCAUCAAACAGUUGAACAGCUCCUGAAUUCCCUUUGCUUUUCUUGUUUUCUUUUCCAUGUAAAGGGAGCUCAGGCUUCAAUAUAUCUGGGGAUUGAUUACUAAUGAUAAAGACAACAUACGGUAGAGGACACAAAUUGUUAUUAAACAACGAUGCACUUUUCAUUUUUCAACUGAGUACAGUAAAGCAAGAAUGGGUAAUUAGUUUUACCUGCUAAGCGAAAAUCUAGACUCCCGAAGGUAACCGAUCUUGGGUGAAGCAAAUAAAGAAGAAGGCGAAGUAAAAUUCACUGAGUUGAAUGAGCGAUCAUUGCGUAUGGACUUGAUUUGUUCAAUGGGUGAAAGACUGCUGAUAUAAUUAAAGACUGGUGAAUCCUGCAUGUUGACAAGCAUCAUUUUUAAUCUAACAUAGAGUCUUAAAAACCUGGUCAGUCGCAAAUGAUCACGACAAGAAAUCUGAAGUACAAACAGCAGAGCUCAACAAAUCACUAAGAGAAAAUAAGACCAGUAACCAAGCACAUGAAAGAAAAGCAAAAUAACCCAUCUCAAAUCACCACAUGCAUCAGAGAUUGAAUUUUCAUACACGUGUCAAUUUUUCAAGUCCAACAAAUUGUUAUCUUUCUGAAGAUAUUAACUAUGCAUAGCAUGCUAUAAACAAAUCAUAUUAUUAUGGCCUUUGUUUGCAGUACACGACAUAUGUACAGAGGAACAAAUCCAUGAACUGAAUUCAUUAUAUUCCAAAAUAUUCUACCAAAUCAACACUACAAAAACCUGACGCUAGACAGAAUUGGAGCAAUUUGCGAAAGCCAUUAGUCACACAAAGCACUAGUACCUCAGAACCCAAUUUGAAAAAAAGCAACAAAAUUGAAAAAUAACAAAUGCCCAGAUUAAAAAUCAGGAAAAAAUGCUCAAAUCCAAACGACAACCCCAUAAGCUCAGUCGUUCUCUUCAAACUAAAUUAACACACUGAAUAAAAAAAAAUUAAAAAAUUAAAAUGGGAAUAUUAACCUCAAACUUGGAAACAGAAGCGACAGUGAUCUGUUUCUUGUCUGGAGUGUCCAUUUCUGUAAUCUACUUUGUCCAUUUUCAGUCGCUCCGCCACAAAGCCUCUUCUCUCUGAAACUGAAACUCACACACACUUGCAAAGUGAAAGCAUUUGAUUGAUUGAGAGGCGGGAAGGCGGGAAAAUGUCAGAAAUUUGAUUUUGUUUUUUCUUGGUUUGGUCAAACACGUGCGGGUCCCAGCUUGACAAGCGGUUCUAUUACUACUUGUAUUAUCUACAUGACGCGUGUCACGCGAUGGCGAUAGAAAAGUGGUACAAAAUUCUAAUGAUUACCCAAUGGCGAUAAAAAUAAAAAUAUAUUGUUAAUUUUUUACUUAACAUUGGAAUAUCAUAUAAUUUUAUGGUUAUUUACUCGCCGUUACGCCAGAUUCUUCUGAUCAAAUAAUACAGUAAAAUUUUUCUAUAAUCAUAAUGUUAGAACCAAAUUAAUUUCACUUCUAUAAAAAAGUUAUAGCUUAAUAAAAGUAUAAUUGUAAAAAUUAUUAUUUGGACUUACUUAUCCUUAGUACAAGUGAUGUAAAGUAAAAUAUACGAUAAUUAAUUAAUGAAUUAUGUAAAAUACAAUGUACGGACAAUGAUAAAAGAUAUAGACAUAAUUUUAAAAAAUUAAUGCAUAUAUUUAUGCAGUGUUGGGAUUAUACAAAGUUAUUUUAAAAGUGUAAAGAGUAAAGUAUUGUUCCAAUUAAUUAAAAAAAAUUAUUUCAUCUUAACCUUUAAUGCAAUAAAGCAUUUUUAUAAACAAUUAUUACUGGAUUCAAAUUCUCUCCUAUGCAUUUUCUCUCAUAGUCCUCCUAAACUUUUAAGGAUCUAUUGACAUGUGUCAUUAAUGAAAUUAAAUAACUAAAAUUUUGUUUUAAUUAAUUUUUACCUAAAUAAGCAUCAAAACUCACGUGUGACUCUUGUCAAAUUCUUUUCCUCUCAACUCUUUAUAUUUUGACACCAAUUUCCAGCAAAUUAUUGAAAAAAAGGGCAAAAAAUGGAAAAAAGUGAUUGGCAACAAGGUAUGCAUCUUAAUUUCAAAAUUUUCCUUUUCUUUACUGUUUCUCGAGGUUCUAUAAUUAUUGUUUUCGCGGUCAGUUGCAAUUCAAUGGACUAAAUUAGUAGUGAAUUGCUAUUACUAGGCAUAUAAUUCUAUUGCUACAAUUUUACUGUUGUUUAGCUAUUUUUUUGAGUUUAUAGUUGCUGUUUUGUUGUCUUUUUUAGGUUUUCAACUGUUGUUUGCUGUUUUUCUAGGUUCUGUAGUUGCUAUUUCGGGAAAAAUAAAAAUAAAUGUGAUCCUGAAUUAUUUAACUCCUAUGAAACAUCUUUAGCUAUUGCAUUUUUUUUUAAUUGUAUUAUUAUUGGCGGGAUGUAUGUUGAAUAGGGAUGGCAAAGUCCAGAUUCGGAUCUAAAUUGAUAUUUCUAUAUUUGGAUCUGCAUCUGAAUCCACACAUUUUUUUUGUGAAUCUAGAUGUGGGUAAUAUCUGCAGGGAUUGCAAGCAGAUAUCCUAGAUACCUGGAUCUGUAUAAAUUAAAAUUUAAUUAUUUAAAAUAUAAUUUAAAAUUCAAUAACUUACCUAAUAAUAUCAAGUAAAAUCCAAUCAUAAUUUAAUAAUCAACAAUUAAAUACCUAAAACAACAUACAACAUCAUUAAGUCAUAAAUAAAAAUAUCACAAUAUAAAUCAAAAUAAAAAUAACAUAAAUCUAAAUUUAGCACGACCACAAAUCCACAAAUAGAAUCAUAAAAACACCACAAAUCCAUAUAAAAUAAUGCGAAUUCUUAUAUAUUUCUUAAUUUAAUUUUACUUCUAUAUUUUUUAAUUAAUCCUAUUAUCUUUUUUCAUUUAACUUAUAUAUAUAUAUAUUUAUUUAAUUUUAAUUGAACAAUUAAUUUAAUUAAAAAAUAAGAUGGAUAUUUAUCAUAUAUAUUCUUACUAACUCAAUUUGAGAUGUUAUACACUAUUUUUAUUACUUCCCAUUUCAUAUGAAUAUUUAUCAUAUAUAUGCUUAGUAACUUGUAACCCUUUUUGGUAAGGGUGAAAUGUGUUUGUUACCCCUUAUAUUUCUGAGAUUGUCCUUACAGUAAUGAUACUGGCCCCAAUUUCUAAGGGUGCAUUUGAGAUUAAGAUUGGACAGUUGUAACUUAAAAGUCAUAAUACUAAAGUGUCCGGUAAUCACUAACUGCUGUAACUUGGAAGGUAUGUUGAUAUGAUUUGUUACUUGUCUAAUAGAAAAUCUAUUAUAUCUUUAAUAAUUUUGUCAAAAUUAUUAUUUAAAAAUUAUAUUUACUAUAUAUUAUUAAUUUUUAUUUUAUAAUUAUAAGUUUUUCUACAACAAUUGUAGUUUUUAAGGUACAUCACCUCAAUUUCAAACAAGACCUAAAACUGCUAUCUCUAUGUAAAUUCCUUAAAAAAUCUUUUUUAAUUAAAAUUAUUUAAAUAAUUGAAGAUAAAUAAAUUUAUUUUUUAUUUGAAUGAAAAUUCAAUUAAGCAUUUAAAUAAGCUAUUCUCUCUUAACAAUUUUUUUUACGCCCAUCUUGUUUCAUAAUUUAUAUUUGUAUUUUAAAUUUUAAUCGAAAAUAUGUUUUGAGAAACUUUUAAGAAUUAAGAAUUAUGGAAACUAAAAUUAUGUAAUAAGAAGAAAAUAAUUUGAAUUCUUAAGAUUUGUAUGUAUUUAUAAAUAAAAACUUGAAAGAAAUACUCUUUUCAAGAUAAGAUUUAGUGAGAAAAUUAUUAAAUUUUAAUUUACGAAUUAGUAUUUUAUAAAUUAAACUGGGGGUAUCUUAAGGAAUAGAAUUCUAUAGAAUUCAAAAAGAGUGUUUAUAAGGAUUUUUUAGGGGCGUUAAAAGCUCCACUCAUUUACGUAAGGAAUGGGAAUUAGGGUAUUGGGUUUCAUUUUGUUUUACAUGAAUUUGGGAAAAAUACACGGAUAGACAAAGGGAACAGCCAUUGUAAAGCUGUGAAGCUUGUGGAAGAUAGCAUUGCCUAUUUGUAGCUUAAACUCCUGGGGCUUUGCUCAUGCUUUUCUCUUUCCCACUUUCUCAUGGAACAGAUGUAUACAUCAUGAAAUGGAAACAACAGCACAAAUUGCUGUCUCGUAAGAGAAACAGUCAUACAUAGUAGGUUAGGCCUCAUGUCCAUUAACUUAAUAAUGAAUUUUAUGAAAAUUGGCUAUCUCAUUGAAAUUACAUAGGUAUUGGAAACUUUUACUCCAGCUGCAUCAUCUCAUCAAUAAAAGCUGGAUUUUCCAUUUGUUCUUGAGAUUCAAAUUAAGGCAGCAAAUUGCUCAUCCCACACUAUCUAUGUAAUCCUGAAAAAGUGAAGGGCGUUUAGAUGUGGAAAAACCUUACUCCUGCCGCCGCGCCUCAAACAGAUUAUGAUCACACAAGACUUAGUUCAUCAUUAGUAGUAGUUGGAGCUUCCAUUUGUUCUUGAGAUUCAAAGGCAGCAAGCUGCUUCCUCAGUGCUACUAAUUCUUCCCCGGCAUUGCAUAUGUAGGCUGAGGCUUGUCUACCAGACAAAGUUGCUCCUUCCAUGCUAUCUAUGUAAUCCUGUGAGAGUGAAACCAUUUAGGAGACAUAUCUCUUUUUUUUCCCAAUAUUUGGAAUGAAACAA